AAGGAUAAAGAGAUUACACCAAAGAUCGGGACUAGGAGUAUUUUUACUCUUGAUACUGUGCGUAGCCUUACUAUCAUCUUAAUUAUCUAGAGUGGUUUUUAUUCGAUUUUGUGAUUUUAUGGAAAAUGAGUUAAAUGGUAAAUCCUUAUGUUUUAUAAGUAAAAUGUGUUUAAAUAAAAUGAUUUUAUAAAUUGUCUUGAAAUUGAAUUAUGGUUUUGAAAAUAGAGUAAUUGGAGACCAUUUGAUGAGUUGUAAAUUUAUGGUUUUAAAUUGAAUGGCUUAUGACAAUAUAUGAGCAUGAAUGGCUAAACUGAUUUUUGGUGUUAGAAUUAUUUGUACUGUGUAUUCAGCCUUGAGAGGCUAGGUUCCGAUAAAUUGCCAUGUCAUGCAGAUAAAGAUUUUAGAAAUCAGGUGGUAGAUAAAAUAAUCCAUAAUUCCUGCAAACAAGGUUCUGUGGACCAGCCUAAAAGAGAGGGCGCAAAAUCAGAUAUACCUUAUCUCGAUUGGAGAGCCGUGUGGAGGGUGUCUCUGGAGGUAAAGAUUUGAGUGCACUUUAAGUGGAGCACCGCGUGAGAGUGAGACUCAACCAACGCCAAGGCAUGGCUAGAUUUUCAAAUGUAAAAGAAUAUGUUCAUGUGUGUACUACACUGAACAGCCUUGGCGGCCUCGAUCAGAUGCCUAGGCCAAGGCAUCCCCGGGAAUGAUUUUGGCUGGAGCCAAGAAAUUAUUGUGAAAUACAUAAGCCAAGUUGAUUAUUUGAGUAAAUUGAUUAUUGAUGUUAUGAAAAACAUAUUGGAAUGGAAUAUCUUACUUGUCUCUAUUUACUCUACUUUAGAUGGUUUAGAUGGUAUCUGUUUACUCACUAGGAUUUUAUAAGCUCACCACCCUCAAUUCCCCACAUUUCAGGCUCAGGAUAGCAGGUAGAUAGCCGAUUGCAUCAAGGACUUCAGUUAGCCUUGCAUCGAUAAAAUUGUAGGUUCACAAACUCGCACCUUAUUGGUUAGUUGGGGGCCCACGUGUAACUGUAAAAGUAAUUUUAUACUUCAGUUAUCUGCUUUAAGCUACGUAUGAAUAUAUUUAGCUUUUACACUAUAGAAAUUAAUUACGGAUUUCUCUAUAAAUAUUAUUUUUUAAAAAAAAUAGAAUAUUUUAUUGAAUAUUAUUAUUUUAUUCAAACUAUUAUAAUUUCAUUUCAAAUAAUUAUUUUAGACAUCUAAAUUUACUUUUAAUUAUGAAACAUGUGUUUUUCACCCACACACCAUGUUUUUGGCGAGUUUCGAUAUUUUCGAAGAAAAAUGACGAAAAUGCCCUUAUGAACCAAAAAUUAAUAUUAUAUUGUUUUGAUUUGGAAACGACUUAUGAUUUUAUGAAAUGCAAGAUUUAAUAACUGUCGCUCACCAAGGAGAUGUGAAAGCUGAUGCUAAGCCUUGCAGGUUUCCAAUCGGCAUUCUAGGUAAUAAGUGCCUAUUAGGAAGUUACGACGGUUGUCAUGGGCCCGAUGGGAGUUCCGGGUCGUGACAAUUCAGUUGGUAUCAGGGCAUGGUUUAAAGAUCAGAGAUUUUGAUUUUAAAGCUUUGGAUUUUAAAGUUUUUGGUUUUAAAGUUGUUUUAAGAACCCACACUAACACUGCAUGGCUCAAAGUUAAGUUAAGUUAAGUCGAAUAGAAUGCAUGAGUCUGUAUAGAAAGUUCCUACUAAUUGGGCUCCAUCACAUUUGGGAGCAAAGGUUAAGAUAGGGGAAAGUCCUAGUAAUAGUGACACUGAUGAAAGUGUUGAUAGUAAUGACGUAAAUCAAGGCAUGAGAAAUUAUCAUGGUAAAGAUAUAUGAAUAUUGGUAGUGAAAUAUGCCCUAAGAGAUAACUGUGGCAUAUCAUAUAGGUAAUAUAGAUAUGUUGAGAGCAAUGUUCCGAUCAUGCAUCUAUGAUAGAAAAUUUACCUUUGCUAAAUGUGGUAAACAGUGGAAUAGUGGAGUUGACGUAGAGUCUUACUCAUAGUCAGUGACUGCAGCACCGAUUAUAAACAAGAGGCUGCGUGACUCUUUAUCUUGGGAAACCACCUACUGUAAUCCUGAAUGACAUAGAGACUCAUGAUUGAGAGGAUUAUUGCUGAUCAAAUUCUAAAGGGUGAUAAUAGAUGUAAGUGAAGUAUUCAAGUUGAGCUGGAAAUAAACACGAGGAACAAAUCAAGAUUCCCUAUAAAGGAGAAGUUGAGCAUCGAAUUAAAAGAUAAUGCCCCACCUUUUCUUUGAGUUUGAUAAGAGAAAUUUUGAGGACAAAAUUUUAUUUUAAGGGGGGUAGUGCUGUAAAGCCUGACCUUAUAAAAUACUUGUCAUGACAUAAAUGUGAUGGAUAGCAUGUUUACAUGCUAGGAGAGCCUCGAAAAAUUGACAAAAGUCAGUACUGUACCCAGAGGUACAAUAAAGUUGAUCUAAGCCUUGAACUAGGUCAAAUAGGGAUUUUAAGGUGAAAUUCAAAAUUUUACAGUCGAGGAAUGACUUAAAAUGGUGAUUCGGAGUUCGAGGAUUAUUUUGAAGUCAAAUAGAAAUUUUUACUAUCUAGGGGUAAAAUGGUAAUUUUACCACUUGAGGAUAAAAUUGGAGUAUUGGAAGAACUUUUUGAUCAAGAUUUAUCACAUUUGACUCAUUGGAGUAUAAUUUCAGGUUGAUAACUGAAAAAAUUGUAAUUUCGAUAUUUUUGGAGCAUAGGGGCAAAAUGGUAAUUUUGCCACCCUAGGGGCAAAAUAGUAAUUUUCCACCACUAGGACACCUGUCCAGCACAUGGUCUUCCCUUAUCCUCAUUUUGACCUUUGACUAAUCAUGUGGUGGAGAAUGGAAGCAUAAUUAUUAAAGUAUAAAAAAAAAUGGACUAAUAAGCAUGUGACACGUGUCAAGCAAGGAUAUUUUACUAUUUUCUAUAAAAAUCAGCCCAUAUUUAUCCCAUUCUUCUUCUCCAUAUUUGGUCAAGAAAAAGGAAAGAAAGGAAAAACUAGAACAAACCCUAGAUAAGAGAAUUUCAAGAAAAAUUGUGGAAAUUUCAAGGAAUCAAGCAAGAUAAGGUAUGAUUUUUCAAUUUUUGCUUGAGAUCUAGCAUACCCAUGCUUUAUUUUCUUAUUUCCAUGGCUGAAAAUUGAGUUGGAAUGAUGAAACCCAUGAAGGCUGAAUUCUAUAGAGAGAGAGUUUGGUGAUGGUUUGGUUGGAUUUUAAGUUUUAUGGAUGUUUUCAAUGAUUUAUGGUGUUUAGUGUAAGAAUCAAGCUUGAAAAUCACCCAUUCCUUAUGUGUUCUUCAUUGGCUGAAUUUUCUAGGGAGGAUAUUGUGGCUGAAAUUGAUGAUAUUUUAUGAUAUUUUGGUGUUAUUUGAAUAAUAUUUGGUGAAUUGAGGCAUUAGAAGAGAAAUGGAGUAAUUUGGGAUUAAAUUGGACGUGUUAGUAAUUUAAUGGGGCGAUAGGCAAAAUUAGGUCAACAUCGCAUUUAAACGGUUGACCGAGCAUUCCAUGCAUUCAUUUAGAUUUAGAUGGCUUGAAAUAGUUUAUGACAAAUUGACACAAAUUAUUGAAUUUUGUGUCAUUGUGAUGUGUAGGUGGUGAGCUAUUUGAUAAGGAUAAAGAGAUUACACCAAAGAUCGGGACUAAGAGUAUUUCUAUUCCUGAUACUGUGAGUAACCUUACUAUCAUCUUAAUUAUCUAGAGUGAUUUUUAUCCGAUUUGAUGAUUUUAUGGAAAAUGAGUUAAAUGGUAAAUCCUUAUGUUUUAUAAGUAAAAUGUGUUUAAAUAAAAUAAUUUUAUAAAUUAUCUUGAAAUUGAAUUAUGGUUUGGAAAAUUGAGUAAUUGGAGACCAUUUGAUGUGUUGUAAAUUUAUGGUUUUAAAUUGAAUGGCUUAUGACAAUAAAUGAGCAUGAAUAGCUAAACUGAUUUUUGGUGUUAGAAUUAUUUGUAUUGUGUAUUCAGCCUUGAGAGGCUAGGUUGCGAUAAAUUGCCAUGUCAUGCAGAUAAAGAUUUUAUAAAUUAGGUGGUAGAUAAAAUAAUCCAUAAUUCCUGUAGACGAGGUUCUGUGGACCAGCCUAAGAGAGGGGGCACAGAAUCAGAUAUACCUUAUCUCGAUCGGAAAGCCAUGUGGAGGGUGUCUUUGGAGGUAAAGAUUUGAGUGCACUUCACGUGGAGCACCGCCUGAGUGUGAGACUCAGCCAACGCCAAGGCAUGGCUAGAUUUUCAAAUGUAAAAGAAUAUAUUCAUGUAAGUACUACACUGAAUAGCCUUGGCGGUCUCGAUCAGAUGCCUAGGCCAAGGCAUCCCCGGGAAUGAUUUUGGCAGAAGCUAAGAAAUUAUUGUGAAAUACAUAAGCCAAGUUGAUUAUUUGCAUAAAUUGAUUAUUGAUGUUAUGAAAAACAUACUGGAAUGGAAUAUCUUACUUGUCUCCAUUUACUCUACUUUAGAUCGUUUAGAUGGUAUCUGUUUACUCACUGGGAUUUUAUAAUCUCACCACCCUUAAUUCCCCACAAUUUAGGCUCACGAUAGCGGGUAGAUAGCCGAUUGCAUCAAGGACUUUAGUUAGCCUUGCAUCGACAAAAUUGUAGGUUCACAGACUCGCACCUUAUUGGUUCGUUGAGGGCUCACGUGUCACUGUAAAAGUAAUUUUAUACUUCAAUUAUCUGCUUUAAACUAUGUAUGAAUAUAUUUAGCUUUUACACUACAGAAAUUAAUUACGGAUUUGUCUAUAAAUUUUAUUUUUUUUAGAAAAUAGAAUAUUUUAUUGAAUAUUAUUAUUUUAUUCAAACAAUUACAAUUUCAUUUCAAAUAAUUAUUUUAGACAUCUAAAUUUACUUUGAAUUAUGAAACAUGUGUUUUUCACCCACAAACCAUGUUUUUGGCGGGUUUUGGUAUUUUUGAAGAAAAAUGACGAAAAUUCCCUUGUGAGCCAGAAAAUAAUAUUAUAUUGUUCUGAUUUUGAAACGACAUGAUUUCUUGAAAUGCAAGAUUUAGUAACUGUCGCUCACCAGGGAGAUGCGGAAGCUGAUGCUAAGCCUUGUAGGGUUUCGGUCAACAUUUCGAGUAAUAAGUGCCUAUCAGGACGUCACGGCGGUUGUUAUGGGCUUGAUGGGAGUUCCGGGUCAUGACAGAUGUAGCCUCAAUGAAAGCAUUAUGGUGAAACCAUACCAAUGAAGAGGUAAUGGGAGAGGCUGAAGAGGAGUUACGGACAAGUAUCCAUACCUCUUCAAUGCAUAUAGGUGCGCUGUCUUAUAGUUCGAUUUAUAUUCGGGGACCGAACUUCUUUUAGUGGGGGAGAAUGUGAGACUUUGAUUUUUAUAGACUCGUAGCUAGAAAUAGAUGCGAUAUCACUAACUAGAGGUAAUUUUGUCUUUUCUCAAGGUGAGCUCCUGGAAGUAGCUUUCUAAUGUUAUUAAGGCCUACGUAGGCCGAAGACAUAAAUGAAUGAUGAAAAUAAGGAUAAAAUAAUGAAGGAAAUAGAAAUAAUGAUGAUUUUCAAGGUAAGGGCAAAAUGGUCAUUUUUCAUCUCGAGUAGAAAUUUUUAAGUUUUCGUGAACCUGAGUAUUUCUAGACUAGUAUGGAUUUUAUCUCAAUGUCAAAAGAGUAAAAAGAUUGCAUAAAGGAUUGGAGGAAGACAAAGCCAACUUGUUAAGGGCAUUUUCGUAAUUUAAGUGAAGUUUGGAUAAGCUUAGGCUAUAAAUAUCUCAUUUCUCCAGGAGCUUCCUCAUUUUUCUAGCAGCUUCUUGUUCUUCUUCCUCCCAUCUCACGUUUCUUCAUCUUCCAUGGAAGCCUCCCUUAAAGCUUCCAUAACUUUCUCUCUCUAGCUUCAAUUUUCAUGCUUUUGAGCACUUUUUCAUAGAACCUUUUGUGUUCUUUCACUCUCCCACCUUAAAACCCUCAAAAGGCUUUGUUCAACGCUUUCUCUUACUAGUUGGAAGUUUUAGAGAGAGAAAUAGAGACUUGCCAUAGUAGCUUGAAAACUCUUGAAAAGGAGUUCAACUAUAAGUCCACCAAGGUGAGAGAUGAGUUAGGGUUGAUUUUAGGCAGUUAGAGAUGGCUAAUAAUUAGAAUUGUGGGCUGUUAUGUUUUUAAUGCUUAUAUUGUGUGUGAUAGGUUCCAACAAGGCCUCACAUGUCCGUUUAAAGCAAAAAUCGAAGUUAGAGUCAAUUAAUGAUUCAACAAAUAUCGGUGAGUGAACUUGCAUUUCAAAAUUUCUUUGGGAAAUGUAAAUGUAUUUGGAUGAAACAUUUGAAUGAUUUUAUCCAACCUUUCUUUAAAAAUGUGUGCCGGGGAACAAGCCCUUGAUAAAAUGUUUUGAUGUUGUGAAAAUGUGAAAUGUGUGAAAGGAUGAAUCCAUGUGCUCCUAUAUUAUGUUGAUAUAUAUAUAUAUGAAUAUAUGUUGUGCACUGAUGAAUAAUGUUGUGUGAUGAUGUUGAAGUGUGCGAGUAGGGAGUGAACACAUGAUGAUGUUGAAGUGUGCUAGUAGGGAGUGCACACAUGCUGAUGAUUUUGCAUUGAGUUGAGUGUGGCAGGAUGGUAUGCAUGAUGAUAUAUGUAUAUAUAUAUGUGUGUGUUAUAGAAAGUUUAUGAUUAUAAUAUGUGAUUGAAAUGAAUAAUGAGAAACUUGAUUAUUGUCAAUGUGUUCACUUUGAUGUGCAAUAUGGUAGGAAUGGAUUUUGUGGCAUGUGAAAAUCCCUUAAUUGUCAUCUACCCUGAAUCUCACUGCAACGAGAAACUCUCAGAUGGUGGGGCCACAAAACAGCCCUGUUUCUCAUUGCAGUGAAAAAGAAUUCUUGCUGCAGCGAGGAAUUUCGCUAUAGCGAAAAUGGAUUCUAGCUGCAGCGAGAAACUCUCGGGUUAUUCCAAAAUCUAGGUGCAGUGCUUUUACUUUCACAACAAUUUUGACCACCUUCUAGUAAGAAAUGGGUAAUGUGGUAAACAUCAAAGUUGUAGCCAAGUCUCAUAGCUUUCUAAUGGUCAAAAAAUCAUGUCAAUUGGACUUCUUUAGUGGGACAUAUACUUGAAAAGCCAAAAUAUAUGCAAACUAAGAAUGUUUCUCGCUACAGCGAGAAACUCGCUGUCAUGCUUGCUACCUUGCUUGAUUUUGACAUAUUUUUCACCCAUUUAACUUCAUGGAUUGAUCAUGGGUUUUUGCAACACUAUGAGGUUAUUAAUCAAAGUUUGAGAUGAGGGGUUUUUAGUAAGAAAUUAAAUCAAUUGCAUUGUUUUUGAAACAAGUGCAUCAUGAUUUCCAAGUUCUUCUUAUCGAUUGCUUGUUCCCUUCUUAUGUUCACUCAUUAAAUUUUAUAUUCACAUUUUUAAACUUCAUGCUUUCAGAUUUGGAGGCAGUUGGGACCUAGAUUGAGUGUCCACGUAUGCUCGUCUUCUUGGUAGGUACUAUGGCAUCUCAGUAGUGGUACUUUCACUCACGAUCACUUUGCUGACGGUCAAGAGUCUGUUACAUGUGAACACAUAUAUGUAAUGUAGUCUGCUAGGAUCUAUGUUAUAAGUCAAAUAUGUAUAUUUGAUUACUGAUUCGACUAUGAGUUGGCAAAUGGGUGACAUUAUUUUGACAUAAUAAAAUGAUGAGUAUUGGGUCACUAUAAAAUGUUCUUGAAAUAUUUUUAGUAGAAAAUUACAAUAUGUGGUUUAGAAAUGAUGGUUGGGAAUGAUGAUCGAGAUUGCAUUAAAAAAAAAGGCUUGCUUUGGCUUAGUGGGCAAUGCCCAUUGGGCCCAUGCACCGGUCAUGGCCCGAAAUUUGGUAUAUGAUAGUUCUAGCCAUCUUUUCUAAAGUCCUCUUUUUUCUUUGCACUACAUUUUGUUGUGGAGUUAUAGGAGCUGAAAAAUUAUGACUAUACACAUUUUUAUCACAAAGUUGCUCAAAGCCUAGGUUCUCAAAUUCUUUUCCAUGGUCACUCCUAACAUUUGUUAUUUUGUAUCCUUUCUCACUUUGUAACUCUUUUGCAAAAAAAAAGUGAAUAUUUUUAAAGCUUCACCUUUGUGAGCAAGGAAAAAAAUCGAAGAAAACCUAGUGUAGUUAUCCACAAUUACUAAACCAUAAUUAUUUCCACCUAAGCAAGUGGUCCUAGUUAGUCUAAAAAGAUUGAUGUCAAGCAAUUGUAAGGCUCUAAUAGUUGUUACAUCCUUUUUGGAUUGAAUGAGCUUUUCCUAUGUUUUCCUUUAUUGCAAGCAUCAUAAAGUUGAUCAUUUUCAAAGUUUAGCUUAAGAAGCCCUAUUACAAUAUCUAGAGAUAGUCAUUGUGAAAUUAGAUUCAGUUAGCAUGUCCUAGUUUCCUAUGCCAUAACCCAACUAUCCUCAUUCUUUUUAGCCAUAAAACAUACAUUGUUAGAAGACAAAUCAUCCAAGAAAAUAGCAUAUGUAUUACCUUGUCUAUGUCCAACAAAUAGAGUUUCAUUUGUUUUAAUAUCAACAACAUGACAAGUCAAUGAUUCAAAUAUGACUCUACAACAUUUAUCACAAAGUUGACUAACACUCAACAAAUUAUGGUGGAAAGCAUUUACAAAUAGAACAUUAUCAAUUUGAGAAGAGGAAUUUUUACUAAUGGUACUAAUGCCUUCAAUGUGCCUUUUUGAGUUGUCAUCAAAGGGUACAUUUCCUCCUUCUAAUGGUCUUAAUUCCUUAAAGAACUCCUUGGUCCCAAUCAUGAGUCUAGAGCAUCCACUAUCAAAGUACCAUUUUCUUUUUUCUUACACUCUUGACUUUAAACGAGUGAGUUUUUCCUACAAGGAUAAAAUUUAAACAUUUGACUUUAGUACCCAAAUUUUCUUGGGUCCAUAUGAGUUAGUGUUUUUGGUUCUUUUUGGAACCCAUUCCAAAUAUCCCACCUUACCUUGUGAAGGUUUGGCUUUUUUUGAAAGCCAUACACUUUUUAUUUUUUUACCACUAUUAGUGGUAAUUCUCAAGGGACAAGAAGAAAUAGAGUGUCCUACUUUAUGAUAGUGAAUGCAUCUAGUGAAUGAGCCAUGGUGUUCAUUACCUUUAACGCAGAAAUUUCUAAAAUGAGUUUCCUUUUAAGUACCAUCAUAUCCUAUUCCUUCUUUGUCAAAGAAUGCUCUUUGUGUUUCUAACAUGUCAUUUAAAUUUUGUUGACUAAUGUUGAAUUUUGAGAAUGUAGUGUGCAAAUUUUCAUUUUUCCUUUUCAGCUCAUUUCUCUCAAUUUCCAAGUCAUUGACUAUGUUUUCUAGUUCUAUUUUUAUCUUGACUAACAACUCAUUUUCUAUCUUAAGCUUGGAUAAGAUGUUUUUUAAUUUCUUUUCCUCAAAUUCAAAUAUUAAGUCACCAUAUGCAUCUUGUAGUUCAUCAAAUGAGUAUGAGUCUUGAUCUAAAGUACGUGAACUAGUGAAAUGCCCCAUACUUUGAUAUGGUGAUAAAUAAAGUUGGUCGAAUGCGAAUUGAGGCAUAAUAAGGAACUUUGGGAACCAAAGAGACAAGAUAAAAUUUUUAGAAUAAAAUAAUAUUUUAUUAUUGAAAUAAUAUUAAAAUAUUAAUAUUUAGCCAGAUGUCGAAAUCAGUCAUGAAGAAGGAUCAUAUGGUUGAUCCAAGUAGGGGAGAAGAUGUCAAGCCUGACUCUGUAAAAUAUUUGUCAUAACAUACAUGUGAUGGAUAGCAUGUUUGCAUGCUAGGAGAGUCCCGAAAAAUUUACAAAAGUCGGUAUUGUACCUAGAGGUACAACAAAGUUGAUUUAAGCUUCGAACUAGAUCAAAUAGAGAAUUUAAGAUGAAAUUAAGAAUAUUAAAGUCCCAUAAUGGUUUAAUAUGGUGAUUUGGAGUUCGAGGAUCAAUUUGGAGUCAAAUUGAAAUUUUCACUAUCCAAGGGUAAAAUGGUCAUUUGCCACCAUGGGACAAAAUGAGAAUUUUUAGAAAACAUUUUUGGCCCCAUUUGACUUAUUGGAGUAUGAUUUGAGGUUAAUAAGUGAAAAAAAUUUAUUCUUGGUAUUUUUUGGAGCAUAGGAGUAAAAUGGUAAUUUUGCCACCCUAAGGGCAAAACAGUAAUUUUUCACCACUAGGACAUUUGUUCAGCACAUGGUCUUUCCUUAUCCUCAUUUUUACCAUUGACUAAUCAUGUGGUGGAGAUAAAAAGGUUUAAAAUUUUUAAAGUUUUAAAAAUGGAUCGAUGGAAACAUGCCACGUGUCAAGUAAGAAUACUUUAUUAUUUUCCAUAAAAAUCAGCCCAUAUUUAUCCCAUUUUCUCUUCAUGUGGCCAACCAUAGUACGAACUGGAAAGGAAAGGAAAAAAACACAAAACCUAGGUGCGAAAAUUGAAGAAAAAGUGUCGGAUUUCAAAGGAUCAAGCAAUCAAAGGUAAAAUUUCUUGAUUUUGACUUGUGAUCUACCUUUCGCAUGCAUUUCUCCUUAUUUUCCAUGGUUAAAUUUCAUUUUUUCAUGGUGAAUUCAUGGCUGCCAAAAUGGGUAUGGAGAGAGAAUGAAGUUAGAUUGAUUUGAUUUUAAGUUAUGUUAGUGUUUUUAGUUAGUUUAGCAUAUCUAGAAACAAAACAACAAGAAAAGAAUUCAUUUUUCCCCCAUCACCAUUGUUGGCCAAAUUUUCUAGGGAGGAUAUUAUAGUUGAAAUUGAUGAUAUUUCAUGAUAUUUGGGUGAUAUUUGAUGUUUGGUGAGGCUAGAAAUUAAAUGGGAAAUUUUGGUGUGAAAAUCUGAAUUUUUACCUAAUGUGUAGAUAUGUGUGAUUAUUGACCCGGGACUGAUAAAUUGAAUCUCAUUCACAGUCACUGAGGUAAUUUAGAUAUAAUUGGAGUGUAGAAAGUGAGAAGAGUUGAUUUGGAGUUAAAUUGGAGAUUUUAGUUGAUUAGGCCGAGUAUAGUGUGACUUAGGUCGAAUAUCACAUUUAAGUGAUUAAUCAGACAUUUUACAUCCCAUCGCAUGCAUUCAUUUAGAUUUAGAGGGCCUGAAAUAGUUUUUGAUAAAUUGACACAAUUUAUUGAAAUUCGUGUCAGUAUGAUGUAUAGGUGGUGAGCCCUCUAACAAAGGGUAGAGAGAUUGUGCCCGAAGACCCAAAAUAUGAGUAUAUCGAACUCCUGGUACUGUGAGUAACCUUACCAUCAUUUUUAUUAUCUAAAGUAUGUUUUUAAUCGGUUUUGGUGAAAUUUUAUGAAAAUGAGUUUAAAUGGUAAAUUUUUGUGUUUUACAAACAGAAUGUGUUUACAUGAAAAUAUUUUAUAAAUUGUCUUGAAAUUGAAUAACGAUUUUGAAAAUAGAGUAAUUGGAGACCACUGGUAUGUUGUAAAUUUAUGAUUGAAAAUUGAUGGCUUAUGAUAUAUUGUUACUGUGUUGGCAUGACUUGCUAGGCUGUGUUUUAUGAAUUGUAUGAAUUGUUUUAUUUUACCCUUGUAGGCUAGGUAGUAAAAUAUUAGCCCUGUCAUGCUGUCAAAAUUUUAUUGUAUGGUAGGUUUAACUUGCUGCAGUAGGCGGAUUCUGUGGACCAACCUAUUAGAGGGGCACGGAAUCCAAAUAUAUAUAUAUAUAUAUAUAUAUGUACCUCGGUCGAAGAGGCGCGUAGGGUAUCUCCUGAGGUAUGGAUGGAGUUCACGUCACGCCGAACCACCUCGUGAUGGUGAACUCCACUAACGCCAAAGAAUGGCUGUGUUUUUCAAACUAAAAAUAUGUUUUACGUGUAUACGAAAUUUUAACAGCCUUGACGAGCUCGAGUGUACGCCUCUGAUCAAGGUGUCAUCGAGUACUAUUUGAUGGCAUAAGCCAAAAGUUUAUGGAAGUCAUAAGCCUUAAUGAGAAAUUAAAUGAAAUACAACCGUUUCCAUGGGUUGGGAUGAAUUUUCAAAUUGUGAAAUACUUAAAAUGAUGGGAUAUUUUAAUUAUCUCCUUUUACUCAGCUUUAGCUUAUUUAAAUGAUGUUUGUUUACUCACUGGGAUUUUAUAAUCUCACCACCCUCCUUUCCACCCAUUUCAGGCUCAGAGUAGGCUAUAGAUAACUGGUUCCAUCGGGGAUUUCCAUUGGAUUGCGUCUUCUAAACUGUAGGUUCAUAGCUUUUUUAAUUUUGGUUAUUAUGGGCUCACUUGAUAUUGUAAAUUUAAAUUAAUUUAAAUACUCUAGUUUAUUGCAUUACAGUAUGAAUGAAUUCAUUUUGUUUUUUACGUUACAAAAAGUAUUUACGCAUAACUCCAAAAUUUUUGUUUAUAAGAAAAUAAAAUAUUUUAUUGAAUAUUUUGUUUUAUCUUCUUAUUAUAUUCAAACAAUUAUAAAUUCAUUUUAAAUAAAGGUUUUACAUGCCUAAACUUAUUUUUAAUUGUGAAUUAUGCGAUUGGUACUUGUUUACUACAUUUUUAACUGGUUUCAAAAUUUUCAGUAGAAAAUGACCAAAAUGCUCCUAUGAGACAAAAAUUUUUAAUUUAUCUGUUUUAAGUUGGAAAUAGCUCAAAAUCCUUUAGAACAUAAUAUUUGGUAACGGUUAGUCACCGGGGAAAAGAGAAAUUGAUAUUAAGCUUUACGGGAUUCCGGUUGGCAUUUCGGGAGAUGGGUGCCCAUUGGGGCGCUGCGGCGGUUGUCACGGGCUCGAAAAGAGUUACGGGUUGUGACAACUAGAAUCAUGAGAGGUAGAGCCUACCUUAGUGUCUUUAAGUGCCAUGAAGCAAAGGUUGGCAACUUCAUCUUCUUCAUCUUUUCAGUUGUCACUAUCACUCCAAGUGGCAACCAUGGCUUUCUUUUUAAAAUUCUUCAAAAUACUCUUCUUAUUAAGGCAUUUAUAUUUGGUGUGUCCCGAUUUUCUGCGCUCAUGGCAUAUUAAGUGCUUCUUGCUAUGUUUCUAUUUAGCAUAUCUUUUCUAGGACGUCUCUUACCUUUAUAGUUUCUUUACAUAAAUUUAUUAAAUCUCUUAGCUAGCAUGGCUAUGUCUUCAUCUUCCUCUCUCUCAUCUCUUAGGUUCCUCUCAUUGUUUUCAACUAUGGACUUUGAGGCUAUCCCUUUCUUUUUAAUGUCUUCCUUUUUUCCAUUAUCUAGAACACUUUCACGUUUUAAAGUCAUUUCAUAGGUUAAUUGGGAUCUUAUAAGCUCUUCUAGUUUAAAAUCAUUUAGGUUUCUUGUUUCCUCUAUAGCUGUCACUUUCGGUUUCCAUGAUUUGGGAAGACCAUAAAGUAUCUUUUUAACUAAUUAACUAUUUGGGAAGUCUUUACCUAAGGCCUUAAAUCCUCCAUCUAUGUUUGUGAAUCUCUCAUACAUUUGGUUGACAAUCUCACUCAUUUUCUUCCAUCCUAAAUAGUUCAUAAUCAUGUGUAAGAAGUCUUAUUUUAGAUUCCAUAAUUUUGUUGGCUGUCUCAUAUGUUAUUUCUAAAGUAUUCCUAAUUUGUUUAACUGUUUCACACAUGGAUACUCUAUUGAAUUCAAUAGCACUAAAAGAACAAUGAAGUGUGUUAAAGCCUUUGCAAUUUGUUAGUAUUAAUUUAUUUUCUUUGUCGUCCCACUUUUUCUUAGUUUUUACAAUUGUUUUCUCACUUACUUCCUUAGUGGGAACAUAAGGACCAUCUAGAAUGACAUUUCUAACAUCAAGAUCAAUUGAUUGAAUAAACAUCUCCAUUCUUUUCUUCCAAUAAGGAUAGUUCGCACUUGGGAAGAAUAGAGGUCGUUGAGUUGACUAUCCUUCACCAACAACUAUUGAGGUGGAUUCCAUCUGGAUAUGUUGAGCUUUACUUUCGAAUCAGUCAAGGCUGUUAGACCUGUAAAAUUGAGCCUUAGCUCUGAUACCAACUGUUAGUGCAAUAAGCUCAAUGUGAUUAAUUCCAAGAGAGGGCGAAUAGCCUCCUUACCUAUGCCCUCAACGGAGACUCACAAAGGAAUCUAAAAUCCACUAUUGAAAUGGAGUUUAAUACAAUGCCUUUUUAUGGUUAAAGCACAACGACUCUACCUUUUAUCUUGGUUAAGGUAUAACCACUUAAUUUCUACCUUUUCAAUUGGUUAAGGUAUAACCACUCAAGUGAAUACAAUAAAGAAUAAAAUUGCAGCUGAGAUGCCUCUACAAGGCUGAAUAACAAGUUAAGUACAAUGUUUGGUAAGUAGAAAGAUAAGCAGUAAUGGCUUUAUAAGUGGCACAAUAGAAGACUUAAAUGCAAGAAGAUAAGUAUAAGAGUAUUGAAUGAUUUGAGCUGAAUUCUUCUCUUGAAGGUGUGUUUCAAAGUCUUCCAACCUUCGUAAAUGCUGAGGAAGCAUUUUCUACAGUUGUUGAAGCUUCAAAGGUAGUUAUGAGUACAUUAAAUGUGAAAUUUGCAAAUCUCUUUAUUCAAGGCUCUAACGGUCAUAUUAUAUUGAUACUUAUGUGAAUGUAUCGCUACAUUACCUUUUUUAUUUUUGAAUUCCCACUAUGAUGUAUCGAUACAUUUUGCCAUGUAUCAAUAUUUUAGAACUUGCCUGCAAGGGUUUGAAUGUUCUGUUGAAAAUGUAUUGAUACUUUUGUGGCAAUAAGCAUUCUGUCCCAUUUUUAUUGAUACAUUUGAGAAUGUAUCGAUAGAUUGAGUUUAGCCGUUCAAAAUUUGACUUGUCUCCAAAACAUGUAUCGAUAGAUUUAAAAAUGUCUCAAGAACAUGUAUCGAUAGAUGUAAAAAUCUAUUGAUACUUGUCCAAAUUUAUUGAUACAUGAAGAACAUGUAUUGAUAGAUUUAGACCAGAAUGCAAUUUUGAAAGUCUUUUUUCUUUGUUUUUCUUUUCAAACUCAUUUAAAUUGUUAAGGGAUGUUUAGGCUUGAUAUUCCAAGACUUAAAUGAAUUUGAUCAUUUUUCUUUUUUCAUUUUAAAACAUAGGAUCAAUUUGAAAGCUAUAGAGCUAACAAUGUCUAUGAUUAAAGUAAAUUUGUCUACCAUUGAUUUGUCAUCAUGGGUAUCAGAUAUUAUGUUGGUCCCAAAUGAAUGUGCAUGAGGGGGGUGAAUAGCACUUUUUGGCUCUUGUUAAAGUUGACUUCUAAUUGGGGACAAAUGCAAGAGAAAAUAAUGAUUUAAAUAUGAAUGAAAACUAAAAACAAAGUAGACAAUCACAACAGAAUUUAUAGUGGUUCAGUCCAAGUCCUACAUCCACUACCUUGAUUGUUCAACCAAGGAUUUUCCAAACCAAUCCACUAUGAACGGUGAAAUUCACAAGCUUUCACCAAGCUUUUACAAUGGCUUUUACCAAGCACAGCCAAAAUCUUUCACAAUAGUUUGUAUCGGUAUCAACCAAAACCCAAUAACUAACUUUUCUAAGCUAAGUUAUAACCAUACACUCAAUGAAGAAAUCCUUUAGAGUGUCUCGCACACUCUAAGUAUACAAGGAGAAGAGAAAUAAAAGUGUACCUAUGAUCACUGACUUGAUCUAAGAGGUACAAAGUGAAGUGUUUAUCUCAAAUACAAAGAUAGGAGUGUAGUGUAGUAAGUGCAGAGAUUUUUGCUGGUUUUUUUUAUUUUUGAGCUCUUUUUGGAUUUGGAAGCUGUCAUUAAUUUUCUAGCCGUUGGGAGCCUCUUAAAUACUUGAAAAAUCAGCUCUGAUAGGUGUUAGGCAGUUUUUGACCGUUGGAAAUAGUUUGGUUGCAGUUCUGGCCGUUAAUUUGCCUUCUAGUGCUCAAUUCAAAGUUUUUGACAAAAUGAUCUUAGUCGACUAAGUUGUCUCUGUCUUCUGAACCCAGUUUUUGGCAGUGAGCUCUUAGUCGACUAACUUCCUUCUUAGUUGAUUAAGUUGUUUCUGCCUUAAACUCUAGAUUUCUAGCAGUAGGCUCUUAGUCGACUGACUUCCUUCUUGGUCGACUAAGUAUUCUCUGUCUCUCAAACCUCUUGAGCCCACCAACUUCUAAUUUGAAUUUUAGCUGAUUAAUACCCUUCAUUAUCCAACUAAGAGGCUUUUGUUCUGUUGAUCAAUUGUGGCUCCUUAUUCAUAUGAUUUUUGAUGUGUGGAUUUUAAUAAUUGAUUUAUUCUUGACAUACAAUUUUUGUCCUUCACACUCAAGUAGAGAUAUUAGACACAAAUGAAUGGGAAUGUUUUAUUAUCAUAAAAAACUAAUGGAGCCAACAAUCUCCCCCUUUUUGAUGAUGAGAAAACAUUCCUUGAUUAACAGCAUAAUGUCUACUGGUUUCUUUUUGUUUUGCAGAAAAUGGAGGUUUUCUUCCCCCUAAGUGUGUGCAUAUUUUACUAUUCAUUUUAGCAAGUUUUUAUUUAUGUCAUACAGAUAAUGACAUUAUAUAUUUAGAAUAUAUACAUGCAGACAUAUAGAAUGAUCAACAAUAGGUGACCGGUUGACCGAAUAUCAUCAAUAUUUCAGUUAAUUGUCUGUCAUCAGCAUAUUGUUUUCAGAUUUUAUUUGUGCCAUUAAUCAUCCAACAGAUAUAGUAUGAUCAGCAUCCAUAUAUAUUUUCAACCAAGUUCCAUUCACAAUAUCAUAACAAAAAUUAAUUAUUAGCAUAACAGCCCAAUAUCAGCACAAAAACUUUAAACAGCAGCAGUCAAAAAUACCAUAAACAUCAAGAACAAAUUUAAAUGAUUAACCAUCAACAACUAAAUAAUAUAAGCAACUUAAUAGUAUCCUAUUUUAACACAAUAAUAUAAACAACAAAGUUAAAUUUAGAUGUUCAACUGUUAACAGAAUAAAAACCAUAAGAAAAACAGUAGUCAUUGUUUUAUUCCUAAAUUACCCCUAGAUAUUUGUACCUUCUAUCUCUCCUAAGUUUUCUAUAAUUCUCCUUAUUUUUAUCAUCAAAUUGAGGGGUGCUCAAUUAGCUUCUAAAAAGGCUGAAGGGGUAGAUUCAUUAGUGCCAUAGAAAACAUUAAAGGGUUCAGGAGAUAGUUCUGAUGGUGAUUUCUGUGGUAAGGGUUCAGGGGAUGAUUUAUCAAAAAUUUCAAGGGGGUCUUGAGGAGAAGAUAUGGCUUAUGGUCCAGCUUUUUCAACUAUUCUACAAGAUUUCCUUAUCCUAAGGAAUUUGGUCUUGGUUGCCAUUGUCUUCUUGCCCUUACCAGCUAGUUUAGGCUUGGUUUGUGGAGCUACAACAUCUUUUUCUUUUUGUUUCCCAGAUUAUUCCUCUGUAGCAUAAGUUGGUUCAACGAAUUCUUUGUGCUUUGCCUUUUGCUACUUCCUUUUUAGCUUGUUCUUCUUAGACCAUUUGGUGGAAAACAUCCAUUAUUGAGACUUCCUCUAAAUUGGGGGGAGAUGUCUGAUCUUGUUGCGGCUCAUGAUGAGAUGGGGACUUUUCAAAUGAGCCUAGCACUUCUGUGCCUUGAUUUGAUUCAUCUUUACUCUGAGGCUCAAGAGUUGGAGAUUUUCAUGGUUGAUCAACUUCUGGUUCAGGAACCUUGGCUUGAAUGAUAGGACUUAUAGCCUGAAAAGUUGAACCUUUUGCUCGGAAGGCAGGGCCUUCAGCACCUUGUCCUGCUAGUGUUGAGGUAUCUGCAGUAGUAGGCCCAAAAGUUGAUUUCCCUUUUCCUUUCAUCAUAUUUUCAAGUUCUUCCAACUUUUCUUCUAUUUUUUGCAUCCUCACAGCUUAGUUUGUAAGCUUUCCAUCAAUUCGCAUCAGUAGAUUCAAAACCAUCUCAUUUGAGAACUGAAAGGGGGCUGUCUUAGAUUGAGCAAGGAGAGAAGAUUUUUCUCUUGGAGUGACUUUGAGGGUUUUAACAAAUUUUUCUCCAUCCAUUUUAUACCCUAUCUUUGGCAGACUACCAAGAUAUUUAGCUUGGUCCUUGCUUUUCACUAAAUCCAUUUCAUAUCUAGAGCUCCAUAUCUCCUUCUUGCUAACCAGUAAGGUGAUCAUAUUUCCAUAUGGUAAAUUUACCUUGUCAACUCCACAAGCUCCCCUCAUUCUCUCUAUCAUGAAUUGACCUAGAUUGAAUGAAACACCAUUGAGAGCAUGCUCCAUCAGCCAUAAGUUCUGAAGACUAACAUAGCUAAAGCUACCACUUCUUCCAUGAAUGUUUACAGCAGCAAAGUAAUGCAAAAUUCUGAUUUGGGGGCUUGUAAUGAGACCAACAUUACUUUUGGAUGAGUAUUUUUCUUUCUUUCCUAUUAUAAUCUCCCAUAGAGAUGAUGGAUUGUAAUUCUCAAGCAUUUCAAAAUCUCCUUCUUCACAUUCGAUUUUAAGCAAGCUUCCUAUGUCUACAGCAGUCACAACAAAUUCCUUUCCAUUUAUGAAGACAUUCAGACCAUCCUCAAUGAAAUCUUCAAGAUCCUCCAGUUCAUUUUCAUCUAAAGCUAGAGUAGCAUAAAAUUCUUUUACAAGACUAGGACAAUACGUUCAGUCCUUGAAAGUGCUAAAUUUUUUUGGUUUCAUUUCGUCAAAGUAAUCUGACAGAACUACUUGAAUUUUAGGAUUUUCAUCAAAGCCCUUCCAGUCAAUAAAUUUUCCACAUGUAAUCGGAGCAUUAUAAAUUUUCUUGAACUUAUCCUCAUGGGUUUUAUUUCUAAACUUUGAGGACAGAACUUUACCUUUCUUGGAUAUUUUUUCUUUCUCUUUCUUUUGCUCUACUCUGUGUUGCUUCUUUUUUUGCUUUUUCUUAAUUUUCUCAACCUCAGAGGCGGACACAAUCUUCAUUUUCUUUUUCUGAAUUUCUGCUUGUGGAUUCUCCUCCAUGACUUGUGAAGUCCCUUCAUGAAUAAUCCUAAGUUUAUCCCACACUUGUUUAGUUGUGGUACAGCUUGACUCUUUGUUGAAUUCAGUGGGAGUUAAAGCAUAAUGUAAUGUAUUGAUUGCCUUCAAGUUUAUUUGGACUCUUUUGGUUUCAGCUUCAAUCCAUGCAGACCUUGGCUUAGGAUUCAUCUCGUUGGUUACAACAUUUAAGGUUGAAGGAACAAAGGGACCAUCAGUGAUGACAUCCCACAUCUCAUAAUUUAUUGCUAUAAUGUAUAUUGACAUCCUAACACUCUAAUAUGGGUAAUUUGAGCCAUCAAACAGAGGUGAUCUGUUUGUUUAUUGUCCGUCAGCAACUACUGAUUUUUGAAAAGCCAUUUGGAUCUUCCCAAAGAGUGUUAGACCUUAAGAACAAGAAACUAGCUCUGAUACCACUUACUGGUCCCAAAUGAAUGUGCUAGAUGGGGGUGAAUAGUACUUUUUGGCUCUUGCUAAAAUUGACUUCUAAUUGGGGACAAAUGCAAGAUAAAAUAAAGAUUUAAAGAUGAAUGAAACUAAAAACAGAGUAGACAAUCACACCAGAAUUUAUAAUGGUUCGGUCCAAGAUCUACAUCCACUACCUUGAUUGUUCAACCAAGGAUUUUCCAAACCAAUCCACUAUGAACGAUGAAAUUCACAAGCUUUCACCAAGCUUUUAAAAUGGCUUUUACCAGGCUUAGCCAAAACCUUUCACAAUGGUUUUUACCAGGAUCGACCAAAACCCAACAACUAACUUUUCUAGGCUAAGUUAAAACCUAUUCACUUAAUCAAGAAAUCCAAGCUUGAAUAAAUCCCUUAGAGUGUCUCGCACACUCUAAGUAUACAAGGAGAAGAGAAAUAAAAGUGUAUCUAUGAUCACUAACUUGAUCUAAGUGGUACAAAGGGAAGCGCUUAUCUCAAAUACAAAGAUAGAAGUGAAGUGCAGUAAGUGUAGAGAUUUUUACUGGGUUUUUUUAGCUUUUUUUUUUAUUUGGAAGCCUUCAUUAAUUUUUUAGCCAUUGGGAGCCUCUUAAAAUACUUGAAAACUCAACUCUGAUAGGUGUUAGGAAGUUUUUGAUCAUUGGAAAUAGUUUAGUGGUAGUUCUGGUCAUUAAUCUAUCUUCUAGUGCUCAAUUCAAAUUUUCUGGCAGAAUGAUCUUAGUCGACUAACUGCGCUCUUAGUCAACUAAGUUGUCUGUGUUUUCUAAACCUAGUUUUUGGUAGUGAGCUCUUAGUUUACUAACUUCCUUCUUAGUCGAUUAAGAUGUUUUUGUCUUGAAGUCUAAAUUUCUGGCAGUAGGCUCUUAGUCGACUGACUUCCUUCUUGGUCGACUAAGUCUUCUCUGUCUCUCAAACCUCUUGAGCCCGCCAACUUUUAAUUUGAAUUUUAACUGAUUAAUACCCUUUAUUAUCCAACUAAGAGGCUUUUGUUCUGUUGAUCAAUUGUGGCUCCUUAUUCAUAUGAUUUUUUAUGUGUGCCUUUUAAUGAUUGAUUUAUUCUUGACAUAUAAUUUUUGUCCUGCACAUUUAAGUAGAGAUAUUAGACACAAAUGAAUGGGAAUGUUUUAUUAUCAUCAAAAACUAAUGGAGUCAACAUAUUAGAUGUGGGUCACACCUAUGUAAUGACAUGAAGAUGUUGGAAACAAGUCAAAGAUUGACAAAGGGAGAAGCGAUCUUAAGAGUAGGAAAUGGAGCAAAGGUUGUUGCAUUAGUUGUAACAACAAUUACCAUACCUUUACCUUCUGGGUUGAUCUUGGAAUUAAGAGAUUGCUACUAUGUCCUUUCCAUAUCUUGAAAUAUCAUGUCUAUGUCAUACUUGACAUUGUAUGAUGAUUUUGAAUUUAGCAUUAAGAGAAAUUAUUGUUCUUUCUCUAAAGGAGAAAUGCACUGUGGUGUAGGGACACAUUUAAACGAUUUCUAUUUCUUUGAUCCUAAUAGACCCAUACUCAUUAUAGAGCUCAAGAAAGCAAAGAAAAAUAAUCUAAAACUAUCUUACAUCAACAAUUGUAGGCUUGGACACAUCAAUGAGACUUGCUUAACCAAGUUACACAAACAAGGUUAUAUCAAUUCAAUUAUUAUGAAUCUUAUGGAAUGUAUGUGUGUUGUCUCCUUGGUAAGAUGACCAAGUCGCCUUUCACCACAAAUGGUGAACGAGUUAGGAUGUUGCUAGGUCUUGUGCAUUUGGAUGUAUGUGGUCCUAUGAAUACUAGUGCUAGAGGACGAUACUCCUACUUCAUCACCUUCAAAGAUGACCAUUUUUGCCAUGGUUAUGUGUAUUGAUGAAACAUAAAUUUGAAUCCCUUGAAAUGUUCAAAGAAUAGAGAGUCGUGGCUGAGAAACAAAUUGGUAAGAUAUUCUCACUUUUAGAUUUAGAGAAUAUUUUACCCAAGGGCUUCAAAGUAAUCUAAAAGAGAAUGCGAUUCUUGCAUAAUGGACUCCUCCAAGGACUCCACAAAUCAAUUAGCUGUCUUAGAGAAGGAAUCAAACUUUUUUGGACAUGGUUCGAUCCAUAAUGAGUCGGUAGAUCUUCUUAUAUUUUUUGAGGAUAUGUUUUAGAAACUACUACUUGUAUACUGAACCAGGUUCCUAGCAAAUCAAUUGACAAGACACCGUAUGAGAUAUGGAGUGGGACAAAGCCCAACUUAUCUUAUGCCAAGAUUUGGGGAUGUAUUACUUAUGUGAAGCAUAUAAUGUUUGAUAAGCUAAGAGCAAGAUCAAAAAAAUGUAAAUUUGUAGGAUAUCCUAAAGAAACACACAAAUAUUACUUCUAUAAUCCCACUAAGCAAAAGGUGUUUGUCUCAAGGAAUGCCACUUUUCUUGAUAAAAAGCUCUUAAUUGAAAGGGCUAGUUGGAGUAAAGUUGUAUCUGAAAAAGUUUGAGACCCACAAAUCGACAUUCCAUUCUAACUUGAGCUUAAAAUUGUGGUAUUUGAUGUACAACCAGAAUCUCAAUAGGCCAAACCAUUUAAAAGGUUUAGUAAGAUACGUCAAGCUCUAGAGAAAUAUGGAUUUCUCUUGGAAAGGGAUGUAUUGCCCAUAAAUGAUGAGCCUACAAACUCUGAGGAGGCGAUACUGGACAUCAAUUCUAAGAAAUGGCUAAAAGCCAUGAAACCUAAAAUGGAUGCCAUGGAUAUUAACCAAGUAUGAACUUUGUUGGAUCACCUAAAGGGAUAAAACCCAUUAGGUGUAAGUGGAUCUUUAACAGAAAUACCAUUGUAGAUGGCAAGGUGUAAAUCUUUAAAGCUAGACUAGUAGCUAAAGGUUACAAACAAAGACAAGGAAUUAAGUUUGUGGAAACCUUUUCACUAGUUGCUAUGCUUAAAUCCAUUAGGAUUUUGCUACCAAUUGUUGCAUACCAUGACUUUGAAAUAUGGCAAAUGGAUGUGAAAAUGGCGUUCCUUAACGAGAAUUUGUAUGAGAAAGUAUAUAUGACACAACUUGAAGAUUUACAUCCAAUGCUAAUGCUAACAAGGUGUGCAAGCUUCAAAAGUCCAUUUAUGGACCUAAUCAAGGUUUUUAGAGUUGGAACAUCUAUUUUGAUGACGUUGUAAAAGGGUUUGACUUCAUCAAAAAUGAGGAAGAACCAUGUGUCUAUAGAAAGGCCAGUGGGAAUGUCAUAAUUUUCCUAAUGCUCUAUGUUGAUGACAUAUUGUUCAUAGGAAAUGAUAUACCAUUGCUAUAAUCUACAAAGAUUUAGCUAUUCAAACAAUUCUCCAUGAGGGAUUUGAAAGAAGCGACUUAUAUUCUAGGAAUAAAGAUCUAAAGAGAUAGAUAUAAAUUGUUGCAAGGUCUCUCCUAAUCCAUAUACAUAGACAAUGUGCUAAAGAGGUUUAGCAUGAUGGAGUCUAAGAAAAGGCAACUAUGUGAGACCUCAACCUUUAUAGGCUUAUAACUAAGCAUAGAUGUAAAAACACAAGCCAGGGGUAAUGUCGUCAUUUCAUUUAAUAAAUUCCCAGAAGGUGUUUUUAUGAUAUUUUAAGGUCUAAAUAGGCAUAAGACAACAUAAGUGAUGCAUAAUGAUGAAAACAUGAAGAAAACCAGAAAUGACAAUAAUUUUCACAAUAGGGGCAAAAUGGUCAUUUUUGACCUAGGGUCAAAAUUUUUAAGUUUUCACUAACCCAAGCAUUUCUAGACUAUUAUGGACCUUGUCCCAAUGUCAAAGGAGUAAAAAGAUUGCAUAAAGGGUUGGAGGAGAGUUAGUUAAUUUGUGGAGGGGUAUUUUGGUAAUUUAAGUGGAAUGGAUAAGAUUGGCUAUAAAUAUCUUUUUGUUCCAGCAGCUUCUUCUCCCAUUUUUUUUCCAGUAGCUUUUCUUCUUCUUCUUCUUCUCCUCCCAAUUCACGUUGCUUCCAACCUCCAUGGAAGUUUGAUAUGGAGCUUGCAUAAUUUUCUCUCUCUAGCUUUAAUUUUCAUACUUUUGUGCCCUUUUGAUAAGAAUCCUUGUAUUCUUUCACUCUCUCACUUCAAAACCCUUGAUAAAUCUUAUUUUCAUACUUUCUCUCACUAGUUGGGCAUUUGAGAGAGAGAAAAAGAGAAUUAGACCAUUUGUUUGGAAGCUAUUGGAAGAGAAUUCAACUACAAAGAAACCCUAGGGUGAGUGAUGAACUAAACUUGAUUUUUUAGCUGUGAAUAAUGGCUAGUAAUUGGGAUUAUGAGCUGUUUUAUUGUUGAGUAUGUUCAUUCCUUUUAUAGUCAUUAAGAUAGUGAACAUAAAUAGCCAUUUAAAGUGGCAAUUGAAAGCUUGCUAAGGGAUAACUUUUAAGGUUUAUAAGUAUGAAUUGACAUUAUGGUAAUGUUAAUUUGAUGGUAGGUUCUAACGAAGCCCCAUCACCCCAAUUGAAUCAUUAGGGGAAUGAGAGUCAGCUAAAGGCUCAAAAUAUACCGGUGAGUGAAUUGCCUUCAAAACUUGUAUUGGGGGAAUAUAAUGUAUUUGCCACACAUUUGAAUGAAUUAUCAAGUUUUUCAUAAAAACAAGUGUCUUGGGAACAAGCUUUUGCUAAAUGGUUUUAUGUUGUGAUGUGUGAUUGCUAUGGAUUCAUGCAUUAUUGCAUUAUAAUGAUAAAUAUAUAUAUGUGUGUUGUGCAUGAUGAUCGAUAUUGUGUAUGAUGACUGUAACCGUGUGUGUGCACGAUGUGGGGAAUGCACAUGCCAGUAAUGAUGGUGGCGUGAGAGAUGGAUGAUGAUAGUGCCCGUGUGCAUGAUGUGGGGGGAUGUACACAUGGCAUUGAUUGUGCACGAUGUGGGGGGAUGCACACGAUGGCGCAGGCUAUGUGCACGAUGUGGGGGGAUGUACAUGAGCCGGGUGUGAUUAUGAUGAUGUGGAUGUUAUUUAUGUAUGUAUGCAUAUCUUUACUUAUGAAAUGAAAAAGCAUGAAAAUGAUAUAUGAUUGAAAUGUAUGUCAAAUUUGAUAGAUUGCAUUUUGGGGAUUUCAUGUGUUUCAUGUUGUCGAUGUCAUUUUAGCAGGAUGGCUUUUAUUGGGGGAAUGGAAAUCUUGUUCAUGUCGCUCUGUUCUCGCUGCAGCGAAAUUCAUUCUCGUUGCAGUGAGAAACUCUCGGGUUUUUGAGAGCCUCACCAGUUUGGUUCUCACUGCAAUGAAAAUGCAUUCUCGCUGCAGCGAGAAAAGUACCAUAGCUUCUCGCUGCAGCGAGAUUCAUUCUCGCUACAGAGAGAAACAUUCUGUUUUAGGACCAAAAUUUCACUAUAGCGAAAAACUUUCUAUUUUGUUUCCUUUUUAGUUCAGUUGCUGCUCCAUUUUCCAUUUCUUUGGUACCAUAGUUGAGCUUGGACUUCCAACAUUAAGGAAUAAAUAAAUUAAGUUUAAAAUGAGUAGGUUUGGUGAGAAACCCUUUACCAGUUAAGGAACCCUUGUUCGGCUAAUAACUUAAUCCCAACGUCGCUGCAGCGGAAAGGCAUUCUCGUUUGGACUUGCUUGUGUAUCACUGAAGCCUUCAUUUUUCAAAUUAUUUGUUAUGUAUGGGUUCAUCAUUACCAAGUGAUUAAUAUUUAAGGGUUUAAUGAGGGGUUUUCAAUACAAAUGAAUUAAAUUGCAUUGUUUUAAAACAAGUGCAUCAUGAUUUUAAAUUCUCCCUUAUGGUUGCUUGUUCCCUUCCUUGUUCACUCACUAGGUUUAUACUCACCGUUUUCAACUUCAUGUUUUCAGAUCACGAGGUAGCCGGUAACUAGGACGAGGUGUCGUUGUAGACUUGUAUCCAUCUUUUGGUAGGUGUCUCAGCAUUCAAUAGCUGUACAUUCAUCCGAGUUUCUCCCCUGAAAGUCGAGUAUAUCUUUUGUUGUGUAUAGACAAACCUAAUGUAAAUUAUUAAGAUACAUGUUGUAGACAACCUAUAUACACUUGUUUGGUAUGCCAAUAUGAGGUGGCAAAUGUUUAAUAUUAUAUUGACCCUAAGUUAUGAAAUGUGACUUAGCAGUUUAUGAUGGAAUGAUGAACACGUCAGAUUAAUAGGCUUGCUUGGGCUUAGUGGACUACGUCCAUUGGGCCCAUGUGCUGAUCAUGGCCCAGAAUUUGGGUCGUGAUAAACUGCUUAUGUUGCAAGGCAUUUUGUCUCUCAAAGGACAUGUGUCCAAAGAAUUAAGAGGAAAGAGAUCGCAUGGAUAAGAUCCCAUAUGCAUCAGCAAUAGGAUUGAUCAUGUGUGGGAUGUUUUGAACUAAACCAGAUGUAUCUCAUGCUCUGAGUGUCACAAGUAGAUACCAAGCUAGUUCUAGCAAGGGUCAAUAGAUAGUUGUGAAAACAUCCUGAAGUAUUUACAGAGAACUAAGGAUGUAUUUCUAGUCUAUAGAGGAGGUGAACUCCAAGUUAGAGAUUAUGUGGAUGCAAACUUUCAAAUUGACAGAAAUGAUAACAAGUCACAAAGAGGAUAUGUAAUCACACUCAAUGGAAGUGCAGUGAGUUCGAAGAGUUCCACACAAGAUAUGACUGUACAUUCUACAAUUGAGGCCAAAUGCAUCUCUGUGUUUGUGGUAGCAAAAAAGGUGGUUUGGAUUAAGAAAUUCAUUACUAAACUUGAUGUGGUCCUAACAUUGUUGCUCCAAUACCUUGUAUUAUGAUAAUAAUGGAGCCAUUGCACAAGCAAAGGAACGAAGGUCUCAUAGAAAUGCAAACAUGUAUUGUGAUGUUACCAUGUGAUCAGGGAGAUCAUUAGAAAAAGGGACAUUUGCAAUAGAGGAUUUACCCACUUAGGAUAAUGUUGUUGAUCCUUUCACUAAAGCGCUGUCCCAACAAAAACAUAAUCAUGUUGAGAACAUUAGUAUUAGAUACAUAAGUGAUUGGCUUUAAUGCUAGUGGGAGAUUGUUAGUACGAGCCCAACAAAUGAAUAUGUGGUUGUAUGGGAAUUUGAUUUUUGAGAUAUUCAUGUAUGACAUUUUGUUAUUCAUAGUAACUAUCCAUGCGUUUGUGAUCUAAGUACUAUUUAUAAUUAUGUAGAUAAAGCCCACAGAACUAUAUAUGCCUUGCAAAGGAAUUUUAUUAGUAUACAAUUAUGAGAUCCUUAUGCAUCAAAGCAUUAUUCCUAAAACCUCUGGAUAAUUGUAUUAUUAAGAUGCGACAUCAAUAAUUGUUAAAGAUCGACACAUGCUAUGUUCCUUGUGAACUAAGCAACCACUCUCAUAGGUUGAAGAAUAAAGAUAGUUGAAACUAACAUGUGGGUGCUUGCCAUGGAUGAGCAAGUUCGUAGAACAUAACUCAAUAUGAGAAGUGCAUUAAGUUUUUCACUCUAGUGUUUAUGUAGUGUUUCUCAUGUGUCAGUUGUGUAACUACUCCUUAGACUUGAGACACUAGGUGUCUUCUAUGAGGAGAACUAUGCUUUGAUUUCAUUCUCAUGGAUGCCUAACCAAGGAUGGCAAAACAUGAUGCUUUUAGGUAUAGUAUGUAGCAUAUGAAGGCAAAUGGGUGGUGAAUAUAGGAAUCAUCACCUCAAGUGAUUCAAGGGGAAAUAUCUCAGUAGUGCUUGGUUGAUAUUAGCUUAAUAAAAUCCUUAGCCAAGGUGAUUAGGAGAUUAUGAAAUGAGCUUCAUAAGUCUUUCUAAAGCUAAUGAUGUAAUUGCGAGAACAAAUAUGGAGGUCAAUAAGCUCUAAUCAUCUCUGGGUAUAUGGUGAGGGAAUGAAUUAUAUUGUAAGAUUGUACACUAAAAGGUUGUCAAAGAAUCCUUUGACUCUCUUAACAAUUGGGUGGCCAUGAUGCAUUGCUCGAUGCCAAUCUUGGUCUAUGGAAUUGAAUUAGUUAAUUUUAAUUGAAUAGGAUUUAUUUAAAUUAAUUAAUUAAUAAGAUUAUAAUUCAAUUCCAUUUCAACAUGUUAGGAACCUAAUGGGUCACACAUAAAUGGUUGCAAUAUAGAUUAAAUUGAGAGUGUGAUGAUUUAAGUUAGACUUAAAUCGUAUACUAGCUUUCUAAUUCUAAGAACCUAAUUAAAAUAGUUUAAGUUAGACUUAAAUCACAUGAUAACCACUAUUUUUGAUAAGUGUGUUAGUUUUUAGAUAAAAACUAAUAGCUUUCUUUGAGUGCCGCCACCCUUUAAAGAAAUCGAGAAUGACCUCUCUAGUGGUUCUCUGUUGGAAAUCAAAGAAUAAGAAAGGAUAAACCGUUGUCGACUUGCAAGCACAAGUUCGUGGUUGAAAGCUUUCUCCAUGGGGAAGGUUCAGUUGCAAUCAUGUGUGGAACAUUGGAGGCUAAGCGAGUGGUUGGCUAGGAUUCUUUCAAUCUUGGAAGUGUGCAUGAUUUUUCAACAGCAAAACGAAGCUAUUCGAUUACAAUAUCAAUUGGCAAGGUAAUAUCAUUCUUUGAUUUUUACAUGGUGUUUUUACUUUGGAUUAAGCCACCAAGGCCAUCCAAGGUAGAAAGCAUGGUUUCAAUUUGUUUUAAUUUUUGUUUGUUAUAUUGCAUUGAUACUCUAACCAUGCUGUUCUUAACAUGAUGAUCCUUUUAUCAUGCUAUCUUUUGUUCUUCUCUUUAUAGAUAUGUACAUUCUCAUAAGCUUGAAGACAAAACUCAUCCAUCUCAUUAAGUUGUAAGAGACACUUUUCACCAACUGCUUGGAGAUAAAAAUUGAAUUUCUUUCUUGCUUAGUAUGCAUUAUGCUCAAGUUCAACUAGCAGAUGGCAAGCUUUAUCAAAAACCAAUCUAAUGGAGACAUCCCAAUUGGAGUUUGGGACGCAGUCCUAUAUGCCCAUAAUGCGUCACCCAACCUCUUGGACCGAUCUUUUAUGGAUGGACACACAAUUUUUUACAAAAUUCUUUUGAUUCCUCUGCUGGAUACUUUAACUUGACCACUUGUUUUCGAAUGGUAUGCUAUGGCAAUCUUAUGUUUAACUCCAUAAUUAGCAAGUAGUGCCGCAAAAUACUUAUUGCAAAAGUUAGAACCUUCAUCACUGAUAAUAACUCUAAGAGUGCCUAAACGAUUGAUGAUAUUCUUUUUCAAGAAGUUCAUCACCACCUUAGAGUCAUAAGUCGAGGAGUGUUGUAGCUUUAACCCAUUCAGAUGCAUAACCAACAGUAACCAGAAUACACUGAUUAUUGUAUGAAGGCAUAAAUGGACCCAUGAAUUGAAUUGCCCAAAUAUCAAAAAUCUCCACCUCGAGGAUAUUGUUGAGAGGCAUCUCAUAUCUUUAUGAGAUGUUGCUAAUGUGCUGACAUCUAUCACACUUUUUAACAAAAUAAUGAGCAUCUUUAAAAAUUACAGUCCAAUAAAAACCUUAUUAAAGAACCUUUGUUAUGGUUCUUUGACCUUUAUAUUGUCCUCCACAAUUUAAAGAGUAACAAUGGUAAAGUAUGUUCUCAAUUUCAUCCUCUAGAACACACCAUUUAAGAAUUUGGUCCUCAUAUUGCUUGAGCAAGAAAGCUUCAUCCAAAACAUAAUAUUUGAUAUCAUGCAAGAAUUUUUUCUUUUGUUGAGAAUUCAAAUUAGGAGGAAAAAGAUUAUGUACAAUUUAGUUCACGAAAUCAACAUACCAUGGUAAAUUUUUUUGCUUGUUCACAUGAAACAACUAUUCAUUUGGAAAAUUCUCAUUGGUCACAGUUGAAUUACCAGCUUGUGUCCCAUUCACCAAUCUUGAAAGAUGAUCUACCACUUGAUUUUUUGUAGCUUUUCUAUCUCAAAUUUCUAAGUCAAAUUCUUGUAGUGAAAACAUGCACCUUAUCAAGCAUGGUUUGGCAUUUUUCUUUUUAGUAAGAUAUUUCAUUGUCGAAUGAUUAGUAUAAACAAUGACUUUAGUGCCAACAAUGUAGGAGCAAAAUUUAUCAAAUACAAAUAUUAUAGUAAGCAGCUCCUUUUCAAUAGUGGUGUAGUUCAUCUAGGCUUUAGACAAUGUUUUGCCGGCAUAAUAAAUUUGAUGGAGUAUCUUUUAUUUUCAUUGGCUUAGGACUGCGCCAACCGCAUAAUCAUUUGCACACACAAAAGCUAUAAUGGAAGGCUCCAAUUCGUGAUUGUGAUAAUAGGUGCAGAAACCAAUCUUUUUAUUAGCUCCAUAAAUGGCUCAAGGCAUGCAUCAUCAAAGUGGAAACUGUCUCUUUUUCCAAAAAGUUAGUAGCUUGGAGACUUUAGAAAAGUCUUUAAUGAAAUGCCUAUAAAAACAACCAUGACCAAGAAAACUUUAAAUACUUUUCAUUGAUGCCGGUGGUGGAAGUUUGUCAAUUGUCUAAAUCGUUGCUUUAUCUACUACUAAGCCUUUGCUAGAAACUCUAUGUCUAAGAACUAUACCUUCUUGCACCAUGAAGUGACAUUUUUCCCAAUUCAGCACCAAGUUGUUUUCUUCACAUCUUUUAAGCACUCUAGCAAGAUUUUGUAGACAAUCAUCAAAAAAAUCUCCAAAAACUAAAAAAUCAUCCAUAAAUACCUCCAAACACUACUUAAUCAUAUCAGUGAAAGUCCAAAUGGCAUUCUUCAAAAAGAAAAAGUCCCAUUUGGACAAGUGAAGGUGGCUUUCUCUUGAUCUUCAAGUGCAAUAGCAAUUUAGUUGUACCUAGAAUAACCAUCCAAAAAGUAAUAGAAAUCCUUACUAGUUAGUUUAUCAAUCACUUGAAUAAUCAAUGGAAGAGGAAAGUGAUUCUUUGAGCAGCUUUGUUGAGAUUUUAGUAGUCCAUACAAACCCUUCAGGCAAUCAUAGUUCUAGUAGAAAUGAGUUCAUUGUUGGCAUUGGCAACUACAGUCAUAACUCCUUUCUUUGGCACAUAUUGGACUGGACUUACCUAUGUGCUAUCUAAGAUAGGAUAUAUAGUACAAACUUCUAACCACUUGUUAAUCUCCUUCUUAAGCACUUCAUUCAUGAUUGGAUUCAACCUAUGUUGAUGCUCAAUUGUUGCCUUGUGGCUAUCAUUAAAAAGGAUUUUAUGCAUGCAAAUAGAUGGACUAAUUCCUUUGAUGUCUGCAAUGGUCCACCCUAUUGCCUUUUUAUAUUCUCUUAGCACACGAAGGAGCUUGUUUCUUGCAUGUUAGUAAGGGAGGAAGAAAUAAUGACUGGUAAAGUAGAUGAGUCUCCUAGAAAAGCAUACUUCAAAUGAUUAAGAAAUGGCUCAAGUGUGGGUGGCUCUUCAAUGGAAGGCCUGGUUGGUGAUGAUGAUGAAGUUGGUGAUUCCAAGGAUUCAAAUUGAGGUUUUAUGCAGUGUGAUAGGGCAUCCAAUAAUUUUGCACAUUCAAGAACUUUAUCAUCAUCACUUUUACAAGUAGAGAUUAGAAAAGCAUCAAGUGGAUCAUUACAAUAAUUCUCCAUAAAUACCUCAUAAGUGACACUAUUCACCACAUUAACUACAAAACACUGAUUACAAUUCUUUAGAAAUUUUAAAACUCUAAAAAUAUUAAACGUUACUUAUUGGUCUUGAACUCUUAAAGUUCAACUUUUCAACAUUAAUUAGAACUCUACCAAUAGCUAAGAAUAGUCUCCCAAGAAUGAUCAGUAUUUCAUGAUCAUCUUCCAUGUCAAGUGUGAGACCUUAACCUUUAUAGACUCGUAGCUAGAAGUAGACGCGAUAUCACUGACUAGGGGUAAUUUCAUCAUUUCCUUAGUGAGCCCUUAGAAGUGUGCUUUCAAACAAAAUUAAGGCCUAAGUAGGCCUAAGGAAUAAAUGAAUGAUGAAAAUAAAGGUAAAAUCAUGAAGGAAGUAAAAAUAAUGAUGAUUUCUAAGGUAUGGGCAAAAUGGUCAUUUUUCAUCUUGAGUCAAAAUUUUAAGUUUUUGUGAACCUGCGUAUUUGUAGACCAUUAUGGACCUUGUCCCAGUGUCAAAAGAGUAAAAAGAUUGCACAAAGGAUUGGAGGAGAACAAGUUAACUUGUUAAGGGCAUUUUUGUAAUUUAAAAAUAGAUUGGAUAAGCUUUAGCUAUAAAUAUCAUUUGUUCCAGCAACUUCUUCAUUUCUCUAGUAGCUUAUUCUUCUUCUUCCUCCCAUCUCACGUUGCUUUCAUCCUCCAUGGAAGCUUGUUGGUAAAUCUCUAUAACUUCUCUUAAGCUAGCUCCAAUUUUCAUGCUUUUGUGCACCAUUCCAUAAAACCUUUUAUGUUCUUUCACUCUCUCACUUUAAAACCCUUGAAAAGUCUUACUUCCGUACUUUUUCUCACUAGCUAGGUGUUUUAGAGAGAGAAAGAGGGAGCUUCUAUAAUAGCUUGGAAAUUUUUGGAAAAAAUUUCAAUUACAAAGCUACCAAGGUUCCAACGAAGCCCCAUCGCCCCAUUUGAACCAUUAGAGGAAGUUGGAGUUGGGUAAAGAUUUUACAAAUAUCGGUGAGUGAAAUUGCAUUUCAAAAUGUUUUGGGAAGUGCCCACAUAUUUAAAUGAAUCAUUUGCAAGUUCAUUUGUUUUUGCUUUAAAAAUAUACCUAGGGAACCAGCCUUUGGUAAAAUGUUAAAUAUUGUGAAAAUGUGCCAUAUAAAUGGUUCAUGCAUUAACACAUUUUAUUGAUAUGUAUAUUAUGCAUUAGAUGUUCCUUUUUGUGUGGUAAUGAUGACCUAGCUAUGUACGUGUGGGAGUGCACAUGAGGGGUUUUAGUAAGAAACCCUCUGCUAGUUGAGAAACCUUUAGCUAGCUGACAAUUUGAGCCCAAAUUUCGCUGUAGCGAGAAUGCCUUUCCGUUGUAGCGAGGACCCGUCGUUUCACUUUACUUGCUUGAAUGCUAUUAAAGUUUUCACUCUUCAAAUCCUUUGUUAGUGCAUGGAUCCUUUAUCGUCAAGUGAUUAACUCAUUAAGGGUUUAAAAGAAGGGUUUUAAUAAGAACUAAACUAAAUUACAUUGUUUUAAAAAUAAGAGCAUUAUGAUUUCUUUAAACUUUCCUUAUCGAUUGCUUGUUCCCUUCCUUUGUUCACUCACUAGGUUUAUACUCACUGUUUUCAACUUCAUGUUUUUAGAUUAGGAGGUAGUCGGUAACUAGGUCAAGGUGUCCUUGUAGAUUCGUCUCCUUGGUAGGUACCUCAGCAUUCGAUAGCUAUACUUUCACCCGGGUCUCUCGGUUGGAAGUCGAGAAUCUCUUUGUUAUGUACAGACAAACCCGAUGUAAAUUAUUAAGACAUAUGUUUUAGACAAUAUAUGUAAACUUUGAAUUGAAAUUAUGAAAUGUGACUUUAGUCACUUAUAAUGGAAGGAUGAACAGUUUAUAUAUAAAUAGGCUUUCUUGAGCUUUGUGGGCUACAUCUAUUAGGCCCAUGCGUCGGUCAUGGCCUAGAAUUUGAGUCGUGACAUGAAGCACAACAAAAUAUAAAGGAAAAAUGAACUUAUCAACUUUUACCAAGACAUCUUCCAGAAUACCUCUUGGGUAGGUGAAGUUUCUAUCAGCAAGUUGUAAAGUCACAGAAGUAGGGUUAAUCUCUCCCAAACCAUGUUGUUGAUAAUUGGACAAUGACAUUAAAUUUAUACUUACAGCCAAAUCACAUAAAGCUUUUGCAAAACACAAUGUAUCAAUAGUGCAUAGAAUGGUAAAACUGCCUAUAUCUUUAAGCUUUGAGGGAUGUUUAUUUUUGAAUCAUGGCAUUGCACUCUUUAGUGAGUGCAACAGUCACAAACUCACCCAAUUUUGUCUUUUCGGUCAAAAUAUCUUUCAAGAACUUCACAUAGCUUGGCGUAUUUUCCAAAGCUUCAACAAAAGGAAUAUUAAUAUGAUGUUUUUAAAUACCUCAAGAAAUCUUUGAAAUUGCUUGUCAAGCUUCUGCUUUUGAAAAUGUUGAGGGAAGGGUGAUGAUGGUUGUGAUGAAUUUAAUUGAGGUUUCUCUCCUUGAGUUUGAUCAUUAGAAUUUUCAACCACAAUUUCUUUUUCAACGUUUCCACUUUCAACUUCUUUUUCAACAGGCUUAAUUGGAUCAUCAGAUUGCACAAUACUAUUUUUUACCUCUUUACCAGUCCUGAGUGUAAUUGCCUUAUAAUACUCCUUACAUUUCUUCUAGGAUUGGGUUUAGUGACCUUAUGUAAAGUACCCUGAGGUCUAUUAUUAAUGGCAUGAACUAACUGACCCAUUUGUGUCUCAAGAUUUUGAGUGAUGCUAUUUGACUCUAAAUGAUAACAUCAUUCUUAGUCAUGUAUUACAUGAAGAUCUUUUCCAUUGUUGGCUUUUUUUGAAGCAUAGGAGCUUUAGCUUGCGGUGGAAAACUAGGAGGAAAAUUUAGCGUUACUGUUGAUAAGGAUCCUUGGUUGUUACUCCUUGAAAAAUUGGGAUGAUUCUUCCAACCAGAAUUGUAAUCGUUGGAGUACGGAUAAUUCUAUUGUCUUUAAAAUUUUCAACAAGCUCUACAGAUUUUGCAUAAUUGAUCACUGAUCACUAGAAUGCCUAUCUCCACAUAACUCACAUGUCGUAAAAGGACUCUAAAUAGCAUGGACAACCAAUGUAUCAUUUUCUUAGUGAGAGUCGCCAUUUGUGCAAUCAAGGCAUUAAUUGCAUCAAGCUCAUGAAUACCAGCAACUUUCUUGGACCCAGUCUCUUGAAUGGCCAAUGGUAAUUGUUGGAAGCCAUCUCUUCUAACAAGCCAUAAGCCUUACCAAUAAAUUUACCUAUUAGUGCCCUUCCUACUGUAGCAUCAACGAUUGUUCUAAUUAGUCCCAGCAAGCCAUGAUAGAAAUUUUGUACUUGUAGCCAUUGAGGUAACUUGUAGUGAGGACAUUUUGUAGGUAAAUCUUUAUAGUUCUCCCAAGCCUUAUACAAUUAUUUUGAAUCAAAUUGCGCAAAAGAGGUGAUAUCAUUUUUCAUAUUUGAUUUCUUAGUUGGUGAAAAGAACUUUGCCAAGAAUUUCUGAGCGAAAUCAUCUUAAACACUAAUGAAUUUAGCUUGAAAAAAAUUCAACCAACUCUUUCCAUGGUCUUUCAUUGAAGACAAGAAGAGCCUCAAUCUAAUGGCAUAAUUGAAAAUGUCGUUGGUCUUAAGUGGAUCUCAAAUCUCUAGGAAAUUCACAAUAUCUGCAUUAAGAUCAUCACUCGACAAUCCUCCAAAUUGAACUAAAGUCUAAAUCAUUUGAAUGAUUGUUGGCUUAAUCUCAAAAUUAUUAGCUUGAAUGGUAAGUCUACAGAUGCUAGAAAGAAGGCCUUGUACAAAAGGAACUGUUAUUCCCUCAAGGACUUGUUCUCUUCUUGCUGAUUGUUAGGUCUUAAAAAAUGCUAAAAAUGGGUGAAUAGUACUUUUAAAAAUUGUUUUGAAGUCAGCUCUUGUGCUUAAAACUAUUUGUAAGAUAAAAUGGAAAGAUUAAAAUUUGUUAAGGUUAAAAGGCACUAAGGAAAAAAAAAAAGGUAAAGGGAAGUGGACAAAACACAAGUAUUUAUAGUGGUUUAGUCCCCUUAGCCUAUAUCCACUACCCUAAUCUCCCGAUCAAGGAUUUUCAAACCAUCUCCAUUAUACCAGCAGCAUUAAUAGCUUCCACCAAGCUUUUACAAGGUAGCUUAUAACCCAAGAUUUAAUCCUGUACAAAUAACCUUAAAGUGCUUCCCACACUCUAACCAACAAAGAAUUAAGAAGUUAAAAAGGUACACGUGAUCUCUUUUGCUAACCUAAGAUGAAUACAAUCAAGCUCAAACACUUUUACAAGAAUAGGAAUGAAUAACACCUAUGUAAGAGAAUGUUCUUUGUUUUUUGCUCAAAAUAAGAUUUUAUGUGUUUAUCUUUUGCUUCUUUGAUCGUUGAAGCUUCCUUUUAUACUUGGAGAGUCAGAUUUUGUUGUUAAAGAUAGUUUCUAGAUACUAAAAAAAAGUCUGAUGCCAUUUUAACUAUUAUUUUCUCUUCUAGCAUUUAAAUUCAAAUAGGCAGAUAGUAUUCCGUUAACUGGUUAAAGCUAGGCUCUAAUUGAUUAAUUUUUCUCUAACUUGCAUUGUCUAGCAACUCUUUUCAUUGUGUUAACCAAUUAAAAAAGACUCAACUAAUUAAGAACUCUCUGUUUUCAAAGUUCUCUAUCAAGCAAACUUCCUUUAAUUGGUUAACCCUCCCUUUAACUGAUUGAAGCUUCUCUCCUUUCAUCGUUAAUCGAAUAAAAUAUGCUUUAACCAAUUAAAAAUUCUUUGAAUUGAAUUUCUUCGUUUUGGCUCCUGUUAAUGGUCAUCUUCAAGUUGAAUUAGGACUUUGGUGCUUGAAGAUACUUAAGGUAUUAUGCUCUAACCAAUUAACCCAAUUCCUUAACCAAUUAGUGUGCCUUUAUUUUUAGCUUCUAAUUCUUUCUUAAUCAAUUAAGCCUUAUGCUAACUGAUUAAGGCUUUUCUAUUUUGCUUUUAUAUAGUGUCAGGUUAUGCCUUAACUGGUUAAGGCUCUACGUUAAUCCAUUAAUGAGGUUUUGUUCUCACUAACCCUUUUUUUCUUUCUCACAUUAACUUAUUAACCCAUCUUUUAAGUGAGCUUGCCUUUAAUCAGCAAUUUUAUUAAGGGAAUUAACUUUAUCCUGCACACUUAAUAGUGAACUAAGACAUUAAUGAAUAAAGAAUGUUUUGUUACCAUUAAAAACAUAUGGAGUCAAUAUUAUCCCCCUUUUUAAUGAUGACAAACACCCAUAGAUUAAGAGUGCAAUGUCAUUAAAGCAAUAAACUUUAUGUGCAGAUUUAGGGAUUGCUCCCCUUAGGUAUACGCUCCCACUUAAUAUGUGCAUUAAUAACAAUAAGGAGUUCAAAUUUUUCUUGCAAGUUAAGUGUAUAUGUCACGACCCAAAUUUGAGUGUAAUGACCCUUUUCUCGAUCGUUAUCAGCAUCCAAGACUUGUGGGAGAACCCACCAAAUCCCGAACAAGCCUUAGUUGAGAUUCUUAUUAACUAUUCAAACAUUUUACUGCAUAAGUGAAUCAACUUGUAAUAAUACUGUCAUUUACUUAAACCAAAAUAAAAAGCUGUAAUUAAGAAAUAGCAACUAGGUAACAAUAUCCAAUUCUAGUAAACUUUAAGGUAAAUUUAAACAUCACACUUAGGAUCCAUUACAUUCCAAUAAACUAAUAAAUUUUAUAAGUCUAACUGUUUUACACAACACGACCCCUAUGCAGCGGAGCGACUUGGAGUGGAAGUCUAAGAGAUGCCAUUACCUACGUCUUAGCAAGUCAAAUUUGCUAAGGAAAUACACUUAAGCUUAUCACUUAUUUACAAAAAGGGGAAGAUAAAGGGGUGAGUCUAACAUACUCAAUGAUCAUCAACUCCGUGAGCAGGGCAUAGAUGGGAAACAAGCUAAGGGCAGAAAAUUUUAAUGUUAAAAACAUGAGAAUGUAUAUAAAUAAUUUGAACUCAAGUGCAACAUUUGUGCCUUACGUAUAACCCAAGAUUUGUGAUGCAGAAUAAUAAGUUCAAAUAAUGUAUCAAAAUCAGUGCAAGUGAAAGAUUUCUACCAUCGAAAUCAUUUAACAUCCUUUACUCAAAUCAAACCAGCAUAAGCAAGCAUGCUCUCAUAAAAUCAAGCAUUGUCCAAUCUUAUACACAAGCUCAUAAAUCAUCUCAUCCUCAAGGAAUUAAAUACAAAAUCAUCGUAUAAAUAAAAGAGCUGCGAAAGAACUUGUGAUUCUCACCAUGCAAAAGAAUACAUGUUUGAAAACCCAAAGAGAUAUCACUCUCGAGUAGGUAAUCAUAAUAAUCAACCCAUGGACCCAUUUCCACGUAAUAACAUCCAGGAGGCCCCCCUCCACCAGAUUCCUACAACCAUGGUAGUCUUGACGAUGUUGGCCAACAUUGGAGAAAUCAUGAAGUUGCAACCACAUAUAUCAACUUGUGCCCUAGCCACGUAUAUCAUCCUGUGGCCUUGCCACGUACAUAUAUAUAUCACAGGCUGUGGCCUAGCCACGACUAACAGCCCGUCGGCAACCCAAAGGUUCUUUAGGUAGAGCUCACUUGUACACAAGGGUCACACUAUCCCGAUGUAACAUUCAGCCUACUCUCGAAUCUCUUGGUUUGACAAAACCAUUUAUAAGUAAGUUGGGUUCUAAAAAGCUUAUUUCAAAUGUAUUUCCAAAAUACGAAUCAUGGUGAUAUGAUAAAUCCAUUUGUAAGACUUUCAAAUGUAAAACCUUUGCAUGAGGUUUAGAUAUCAAAUCAGCAUGGUGAACAUAAAGUUUAUGUGUGAAUGCACAUCACACAAACAAAUAAGGCACAUUUUGACAUAAAAUAGUAAUAAAUAGCUUGUUUCUCGAUUUCUAAAACCCUUUACAUAUAUUGUCACAACGCAAAACCCGAGCCAUGAUCAACUCAUAGGCCCAAUAGGCAUAGCCCACCAGGCCAAAGCAAGCCUCUCUAUGUAAACCUAUUAGUAGGUCAUGUAUCACUUCUUUUUCUUUUGGACUUAAAACUCGUAAUUUCUAUUAACAAUAUCUUCAAAAUUAAAAUUGUGAAAACCUAGUACAUACAAAGUUCACAACAAAUCUCAUAAUUUACAUUAAACCGUCACAUAUAAACAUACAACAGACCCUUGACAACCAGUGGAGUGACUCUAGGCGUGGGUGCUAUCAUUGAGAGUCGUAGUGAACCUACCAAAAGAUGAAUAGAAGGGAGCACCUUGACCUAGGAUCCAACUACCUUCAAUCCUGAAAACUAAAACAUGACGUUGUAAAGAAUGAGUAUAAACUUAGUGUGUGAACAUAAGAAGGGAACAAGCAAACGAUACAGAAGAUUUUUUAGAAAACACGAUGCACUUGUACUAAACCAUGCAAUUUGUAUAUCAUGUUGGUCUCGAUAAUAUGUGCUAGAGGGGGAGUGAAUAGCACAAUUUGGCUCUUAACAGUAUUGGAAACUAAUUUCCAAAACUUAAGAAAAUAAAAACAGAGUAUAAGAUGCACAACAAUCUAGAGUGGUUCGGUCCAAGACCUACAUCCACUACCUUGAUUAUCGAACCAAGGAUUUUCUCACAAAUUCACUAAACACUAGUGAAAUUUACAAGCUUUCACCAAGCUUUACAAGGGUUUUUACAAAGCUUAGCCAAAACCUUUUACACUAGUUUUUCACUGGCUAAACUAAAACUCAAAGUGGUUUUCUAAAACUCAAAGUGGUUUUCUAAGGCUCAACCACAACCUUCAACAAUCAAGCUAUCCCAAGCUUGAACAACUCUUAUAGUGACUUCCUCACUCUAAGAAUGCAAGAAGAGUAGUAAAAGAAAGUACCUAUGAUCAUUGGUUGAUCUAAUUGGUACAAGAUUGAGUGCAAAAUACAAAUGCAAAGAGUAGGCAAUUAAGUGCAAACAAGUGUAGUGAAGAUUUGCUGGUUUUUCAACUCUCUAUAGCUCAAAUCUCAUUCAAGGCUUUUAAAAAACUUGUUUCUAAUUGUUGGAAGACCCUUUUAUACUUGAAGAUGCAAUUUUGAUGGCAGUUUGACAGUUUAUGGCUGUUGAAAAUAGUUGAGGAUGAGUUCUAACUGUUAAUCUGUCUUAUAGCGCUUUGGUUCAAGUUGUAGACAAAGAGAUCUUAGUUGACUGACUUGGUUGACUAAGUUGAUUUUGUUUCUGAUUUGUAGAUCUUGGUAGAGAGCACUUAGUCGACUGACUUGAUCGAAUAAAUUGCUUCUGUUUUUCAAACUCUUCAGCCCGCCAUUUCUCCAAUUUUGAAUCUUGGCCAACCAACGUUCUUCCUUGUUUCACCAAUAAGCUUCCUCCUUGUUAGACACUUACUUCUUGUUAUUUUUAUCCCUCUUUUUCUUUUGAUAUACUCUUUGAGGAGUUAAAUUAAUUAAUUUCCUGCACACUCAAGUAAAGGUAUUAGACACAAAUAAAUGGGAAUGUUUUAUUAUCAUCAAAAACUAAUAGAGCCAACAAUCUCCCCCUUUUUGAUGAUGACAAAACAUUCCUUGAUUAACAACAUAGUGUCUUUUUAACUCUUUUUAGUUUUCUACAGAAAAUGAGGAUUGCUCCCCUUAAGUAUAUGCUCCCCCUAAGUAUGUGCCUAUUUUGUUUACUUUAUUCCAUCAAAUUUUAUUUUUGUUAGAUAAAAAAUGGCAUUGUACAUAUGUGCACCAAUAUGGAGUGAUUUGCAGCAAGUAUGUAUUAGCAGAUCAUCAUUAAACUUUUAGCAGUAAGUGUUGACAAAUUUUCAUAAAUGUUCCAACAACUGUCAACAGUUUAUUGAUUUCAGAUUUUGUUUCCAUCAUUCAUGUUUUAAUUGAUAUACUAUACACCCCAUCUAUAUCUAUUUACAAACAAAAAUCAUUCAUAAUGCCAUAAUAAAAAUCAUUUAUCAGCAUAGCAUCAACAGAUUUUGUUCAUGACAGUAAAAAUACCAAGAUAACAAAAUAUCAGCAGACUUCAAUUUGUAGCAGUUAAACAACAUAAACAUUUCAGCAUUCACUUUUCACACACAACUACAUAAACAACAGAAUUAAACUUAAGUGUUCAAGUGCCACCAUGGCACAAAUAGCAAUUAAUAAAAAAGUAUUUUGAAAUUACCCUUGGACAAUUUUGCUUCCUAUUUUCUAUUUUUUUUAAGUUCUUGCUCUUGAUUCUGCUUUCUUUUCUUCCCUAAGUUCUUGGUUCCUCCACCCUAAUAUUUUUUUUUAAAAUUUAUUCUCUGAUUCCUGCACACAUUAUACUCCCCCUAUUUGUCACAUCAAAGGAAAGGGCUUCUAUUCAUCUGAUGUGCCAGAGGGUGAGGAUUUAGUGUCAUAGAAAGGGUUUAGAGGAAAAAGUGAGGGCUCUCGGAGAGGUGAUGACUGUCUAGGGGAAGGUUCUGGUGAGGACUUGUUUGAAACAGGGAUUAAACUCUAAGGAGAAAAGGCUAAAACUGGUUUGGAUUUCUCUGCCAACCUGAAAAACUUUUUUCUCUUUAGAAAAGCUGUCUUGGUGGCCAUAGUCUUUUUUUCCUUGGUUGGUGGUUUUGCCUUAGUUGAUAGUGCUGUAGUGGCUUUUUCUUUCCCGAAUUUAGUCUUUACUUUAGGAGCUAAUGUAAGUUUAUUUCCUAUUCCUGCAUCUCUACCAUCUUUUUGAGUUUCUAUCCUGGCAGUGUCUUUUUCAGCUUGUCCCUCGUUAACCAUUUGGUGGAAGACAUCCAUAAUGGAAACUUCCUCUGAAUUUGGAGGAGAUGUUUGUUGUUUCUUUGUCUCUGAACCAACCACUUCUGUCCCUUAUUCUAAAUCAUUUUUGCUUUGAGGUUCAGGAAAUGAUGUCUUGGCUGGCUGAUCAACCCCUUGAGGACAGUCUUCAAUUUGCAGAACAGGACUAGCAGACUUGUAGGUGGAACCUUCAUCUUGAAUGCCAAAACUUUCAACAUGAGGAGUAGAUUUUUCUGCUGGCUCAACUGAACCUUCAGCUCCGUGCUGUGCAGGUGCAGUGUUUGAUGUGGCAGAACUGUCUGCAGCCAUAGGUUCAGAUGGCAUGUUUUCCUUCUCCUUCAGCUUGUUUUCCAACUCAGUGAUUUUUUCUUCAAUUUUCUGUAGCUUUACUCCUUGGUCAGUUAGCUUUCCAUCAAUCCUCAUGAGCAAGUUCAAAAUUACUUCAUUUGAGAAUCUGGAAGAGGCUCAUUCAAGUUGAGUAGGUAGGCUGUGUUCUUUUCUUAGACCAAUCUUGGAGAUUUUAAUGAACCUUUCCCCAUCAAGUGUAUACCCCAUUUUAACCAAGCUCCCAUAACAAAUAGCUUGAUCUCUGGUUUUUAGCAAGUCCAUAUCAUACUUCUUUACCCAUAUUCCUUUCUUUUGCACAAGGGAUGUAAUUACAUUCCCAUACGGCAGAUUAACCUUAUCAAGUCUAUAGGCACUUCUCAUCUUUUCAAUCAUAUAUCUUCCAAGAUUCAAAGACACUCCAUUGAAGGCAUGCUCCAUCAGCCAUAGGUCUUUGAGGCUAUAGUAGCUAAGGCUUCCACUUCUACCCUGAAUGUUGGCUGCUAUAAAAUAAUGUAAAAUCCUAAUCUAAGGACUGAUUAUCAAUCUAGAAUUGUUCUUUUAGGAAUACUUUUCCUUCCUCCCAGUGAUGAUCUCCCAUAAUGAGGACGGAUCAUAUUUUUCAAGCAGCUCAAAUUCACCUUCUUUACAUUCUAUUUUCAGCAGGUUUCCUAAAUCUUCAGCAGUCACAAUAAAUUCUUUUCCAUUCAAAUAUACAUUCAAACCAUCUUCAUCAUAAUCAUCUGAGUCUAUUAAUUCUUUUCUUUUCAAAGCAAUGCCAGAAUAGAAUUCUUCAACUAGACUUGGACUAUAAGACAUAUUCUUAAAGGUGCUGUAACCUUUAGUUUCAGUUCAUCAAAGUAGUCAGAUAAACUAGUUUGGAUUUCUACAUUUUCCUCAAAACUCUUCAAAUCAAUAACUUUGCCACAAGAGAUUAGUGCAUUCUCGAUAUUUUUGAACCUAUAUUCAUGCAACUAAUUCCUAAACUUUGAAGAAGAAGAACUAGUACCUUUGUGGAGUGAAGGUUCUGUUUCUUUCUUCUUGUCAGUUUUUUGCUUCUUUUCUCUUUGUUUCUCAUAUAUUUCUUUCACUGAAGCAGGCAUGAUUUUUUGUUUCUUCUUCAAACUUUCUAUUCCUGUUCCUUCCUCUGUUGGCCUUUUCCCUUUCUUCUUUUUUGAUAUCUCUUUACUCUGAGAUGUUCUAGCCAUUUUGGUUCCAGAAAUUUCUAAUGGUUUGAGUCAGUUUUAGAGGCAAACAGGAAGAUUUGGAUUUUUAUUUUUAGAGUAACGAGUUUUAAGGAAAAGAAGAGGAGAGGUUGUUAGCAGUUAUUUCUUUGAAAAACUACUCACCUUCCCUUAAGUGCUACCCUACUUUCAUUCUUUAUAAUUUCAAAAUUCCCUCUUAAAUUUUGCUUGUUUACCUUUGGCAGUAUUUUUUCUUUCUCUUUGCACCCGGUAAUAUUUUUACCCCAUUUUACUCCUCCUUCUCUAAACUGACUGAGUCAUAUUAUUUAAUGCUGUCAAACCACUCUUAGUUGACUAAAAUUUCCUUAGUCGACUAAAUGCACUCUAUUUUCUAUGUGAGAGCCAAAGGUUUUCCUAUAAUUCCUUCAUACUAAUCAUGCCUAAAUUUCUUCUAAUCUCACAGAAUCAUCUUUAUUCAGAGGUUUGGUAAAAAUGUCUACUAAUUGAUGUAAAGUGUUCACAAAUUCUAUUUUAAUAUCUUUUUUCACAACAUGGUCUCUAAUAAAAUGAUGUCUUAUUUCAAUGUGCUUUGUCCUAGAGUGCUGCACAGGGUUUUUUGAUAUAUUGAUUACACUUGUGUUAUCCCAGUAUAUUGGUACGUUAUGCAUAGUUAUUCCAUAGUCUUUUAAUUAUUGUUUGAAACAAAUAAUUUGUGCACAGCAGCUACCUAGUGAUACAUACUCUACUUCGGUUGUUGACAAAGCUACUGAGUUUUGCUUUUUGCUAGACCAAGACACAAGCAUCCUUCUUAAAAAUUAGAAUGUUUCUCUAGUGCUUUUUCUAUCAGUUCUACUACCAGCAAAGUCAGUAGCUAAAUAUCCAACUAAGCUAAAAGUUGAGUCUCUAGAGUACCAUAUUCCUAGUUCUUGAGUGUCUAUGAGGUAUCUAAAAAUUCUCUUAACAACUGUUAGGUGUGAUUCUUUAAGCUGUGACUGAAAUCUAGCACACAUGCACGCACUAAAUUGAAUAUUUGGUCUACUUGCUAUUAAGUAGAGAAAAGACCCGAUCAUACCUCUAUAGAGCUUUUGAUCUACAUCAUUACCUUUUUCAUCUAAGUCGAGUUUGGUGGAUGGACUCAUUGGUGUGGAAAUUGAUUUCAGCUUCAACAUAUCAAAUUUCUUGAGCAUAUCUAUCAAGCCAUACCUUAUAAAAUAUUAGCCACAUCAUUCAUGUGAUAGACAAUAUGCUUGCAUACUUAAAAAGCCCCAAAAAAUCGUCAAAAGUCGAUAGUGUACUUAGUAGUGCAACUAAGUUGAAUUAAGCCUCGAACUAGAUCAAAUAAAGAUUUUAAGAUGAAAUUUAGCAUUUUAAAUUCCUAGAAUGACUUAAAAUGGUGAUUCGUAGUUCGAGGACCGAUUUGGAGUCAAAUUAGAAUUUUCAUGACCUAGGGGCAAAAUGGUCAUUUUACCACCCGAGAUUAAGAUGUGAGUGUUGGAUGAAAUUUUUGGCUAAGAUUGACUAUUUAGAAUAUAAUUUGAGUUUGAGAAGUGAAAAAUUUUGAUUCCGACAUUUUUUUCAAGCAUAGGGGUAAAAUAGUAAUUUUGCCACCUCAGGGGCAAAAUUGUAAUUUUACACCACCUAAAACACUGUCCAGCACAUGGAUUUUACCCAAUAUUAUCAUGGAUAAUUGAGAAAAUUUAUAUGGUGGAGAGAGAUUACUUAAUGAGUAAGAACGACACAUGGACCAAUGGAAUGGUGACAUGUGUCAAAUUCUCAUCCAUUUAUUAAUUUCCUUAUAAAUUAGCAUAAAAUCAGCCUAUUUUUCUUCAUUAUGGCCGGCCAAAGGAAGAACAAAGGAAGAAAAGAAGAACAAAAACCCUAGGUGGAAAAAUUCAAGGGAAAAGUGUGAAAAUUCAAGGAAACAAGUGACAAAAGGUAAGAUUUUUCAAUUAUAGCUUGUGAUUUACCUUUCCUAUGAAUUGUUUUUCAUUUUUCAUGGUUGAGAAUCAAGAUUUCAUGAUGAAUCCCUUGCUGGCCGGACAUGGGGGGAGGAGUUUUGAUGCUUGAUUUGGUUAGAUUUUAAGAUAUUUUAGUGUUUUUAGUUAGUUAGUGAUGUAUAGCAUGAAAAGCCAACAAGAAAAAUUCAUUUUCUUCCAUUACCCAUCAUCGGCCGAAUUUUCCAUGUAAAGUGUGGAUGGUGGAUUUGAUUUUUAUUUCAAGUGAAUUGGUUAGGAACUGAUGAAUUAUGGUAAGAAAAUCAAGUAGGAAAAAUCAUAGUGUUGAUGCACCCACCAUGGCCGAAAUUCCCUAGAGAAAAUGUGAAGAUGAUUUUGCUAAAUUUUAUGCUAUUUGAUUUGUGUUUGAUGGUUUGGAGAUUUGGAAGAAAAAUGGAGUUAAUUGGACAUAUUGGCCAAUUAAUCGAGUGAUAGAUCGAAUUAGGCCAAUACCGUUUUAUUUAGGUACACAAUUGAAUUUGUGUAGAACACCGUGUUUAGACAAUAAUCCAAACAAUUUGCAUUCCAUUUAAUGCAUCCAUAUAGUUUUAUAACGGUUUAGCACCAAUGUGGCAAAUUGCUUGAUUGUGCAUUAUGUCUAGGUGGUGAAUCCUCCGAUAAGGGCAAAGAAAUUGUACCCGAGGAUCAGUAGUCGGAGUACUCUAAAAAAUUUGACUCCCGAAAUAGUGAGUAACCUUAUCAUCAUUUUAAUUAUCUAAAGUGGUCUUUUUAUUUGAUUUUGGUGAAUAUUAUGAAAAAUUAGUUUAAAUGAUUAAUUUUUAGGUUUUAUAAACAAAAUGUGUUUAAAUGAAAUGAUUGUAUAAAUUGUCUUGAAAUUGAAUGAUGGCUUUGAAAAUAAAGUAAUUGGAGACCAUUUGAUGUAUUGUGAAUUUAUGGUUCUAAUUGAUUGGCUUAUGGCAAUAUUGGCAUGAAUGGCUAAAUUGGUAUUUGUCAAACCCUGUUCUAUAAAAUAAUUACGACGUCAUUUACAUGCUCAAUAAAAUGUUUGCAUAUUUAGAAAGUUCGAGGAAUGUAUAAAAGACGAUAUUGCCCCUAAUGGUACAAUUAAGUCGAUUAAGCCUCGAACUAGUUCAAAUAGGAAUUUUAAGGUGAAAUUAAGAGUUUCACAGUUCAUGGAUGACUCAAAAUGGUAAUUCGGAGUUCGAGGAUCAAUUUGGAGUCAAACCGAAAUUUUCACUAUCUAGGGGCAAAAUGGUCAUUUGCCACUUGGGGACAAAAUGGAAAUUUUUAGAAAAGAGGUUUUUGCUCCAUUUGACUUAUUGGAGUAUGAUUUGAGGUUUAGAAGUGAAAGAGUUUAAUUCCGGUGAUUUUUGAAGUGUAGGGGUAAAAUCGUAAUUUUUCCAAUCGCGGACAAAAUUUGAGAUUUUGAGAGAAUUUAGAUCACAUUUGACAAAUUGGAGAAUGGUAUGAGUAUAAGGGAUGAAAAAUAUGUCUAUGGGCAAUUUUUCAAUUUUUAGGGUAAAAAUGUAAUUUUUGACUUUUACAGGGGCAAAAGUGUAAAUUUUAAAAAUUACUUCACCAAGACUUUGGAUAAGUCUGAGAAUUUUAUCUAAGUUAUGAAUAUUUGAAGGAAUAAUGUGUGGUGGAGAUUUAAAGCUUAAAAGAUAAGAAUUUUAAAAAAUAGACCAAUAAUGUAGUGACAUGUGGCAACUUUAGAUUAUUAUAUUAUUUAACUAUAAAAAUCAGCCCACACCACCAUUUUCUCUUCAUUUUGGUCGGCCAUAGCAAGAAAACAAAGGGGAAAAGAAAAACAAAAACCUAGGUGGAGAAAUUUAAGGGAAAAUUGGUGAAAAUUCAAGGAAAUAAGUGACAAAAGGUUAAAUUUCUUGAUUUUGACUUGUGAUCUACCUUUCCCAUGCUUUUCUCCUUAUUUUUCAUGGUUGGAUUUCAUGUUUUCAUGGUGAAUUCAUGGCUGCCUAAAUGGGUAUGGAGACAGAAUGAAGUUAGAUUAAUUUGAUUUUAAGUUAUGUUAGUGUUUUAAGUUAGUUUAGCAUAUUUUGAAACAAAACAAUAAGAAAAGAAUUCAUUUUCCUCCAUUACCAUUAUUGGCUGAAUUUUCUAGGGGAAUAUUGGCUGCUGAUCUUGAUGUUUAUUUGAGGAAUUAUAAUGAAUAAUGAUGAAUUAUGAGCCUAGAAAAAUAAUGGGAAUUUUCGGAGUAAAAAUAUAAAUUUUUACCCACUAGGGGUAUUUUCGUAAUAUGUUACCAAGACUGAUAAUUUGCAUCACACUGAGGAACAUUAAGUCAAUUUGGGUGCAAUUGAGGUAUAGAAACUGAAAAAAAUUAAUUUGGGAUUAAAUUGGAUGCGUUAGUAAUUUAUUUGGUAAAAGACCGAAAUAGGCUAACAUCGCGUUUAGGCAAAAUUUAGAUAUUUUGCACAUCAUAUCAUGCAUAUAUAUCGAGCUUGAAAUAGCUUAUGACUGUUAGACACAAUUUAAUUGGAAUAUGUGUCAUGGAUUAUGGCUAGGUGGUGAGCCAUUGGAUACGGGUAAAGGACUGUAGCCGCGGACUGAAAAUAAGAGCAUUUCUACUCCUAAUAUAGUGAGUGGACAAUUUAUCGUCUUAAAUAUCUAGAGUACUUAUACUUGUUUGAUGCUUUCAUUGAAGGGUGAGUUUAAAUUAUAAAAUAUUAUGUUUUCUAAGUAAAAUGUUUUUUUAAUAAAAAUGAGAUUUAUACUGGUUUUGAAAUCAAGUAUUGUUUUGGGAAAAUUGAGUAUAUGGAGACUGUGUUGAAAUUUAUGAUUUUAUAUGUUAUUGAAAUUGGGGCUUAUGACACUAUGGUAGCAUGAUGGCUAAAUUUUUGGGGUUGGCAUGAAAUAUAUGAACAGUUUUGGAUUGGUCUCGGUAGACUGGAUUAAAUUUUAUUCGCCAUAUUAUGCUACUGAAAAAUUUAUGGGUCUGGUGGUAUAUUAAACGGUCACUGCAGUGGUGGGGGUUUCCGUGGACUGCCUAUGAGAGGGGCACGGUAACUCAAUUAUAUACUUACCUUCGGGGGGAGAUGUUGGGUGAAGUAUCUCCUGAGGUAUGAUUUGAGUGCACCUCAAGUUCGGGCCACCACGUGAGAGUGAGACUCAGCCAACGUUAAGGAACGGCUGUGUGUUAGAUGUGAAAACAUGUUUAUGGGUAUGGGUCAUUGAACAGCCUUGGUGGUCUCAGUGGGAUACCUUGACGAAGGCACUCGCGAGAAUGAUUCUGGCAGGGGCCAAGUUUAAGAAAUUCAUGAGCUGGGAAAUUUUGAUGAAAAUAAAUUGUUUGGUAUAGAUUGAAACAAAUUUUGUGUUAUGAACAUUAUUGAGAUAUAAUGUUUUUAUGUUGUCUCCAUCUACUCGGCUUUAGAUGCUUUUGAUGGUAAUUGUUUACUCACUGGGAUUAUGUAAUCAUAAUCUCAUCCCUCUUCCUAUCCAUUUUUCAAGCUCAGGACAAUUUGUUGAUAGCUGAUUGAGACGAGAAUUAAUCUCGAAGUUGCAUCCUAAAAAGUAAGGGUUCGUAGCCCUACAUCUUCUUAGUCAGUUGAGAGCCCACGUGUCACUGUAAAAGUAAUUUUAUUCUUCAAUUAUUUGAUUUAAAGUAUGUAUGAAUAUAUUUAGCUUUUACACCAUGUUUUUGGCGAGUUUCGGUAUUUUCGAAGAAAAAUGACGAAAAUGCCCCUAUGAGCCAGAAAGUAAUAUUUUAUUGUUUUGAUUUGGAAAUGACUUAUGAUUUUUUUGAAAUGUGAGAUUUAAUAACUGUCGCUCACUGGAGAGAUGUAGAAGCUGAUGCUAAGCCUUGCAGGGUUUCAAUCGGCAUUCGGGGUAAUGAGUGCCUAUCGGGACGUCGCGGCGAUUGUCACGGACUCGAUGGGAGUUUCGAAUCGUGACAGUAUUUGUGUUGAAAAUGUAUAAAUUGUUGUUUACCUUGAUAGGCUGGAUAAUGAUAAAAUUACCAUGUCAUGCUGUUAAAUUUUUAUUGUAUGGUAGGUUUAGCUUGCUGUAGUGGGCGGGUUCUAUGGACCGACCUAUUAGAGGGGCACGAAAUCUAGUUAUAUACAUACCUCGGUUGGAGAGGCGCAUUGGGUAUCUCUUGAGGUAUGGUUAGUGUUCACGUCACGCCGAACCACCUCGUGAUGAUGAACUCCGCUAACGCCAAGGAACGGCUGUGUUUUUCAAAAUAAAAAUAUGUUUACGUGUAUAUGAAAUUUUUAACAGCCUUAGCGGACUCGGUUAGAUGCCUAGGCCAAGGAUUUUCGAGAAUGAUUUUGGCAGGAGCCAUGCUUAUAAGAUACUCAUAAGCCAUGUUGAUUAUUUAAAUGAAAUGAAUAUUUAUGUUAUGAAUUACAUAUUGAGAUGGAAUAUUUUAAUCGUCUACAUUUACUCGACUUUAGAUAUUUUGAAUGGUGUUUUUUUACUCAAUGGGAUUAUAUAAUCUCACCACCCUUCUUUCCACCCAUUUCAGACUUAGAAUAGGCUGUAGAUAGCUGAUUUCAUCUAGGGUUAUCAUUGGAUUUGCAUCCUCCAAACUGUAGGUUCACAGUCUUUCUUACUUUUGGUUAUUCGGGGGCCCAUUAGUUAUUGUAAAUUAAGUUAAAUACUCUGGCUUACUGUAUUACAGUAUGUAUGAAUUUAUUUAGCUUUUAUGUUACAAAAAUUAUUUACCGGUAACUCUAUAAAUAUUGUUUUAUAAAAAAAUAGAAUAUUUUAUUGAAUAUUUUUAUUAUAUUCAAAUAAUCUUAACUUCACUUUAAAUGAAGGUUUUAGAUGUUUAAACUUAUUUUUGAUUAUGAAUUAUGUGUUUUGUACUUGCAUACUACAUUUUUAGCGGAUUUCGAGAUUUUUGGGAAAAAAUGACUAAAAUGCCCCUGUGAGGAAAAAAUUUAUUUUUCUAUUGUUUUGAUUUAGCAAUAGUUUAUAAUCUCUCAAAACAUGAUUUUAGUAACUAAUACUCACGGGUGAAGCAAGAAAAACUGAUGUUAAGCCUUGCGAGGUUUCGAUUGACAUUUCGGGUAAUGAAUGUCUAUCGGGACGUCGCGGCUAUUGUCACGGGCUCAAUGGGAGUUUUAGGUCGUGACAAUAUCAUGAGUGUAUCUUUCUUGGUUGAUGAAGAUUCCUUCCUCACUUUGUGUAAUUUGAAGACCAAGGAAGUACUUCAACUCUCCCAUCAUGCUCAUUUCAAAUUCACCCUGCAUUUCCUUUGCAAAGUUAUUGCAUAAAGCUUCAUUAGUUGCACCAAACACAAUAUCAUCCACAUAUAUUUGCACAACAAUUAAAUCAUUUAGAUAUCUUUUUAUGAACAAUGUAGUAUCGAUGCUACCUCUAUCAUACCCUUUUUCAACUAAAAUUUUUGAAAGCCUCUCAUACCAAGCUCUAGGAGCUUGUUUCAAUCCAUACAAGGCUUUAUAAAGUUUGAAAACAUGAUCAGAUUUUUCAAAGUCUUCAAAACCAGGUGGUUGUUCUACAUAUACUUCCUCUUGAAUUAAUCCAUUUAAAAAUGCACUUUUUACAUCCAUUUGGAAUAGUUUAAAAUUCAUGAAACAUGUAGAAGCUAGCAACAACUUUAUGGCUUCAAUCCUAGCAACAGGAGCAAAGGUUUUAUCAUAAUCUAUUCUUUCCUCUUGGUUAUAUCCUUUUGCUACCAGCCUAGCUUUAUUUCUAACUACAUUUCCUUGCUCAUCUAUCUUAUUUCUAAAUACCCAUUUUGUACCAACAAUAGGGUGAUUUGAAGGUCUAGGUACCAAUGACCAUAUACAAUUCCUUGUGAAUUGAUCAAGUUCUUCUUGCAUGGCCAUUAUCUAACUUUCCUCUUUUUUAGCUUUUUCAAAGUUUUUAGGUUCAAUUUGAGAUAUAAAAGCUGAAAACUCACAAGUUUCUCUUGUUGCUUUUCUAGUUCUAACUCUUUGUGAAAUGUCACCUAUUAUUUGGUCUUGUGGGUGGUCUCUUACAAAUCUCUAACUCCUUGGAAGAUCAUCAUGCUGAUUUUUUGGUCUUUGCAAAUUUUCUAGAGGUGGAGUUUCAUUUUCUCUUCUAGGUAAGCUUUCUUCAUUAUUUUUGUUGUUCUCUAAGCUCAUUUCCUCCAUUUGUUUUUCUAGGAUUUCUACAUCAUCAUCAUCAUCAUGAACUUCUUUUUGUAAAGCAUUUGACUCAUCAAAAACUACAUGAAUUGAUUCUUCAACGGUUAAGGUCCUUUUGUUAAAAACUCUAUAAGCCUUUGAGUUUAAUGCAUAUCUUAAAAAUAUUGCUUCAUCACUCUUUGCAUCAAACUUCCCUAGGGGCUGUUUUACAUUGUUCAAUACAAAGCAUUUACAGCUAAAACUCCUAAGGUGAGAAAUAUUUGGCUUCCUACCUUUACAAAGUUCAUAUGGAGUCUUUGAAAUCAAAGGUCUAAUUGAGACUCUAUUAAGAAUAUAAGCUGUUUUAUUUAUUGCCUCAGCCCAAAGAUAUUUAGGUAGGUUGUUCUCACAUAGCAUGGUCCUAGCCAUUUCUUUUAAGGUUUGGUUUUUCCUCUCUACAACUCCAUUUUGCUGGGGUGUUCUAAGUGCAGAAAAAUUAUGAUCCAACCCCUUUUCAUUACAGAACUUUUCAAACUCAUCAUUUUCAAAUUUUCCUCCAUGAUCACUCCUUAUGCUAACUAUGGCUACUCCUUUUUCAUUUUCUACUUUCUUACAAUGACUUAAGAAUGCUUGUCGAGUAUCAUUCUUAUGAGCAAGAAAAUACACCCAAGUAUAUCUAGAAUAGUCAUCAAUUAUUACAAAGCCAUAAGAUUUUCCUCCUAAGCUAGUUGUGCUUAUUGGACCAAAUAGAUCAAUGUGUAACAAUUCAAGAGGUCUAGAUGUUGACACUGUCUUCUUAGUCUUAAAGGAUGUCCUAACUUGUUUUCCUAGUUGGCAAGCAUCACAUAUCCUAUCAUUCUCAAAUUUUAACUUCGGCAGUCCAGUAACAAGAUUUUUCUUAAUUAAUUUUGACAUAGUAUGCAAACUUACAUGUCCUAAUCCUCUAUGCCAUAACCAACUAUCAUUUUCAGCAUUUGCAACAAGGCAUACUUCACUAUUUACUUCAAGAUCUUCAAGAAAAAUUACAAACCUAUUCUUCAAUCUAUUUCCUAUAAAUGAGAUUUUAUUUGUACUCAUAUCCAUCACUUCACACUUAGUUGAAUCAAAACAUACUUUAAAUCCUUUAUGACAUAAUUGACUAAUACUUAGUAAAUUGUGCUUUAAUCCUUUAACCAACAACACAUGACUAAUUUGUGUUUGGAAAUUCUUACCAACCGUACCUAUACCAUGGAUUCUGCCCUUUGAAUCAUCUCCAAAUGAUACGGUUCCUCCUUUUCUCUUAUCUAGUUAAGCAAACAGCAUUUCAUGUCUUGUCAUGUGCCGAGAACAACCACUGUCCAAGUACCAAGGUUGUUUCUUCUUGAGUUAAGCUCUUGAACAUGUCUCCUUUAAGUCCAGCUCAACCUACAAAAUAGAAUUUCAGUUUUUCUUUAUAGGUACCCAUACUUUGAUGGGUCCUUGAGUGUUAGUUGCAACAAAGGAUCCUUAGGAAUCCAAAUUUUCUUAACUUUCUGCACUUUUCUUUUCUUAAAACAAUCAUAUGAUAAAUGACCAUGUUUACCACAAUUAUAACAUCUAGGUAAUGCUUUAGUUGAAUUUUUAUUGUGGUAUACAUCUCUUUUUGAAGAUUCACUUUUCAAACAUUUAAGAGUUGUGUUUUCAUCAAGAAUUAUUUGCAAAGCUUCAGACUUGUUUUCCAGUUCUUGUUUUAAAGCCUCGAAGUCUGUUUUUGAGUGUUCUAACUCAACUUGGAAAAUAUUUCUUUGCUAAAAAACAAAAGCAAAUUCUUGUUUGAUUUGUUCCAAAUCAUUUUCAAGUAAUGCAACCUUUGUCUUUAACAAUUUGUAUUUUGAAAAAAGCUUUUCAAAUGCAUCAUAAAGACACUCAUACUCAUCUUGUAAAUCAUCAUAAGAAUUAAUGCAGGGGGAUGAGGAUACCUUUGUUUCAUCUUCUUGUGCCAUUAAACAGAUGUUUGCUCUUUCCUCAGAUUUUUCAUCAUCUGUUUCAGAGCUUGAUGUGUCAUUGUCCGACCAUGCAGCUGCCACCAUUGCUUUCUUGGAUUUCUUGUUUUUCUUGAGAGUUUCAGUUUUCAACAAUGGACACUAGGACUUGAAGUGACCAGGUUUCUUGCAUUCAUAGCAGAUGAGCUUUUCCUUUUCGUUGGAGUCAAUUUUGUUUCUAUUUUCCAUGAGGCACCUUGGUCUUUCUUGAAACCUCUUCUAGCUAACCUUCGAUUUCUCCUGCCCAUUAGCUUUCUGAAUUUUCUUACAACCAGAGCUAAUUCUUAAUCAUCAUCACAAGAAAGCUCUUUCAGCUCUUCUUCAAGGAUGCUGCCUUUAAGUUCAAUACUCUUUUUCUUUUCCUUUGCUUCCCUUCAGUCUUCUUAUUCUUCUUCUUCUUCCUUAAGCUCCAACUCAUGAGUGAGAAAAGAAUCACAAAUCUUAUCAAGUGUGAUGAUGUUCAGAUCCUUAGCCUCUCUAAUGGCAGUCACUUUUGGCUUCCAAGAUUUUGGUAGGCUUCUAAGCAGCCUCUUUACUAAUUCAUGUUCAGGAAUAGGCUUUCCUAGAUGAUUCAAUUUAUUUGUGAUGUUUGUAAACCUAUCAAACAUGCUAGUGAUAUCUUCACCUGGCUCCAUUUUGAACAUUUCAUAAUUAUUGUUAACAGAGCAAUUUUGGACUCCUUUACUUGAGAAGUCCCUUCAUGAAUUAUUCUAAGUUUUUCCCACACUUGCUUAGCUGAUGUACAGCUUGAGAUUUGUUAAAUUCAGUAGGGGUUAAUGCAUAAUGCAAUCUGUUGAUGGCCUUAAAGUUUAUUUGAACUUUCUUAGUUUCAGCCUUAAUCCAUUCAGACCUUGGCUUGGGCAUCAACUCAUUUGUCACCACAUUCAUUGUUGAGGGCAUAAAAGGUCCAUCAAUUAUGACGUCCCACAUUUCAUAAUCUAUAGCUCUAAUGUAAAUUGACAUUCUAGUGCUCCAAUAAGGGUAAUUAGAGCCAUCAAACAGAGGUGGUCUAUUUGUUGAUUGUCCCUCAGCAACUAUGGAUUUUUGUUGAGCCAUUUGGAUCCUCCCAAAGGAUGUUAAGCCUUAAUAACAGGGAACUAGCUUUGAUACCAAUUGUUGGUCCCAAUAAUAUGUACUAGAGGGGGGGUGAAUAACACAAUUUGGCUCUUAACAAUAUUAGAAACUACUUUCCAGAACUUAAGAAAAUAAAAAUAGAGUAUAAGAUGCAUAAUAAUUUAAAGUGGUUUGAUCCAAGACCUACAUCCACUACCUUGAUUAUCCAACCAAGGAUUUUCCCACAAAUUCACUAAACACCGAUGAAAUUCACAAGCUUUCACCAAGCUUUACAAUGGCUUUUACCAGGUUCAGCCAAAAGCUUUUAUAAUAGUUUUUUCACGAGCUCAACUAAAACCCAAAGUGGUUUUCAAGGCUUAACCACAACCUUCAACAAUCAAGCUAUCCCAAGCCUGAACAACCCCUUAGAGUGACUUCCUCACUCUAAAAAUACAAUAAGAAUAGUAAAAGAAAGUACCUAUGAUCACUGGUUGAUCUGAUUGGUACAAGAUUGAGUGCAAAAUACAAAUGCAAAGAGUAGGCGUUUAAGUGGAGACAAGUGCAGUGAAGAUUUUCUGGUUUUUCAACUCUCUAUAGCUCAAAUCUCAUUCAAGGCUUCUAAACACUUGUUUCUAAUUGUUGGAAGACACUUUUAUAAUUGAAUAUGCAACUCUGAUGGUAGUUUGACAGUUUAUGGCCGUUGGAAACAGUUGAGGAUGUGUUCUAGCCGUUAAUCUAUCUUGUAGUGCUCUGGUUCAAAUUGCAGACAAAGAGCUCUUAGUCAACUAACUUGGUUGACUAAGUUGAUUCUGUUUCUGGUUUGCAGAUCUUAGCAGAGAGCAUUUAGUCGACUGACUUGAUCGACUAAGUUGGUUUUGUUUCUCAAACUCUUCAGCCUGCCAUUUCUCCAAUUUUUAAUCUUGGUCCACCAACGUUCUUCCAUGUUUCACCAAUAAGCUUCCUCCUUGUUAGACACUUGCUUAUUGUUAUUUUUAUCCCUCUUUUUCUUUUGAUAUACUCUUUGAAGAGUUAAAUUAAUUAAUUUCAUAUAUUAAUUUCCUGCACACUCAAGUAAAGGUAUUAGACACAAAUAAAUGGGAAUGUUUUAUUAUCAUCAAAAAACUAAUGGAGUCAACAUAUCAUAAACAAAACUCGAUGCCAUGCUGUUUUUCAACUCAUUCUGAAAACAUUUAAGAAUAUCAACUUUCAAUAUACAAUUCAAUCACAUUGCAUUUUCCAAAAAUCUCUACUCUACAGGACAGGUGCACAUGUGUAUAAAAAUUCACAUACACAUUAUGUAUAUAUAUAUAUAUAGAUAAUUCAAACAUACACCAAGGUCAUCCCCACACUAGUCACCACGGCUCUGCACAUACACUCGCCAACCUUAACUCAGCUCAUGUCCACUCCCACAUCGCACAUAGCUAAUAUCGUCAUGUGCACUCCUACACCCCACAUGGCAUAUAUCAUCACCAUGUGCUCUCCCACACCGUACAUGGCAUAUAUCAUCAUCACGUGCUCUCCCACACUGCACAUGGCUUAUAUCGUCAUGAUGUGCUCUCCCACACUGCAUAUGGUAUACAUCCUCGGCGUGUGUUCUCCCACACUGCACAUUACCGGCACUAUCAUGUGCACUCCCACACCGCACACGCACGAUUAUAAUUAUCAUUCAACAUUACAUUUCAAUGCGUGGCACACAUAACAACAUGCAACAAGAAUAUUUGCAUAACAAUACAUCAUACGCCAUAAUUCAAUUGGCAAUUCAACAUAAUAUUUCAAAUACAUAAUUCAUCACAUUAUACGUUUUAAAACAUAAAAGUAUCACUUGUGAAAAGCUUGUUCCCGUUCAUAAAUUUGGAAAGAGUCAACCAAGGAUAUUCUAGCAUUUCAUUCAACACAUAUGCAUUUGUUCAAAACCUUUUAAAUGCAAGUUCACUCACCUUAUAAUAGCGGGAUACUACAUAGCUAUUAGUUCAAAGGCAUAUCUAGCUAUUUCUACUUGCCGGUCGCUUGUUAUUUUCCUCCGGCACGCCACCACAGUACAUUAUCUUUACUUUUGCACUUCCUAGCAACAAUCCAAAUUCAAUAUCUUUAGGGUAUAUCAUUUCUACUUCUCUUUUUCAUUCAAUUGUGAAUCCUUAUUCAACUAACUUAUAUCUUGACACAUUUUUACCAAAGUUGCCUUUACCCUUUGCUUGCGUAAUUUUUUAGAUUAUAAAUACCGACAACUUAUUUAUGACUCUAACACAUAUAUAGAUCUUUUCUAAGGAUAUUUAUCAAGUUCAAGCAUCACUUCCACACCAAUAACCUAGCAAAUGGCAGCAACUAUAAAUUUUGCUUCCAUCAAGCAUUUUUGAAGUCCACAUGCACCACAAUUUACUUUUUCAUGCUGCCAUAAUCACAAACAAUCAAUACAUAUCUCAUUUUUCCUUUCUACUUGUGAUUUGGAAGUUAGAAAGCUUACCCACCACUUAAUCUAGCUCUAAAUCACCACGCACUCCAAGAUUUUUCCACUUGCAUGCCUCGGGUUCUUUGGAUCUUUAUUAAUCCUUACUACCACAAACAAAACCUCACAUCAUAAUUGGUUCAAACUACAUGCUUGCAAAGAAAACAUCAAUUUCUGCCUUCCUUAACUUGAAAUUCACAAGGCAAACCACCAAAAUCUUUUCAAACCUCAAUGAUGGUGUGUGGGUGGGGAAGAAAACCUCUUGGUUUUCUUUUUUCUCCUCCAAGGUUGAGCCUCAUUCGAGCUUUUCUCUUCCUUUUUCCUUUCUUUCUUUCCUUUCUUCUUUCUUUCUUUUUCUCACCUAGGGUUUAGUUGGGAUGAAAAAUGAGAUUGAGAGUUAGGGAUUGGGUGAAUAAAAGGGUAGGAGAAUGGAAAAGUAAGAAAAUAAGAGAAAAGAGAAAAAAAAACUUGAUUUUUAUGGUGAAGAAAGAAAAAUGGCGUGGGAGGAAGAAGAUGGAGAAGAAAAUGCCUUUUGGAGAAGAUAAGGAUCAGCCAUGGAUAAGGAAGAAAAGAGUCAAAGCUUCCUUUGAAGGCUUUGACCAAGCUCAUGGAAAAUUAUCGUUUUGCCAUCCAAGUUUCUCCCUUUUUUAAUUUAGUCCUCCCGAUAAUCUUUUAAUCCAAACAAACUAUAAAGUUUGCACUUCAACACUGUAUCACCAUAAUAUUUACAUAUACACUUACCCGCGCUAGCUUUAUUUAAUAAAGACACGCAGACCCCGUUAAAAUAAUUUUUCUUCGAAAUUCCCUCAUUCUUCUUCUCCCACACUUAGAUUUACCAUAUACUCCUCCUUCAUGACUAAUUUCGACAUCAAAUAAAAUAUUAAUAUUUUAAUAUUUUCUUAUUAGUAAAAUAUUAUUUUAUUCCAAGAUUUUCCACUUAUCUCCUUGGAACCCAAAAUGUCUUAUUAUGCCCCGAUUCACUUUCGAAUCAACUUUUAUCUUGCUAAUUCAUCCUUAAUAAAAUAUAUUAUUAUUUAAUUGUUAUUUCCUCGUAUGCGGAAUACUUUGCUCUAGAAUAUUCCUUUCACCUACCACCGCUCUUUGGCACUUAAAUUCACAUCCAUUAGCCCUUUGUCUUAUCGAUAUUGUUAUGUUGACUACUAUAUGGGGGUACAGAGUAUCACAGUCUCCCCCACUUAAAAAGAAUUCGUCCUUGAAUUCACGUUAGUGUCGGGUUAUUAAUCUCACUCUAUGAUCUUAUUCCAUUUCUUCCUUUAUAGGAAAUUUUGAUUUAUUCACCUCUUUUACCUUUAGUUCGACUAGUACACUUCACUUAUGCUUAUCGUCAUCUUUUAGAAUCAAAUCGGCAGUACCCUUCACAAUCAUUAUCCCUUAUUAUUAAGACAUCGAGUAUGCCUUUAUCUCCAUCAUUAACUUUGAACCAUAAUUCCAUCUCAAUCAUACCGAUUUCAAUCACAUAUUAUACUUACUUAUGUAUACCUAAUCACCAUCUUAUUACUUCAUUCCUUGUCAAACUUCUUGACAUCCAUUCAUUCAUUUUAUCCCCAUACACUAUUAUCUAGCUUACAACAUUAUAAACAUGCCAUAUUCAUUCUUGUACAUAUUCUCAAUGUUGUGGAAGUUAAAUCCUUCAACCAUCCCCUCAUACUUCAUGUUUAUCUUGUAUUUAUGCAACUUAAAUCUUCUUAAUUAUAUCAGUGCAUCUUGUGUGGCGUAACCACGUUACGGGUUACAUUUCCUUGAUAUCAUUUAUUUGACUGUUACUCCAAAAUUUUGUUAUAUCAACAUAGCUAAAUUUCUGAUGGAAUUUCUUAUCAUUGUACUAUCUAUACAACUCAUCAAAUAUAUUGAGUUCAAAUCUCGAAUCACUAAGAACAAUUCUUCACUUUAGUUGGCCACGUUACCAACUCCACACAUACGUAUGUACAUGCACAUUUAAAUGUCCACAUUCCUCAUUAUUUGUAGGGAUCCUUGUGUUCAAGUGCCAUCAGACUAAUUUCUCUUUAUUCGUUCCCAUCCAUAACCAAGAUUCAAUAUAAUAAUUCUCAUAGUUCAUAUCAAUAUUCUCAUAUUUUAUCUACGAACAUUGGGGUACAAUCAAUUUCAGAUUGCCCUUUUUAGAUGUUGAAAUUAUCAUUCCACUUGUGUCUUACCAUAAGUUAUUCCUUACGAAAUCCAUAUGAAUUCUCAUUAUGCCUAUGCAUAGCUUCACAUCUUUUUCAUGCUUAUACUGCUUUCUUAUCAUUUCCAGUUAUAUGGUUAAGUCUCAUUGUACUAUAUAUAUUCUUGCAUUACAAAGUCAUUAAUCACAUCUCACUUGCUAAAUGUCAUUUUCAUUAAAUUGCAAUCCAGCAUGCAUAUAUGCUUUAUAAUCUCAUUGACCUUCAAAGAUUCAUUUUUACUUGAUCAUUGCAUCUUAUGCAAUACCCAAAUUCCAAAAAGUAAUCCCUAUUUCUUGAUUAUCUUUCAUACCCAUAACAUAUGUAUAUAUAUAUAUAUUAUAUCCUUAUUGCAUUUCGAUUUCCAUGAGUCACUUAAGACUUAGACUCAUUCAAAUUACGCAUGCCUCAUACAUUUUCGAACUCCAAUUUCCAUAAUACAUUUGGAGGUUUUCAUUAUCUAACUUCAUUAUCAAGGUUACCUUCAAUCGUCUUUUGUACCAUUCUUUCAUAGUAAUAUAACACCAUUCUGCUUUAGCCAAUUUACAAUUUGUACUUGAUAUUGCAAGACUUGAAACAAGGUUCUUCUCAAGUACUUCUUAAUAUCAAUAUGAAUAUCACUUUUAGCUUACAGCUUUUUUUUUUGUAACCACGUAACUUACUGCUUGUUUUCAUAAGAUUGAUAACAGGAUUCCUUUUGAGUAUUUCCUUGUGGAUACCUACCUUAGACUUAUGUCUCACCACAUAUGAUUGCUUAACUCGUGGUUUAGUCGUUAGGCUCCUUAGCAAGUUUCAAAAUCCCACAUAAUAUAUUUGUCGUGUAUGUUUGGUAAUUCCUUCUCAAGGAUGUUCAUGCAUUCUCAAAACACUUAAUCACUUAUUAACUCUUUAACAUCCUGAGCAUAUCAUUCCAAAAAGGCAUGCACUUAUUCACGAAGACAUUUAAAUGCAUGCUCAUCUAUUCAUACUUCAAUUUAUCUUCAUGGGUUUCUAGCAUGCCACAUAUUUGGCCUUGUGUUGUUACUAAUCCUUUUCAUUCAACUAAAUCAAGACAAAAUUUGUUAAUCCUCAUAGCAAUACUUUGUAUGAACUUAUUUGCUAUGCCACCCUUGUAAUCCUUCAUUCACAAUUUUGUCCCUUGGUAUUGACAUCACUCAAUUCUUAUUAAAUUAAGGAUUUAUCUUUCCCGAGUUCCUUAUUUUACCUCAAAGGGUCUACAUUUGUGUCAAAUUAUCAUUUUAUAAUGUCAUGGCAUCAUGUGCCUCCAUCCUUACUACCCAUCGUACAUUCAUAAAAAAAUAAUUAAAAGACUUACAUACCUUUUUUUUUUUUGUGCAUUGCACAACUCUUCAGGACCUACCUACACACUACAGCCACUUGACUAAUCAAUUAUCCCUUUUGACCCUUUUUUUGUUUAUCCAACGUAUACCCCUUAACAUUUCUCAUCCACAGGAAUGUCGAGUUAUAAUUCCCUCAAUACUUAAGUUUACAAUCCUCGACAUUAAGCACGUUAACCAUUCAAAGUAUCACCUAUAAUCUCAUGGAUUUCUCUCACAUCUUUUCAAAAUUGCAACUGUAAUUAAGAUUUCUAGUUUCACAUUUCUACGAUUGAUUGUUGGCCUUACCAUGUUGUCUCAUGAUAUCCUAUGCAAUUAUGACACAUUGAACUCUCUUAUCCUAACGUUGUCCCCUUGUUCAAUGUGUUUACUCAAAAAUCAACUUCUUUGAUAUAACUUGCCCCAUAAACUAGGACUUUAUUUAUCUAUUUUUGUAUUCGAAAUCAUGCCAAACCCGCAUGCCAUGAUAAAUUAUAAUUUCUAAUAAACACUAUCAAUUCAAAUGGCAUUUUAUACCUUGUCAAAAACUAGAGUUACCACUCAAAAGUCCAUCACGUUUAUUGGUAAUAACUUCAUAAUACUACAAAACAUAUUUAUCGUCAGGUCUUGCAGUUGCUUGAAUCAUUAAUGAAUUUCUAAGUCAACCUUCAAUAAUUGCCUAAGGCGACCAACCACGCCACUAGGCUGAAUAUCUAUCUUUAAUCAUUAUAGUGCUAAUCUAUAUUUGUCAUACAUGAAAAUUUUGACACGCACCAAGUCAUUUAAAUAACUACUUCAUAAUCUAUUUCAGUCACAUAAAAUACAAACCAAACUCUUAAAUCCUUUAUACAGAGAGCAUAUACUACUUAGUUCACACUGCAUUUACCCAUACUUAAAGUAAUACAAAGUUCAACGAAACUAUUAAGUGUUACUAGGAUCACUGUUGCCUUGAUCUGAACACAUCAACGGAUCCUUUUUCGGAUCCUCUUCUAUGUCUUGAGGUUUCCCCAUAUUAUCCUUAAUCCAAGCUUGCUGUAUUCUUUUGCAUUCCUCCCUACUGACAUGUCACGACCCAAUUUUCGGGCCAUGACUGGUGUAAGGACCCAAUAGGUAUAGCCCAUUAGGCCCAAGCAAGCCUCUCAAUAUGCACUUGUAUACUAACUCGUCUAUCUAACAUAUUUCUUUAAGAAUAAGCUUAAUAGUGUUCACAUGUCGACUUCUCCAACGUAACUCAUAAAACCCAAGUGAAUGCUCACAUUAGCAUCAUAAUUCAAAUCAUACAUAGAUAGUUUGUUAAUAUAUCUUUGCAAUUCACAUUAAACAUAUACAAAAACUUUGACCAUCAGCGGAGUGACUCUGGAUGGGAGAUGUGACUACUGAGUGUCAAGAUACCUACCCAAAAGAUGGGGUACGCGGACACCUCACUCUACGUAUCAAUCACCACUGAAUCUGAAAACAUGAAGUUGAAAGCGUGAGUAUAAACUCAGUGAGUAAAGCUAGGAAGGGAACAAGCAUCAGUACGAGAAGUUUUAGAAAUCAUGAUGCAUUUAUGUUGAAGAUAAUACAAUUUAACUCAAUUUCUUGUCACAAUGGAAAUUUGUCUUCGCUGCGAUGAAAAUCAAGCGGAAAUCGUUUCUCAAGUUUUAACAUUCAAAUUGUAAAACCUGACCCUAUAAACACAUGUCCUGACAUAUAUGCACUGAGUAACUUGUUAUUAUGCUAGGAAAGCACCUAAGAAUAGACAACACCUGGUAUCGUACCUAACGGUACACUUGAGUUGAUUUAACCUCGAACUAGUUCAAAUAGGAAUUGUAGGAUGAAAUUUAAUAUUUUAUAAUCCAGGAAUGACUAAAAAUGAUUGUUCGGAGUUCGAGGGUUCAUUACGAGUAAAAUUGAAAAUUUUGAUGUUUAUGGGCAAAAUCGUCAUUUUGCCACCUAAGAUAAUAAUUUGAUCAUGGAGUGAUAUUUUUGACCAAGAUUAACUAUUUGGAGUAUAAUUUAAUGUUAGGAAGUGAAAAUUUUCAAUUUCGGUAAUUUUCGAAACAUAAGGGCAAAACGGUAAUUUUGUCAUCCUAGGGCAAAAAUCAUAAUUUUCACCACCUAAAACUUGUCAAAAUCAUAGGAUUUAUUUAUUUUUGGUAUGAACAACUAUGGUAUGUUAAGUGGUGAAAAAUUGAAGCUUAAAAGAUGAAAUUUUAAGAAUGGACCAAUGGGAAUGAGACACAUGGCACUUUUUAAUGAUUUAAUACUAUUUUAAUGAAAAGUCAGCCCAUUUAAACCCCAUUUGAAGUGAUAGCCGGCCAUAAGGGAGAACAAGAGAGACAAUAGAGAGGAAAGGAAGAAAAAAAAGAAAAACCAAAGAGAAACAAGAAAAUUUACAGGGGAAUUCACGUUUUUCGUCCGUUUACGCGUCUAACGGUAAGAUUUUUUGACUUUAGCUUGAUUUCUACCUUUCCUAUGUCUUUGUUUCCAUUUAGCAUGUUUGAGGAGAGAAAUCUAAAAGUGACAUCAAGGGCUGGCCGAAUUUCAAGGGGGGAGAAUUUGAAAUUUUUGGGUUUUGAUUUUUAGUUAAAUUGAUAGUUUUAGUUAGUUAAAUGUGUUUAGAAAUUAAAUUGGGCAAGAAAGCAUUAAAUUUUCAUAAUACCCACCCUUGGCCGAAUCUGCAAUGAGGUACAAUGAUGAUGAUCUGAUUUUUAUUCUAAGAGAAAUGAAGAGAAAAUGAUGAAAAAUGGUUAAAUGUGAUAGAAAAACAAAGUAGAAAAUUUACUGAGUUAAUGUCCCAUUUUUGGCCGAAUUUUCCAAGGAGGAAAGUGAACUGAUUUUGGUGAUUUUAGAAGGUUAUUGGCUGAUAUUUAAUGGUUAGAAAUGUUGGAUAGAGAAUGGGACUAUUUAGAGCUAAAAUGGAGCGCGUUAGCAAUUUAUCGGGUAAAGUGCCAAAUAUAGGUUAAUAUUGCGUUUAAGCCAUUUUAGGCUAUUGCAUUUCAUACCAUGUAUUAGUAUAGGAUUUAAGUCAAUUAUAUAGUGAUUUAUCAUCAAUGUGGUGAAUUGGGUAAAUUUUGCAAUAUGUCUAGGAGGAGAGCCUUCCGGUAAAGGCAAGGAAGUCGUACCCGACCAACAGUGAUCGGGGCACCUAAGAAGCAUUUCAUCUGUACAAACGGUGAGUAAACCUAUUAUUAUUGUAAAUUAUCUAGAGUUUAUUUUUAAAUACUCUUUAUGUAUUUUAUGAAUCGAAAAUGAGAUUAAAACGAGAUUUUUGAUGCUUUAGAAAUAAAUGUGACAAAUAAAAAUAUAUUAUGUUGAUUAUGAAAUUGAGUAAUUGGAGGCUAGCAAUUGUCUUGAAAAAUAUAUUUUCUUAUGAAUGGCUUAUGAUAUAUGAGUAUAUGUGGCUAUAUUUUAUAAUUGCAUUGGGAAUAGAAUGUAAGUUACCUUUUACUAUGCAGGCAGAAUAAAUAAAUAAAACCCACGUUAUACUGUCGAAAUUUUAUUAAAAUUGGUGGGUUUAGUCACUGCAGUGACGGGUUUUAGUGGACUGCUUAUUAGAGGGGCACGGUAAACCCGAUUUCAUAGUUACUCUGGUUGUAGAGGCGAGGAGGGUAACUCCCGGGGUAGUGUUAGAGUUCACUUCAUGUCAAACCCCCGCAUGAAUGUGUAACUUGGCCAACGCCAAGGAACGGCUUGUUUUCAAAACUAGAAUGUGUUUAACAUGUAAAUAUUUUAACAACCUUGACGGACUCGGUUAGAUGCCUCGGCCAAGGUAUCUCUAAGGACUAGAUUUUUGCUUGAGCCAUGUUUUUAAUAAAGGUUAUAAGCCUUGACAAAUGUUUUGGUAAAUUACAAAUGUUUUAUGGUUUAAGAAAGAAAUUGAAAACCUUAUGAAAUGGUUUGUGAUUUGUUGUUUAAACUUGCCUCCAUUUUACUCGCCUUUAGAUAUUUAUGAUAAUGUCUAUUUACUCAUUGGGAUUGCAAAAUCUCACCCACCUCCUUUCCAAACAUUUCAGGCUUGUGGUAGCUUGUAGAUAUCCGAUUUUGUCGAGGAUUCCAAUUGACCCCUCUAUCCCAUAGACAGUAGGUUACUCUCACCAAUACUGGGUGUAUUUAUGGGCCACUUGUCAUUGUAAUUAUUAUUGUACAUUAGAACUUUGUAAAUUAUUGUAUGUAUGAAUUUGUUUUAUUCUCACGCUACAAAAAUUAUUUAUGUAUAGUUCUAUAAAAAUUAUUUUAUAAGAAAAUGAAAUAUAUUAUCAAAUAUUUUUAUUUUGUUUAAUUAGCCAACUUUUCACUCUAAAUGAAUGAUUUAGAUUACAAAAAUUUAAUUUUAAUCGGCAGUGGAUAUUUUUCUACCAUACGUUGUAUCUUUAUCAGGUUUCGAAAUUUUUUGGUAAAAUGACCAAAAUACCCCUAUGUGGAGAAAAUUUUGUUUUGAUUGUUUUCGAUCUAAAAUAGUUUAUAUUUUCUUAAAACUCGAUAUUUAACAACGAUUGCUCAUAGGAAAGGCAAGAAACUGAUUCGUUAGCCUUGCGAGGUUCCGAUUGGCAUUCUGGAUAAUGAGUGUCAAUCAAGACGUUGCGGCAGUUGUCAUGGGCCUAAGGGAGGUUCUGGGUCGUGACACAAAUUUCACAUGCAUUUCAAUCAUAUACCAUAUUCAUGAACUUUUAUUUCAUAACAUAGAUACACAAAUAUACAUAUAGAUAAACACCAAUACCACCAUAGUCUCAUCCGACUCAUGUGCGUUCCCCCACAUCGUGCACAUAGCCGAAGUCAUCAUGUGCAUCCCCUCACAUCGUGCACAGUCAGUGCAAUCGUAUGCAUCCCCCCACAUUGUGCACAAGGGCACUCUCAUCAUCCAACUCCCUCACCACCGUCAUCACCGGCAUGUGCAUCCCCCCACAUCGUGCACAUGCACGAUUAUCAUUACCACACAAUAUCCACCACCAAUGCACAACAUAUAUAUAUAUAUAUAUAUAUAUAUAUAUCAACAUAAUGCAGUAGUCCAAGAAUCCAUAACAGCCACAUGUCACAACAUAGAAACAAUUUAUCAAGGGCUUGUUCCCAAGGAACUCGUUUUAAGAAAAUAUUGGAUAAAAUCAUUUAAAGGUUUUGUGCAAACACAUUCACAAUCCCAAAGCAAUUUGAAAUUCAAGUUCACUCACCUUACGAUAGCAGGAUAUUUUAUCGCUAUUUGAUCGGAGGCGUCUAUGAUUAUUUUCACUGGUUGGUCGCUCGUUAUUUACUUCGGCACGCCACUACAAUACUCUAACCUUAUCUUUGCACUUCCUAGCAAUAAUACGAACUCAAUAUAUUUACUUACGUAUGUAUACGGCAGCACAUCAAACAAUUAAUCCUUACUCUAAUUCACCAUUCACUUAUCAUUACUAUUAUCAUUAUUAUUUUAAAACUAGCUAAAUCUAUUAUUGAUUUUCUUACUAUUGACAAUUACCUUUAUAUAUUGUAUGUACACAAAUUUUCAUGUUUUAAAUAUUGUCUAACAAUUUAGGGACAUUUAUACCAAAUAAUUCAACUUAUUUUAUGUCAUUAUAUCACACAUUCAAUCUAAUGAAUUGGACUACCCAACAACAUACUUCAUAAUAGAUCCAUAAAAAAAGGCUUGGUUUGAAGUCUUUUUACCUUAAUUGGGCUCAAAUGCUAACCCAAUUAAAAUAUUGCAGCCCACCGAGCCAACUUUGCCAAAUGCAUUGUUGGAGGCCCAAAGAAAUAAUUAUUAUAUAUUUUUUUUUCUUUCUUUCUUCCCGUCUCUUUCUUUCUCUCUCUUUUGCUCCUCUUCCCCGCCGGUUGGCAGCAACCUUCUUUUCUCUCUUUUCACUCACAAAUUCGAAGCUCAAUCUUUUGUUUUCUCCCUCACAAACCCAACAGCAUCAGCUCUUGUUUUCUCUCUCAAAUUUGCAGCAAAACUCUUUCUUUUUUCUCUCAAAAUUCGCAGCAAAACUCUCUCUUUUUCCUUUUCAAAAUUUGCACCAAAACUCUCUCUAUUUCCCUUUCAAAAUUUACAGCACAACUCUUUCUAUUUCUUUCCAAAAAUUUGCAGCAAAACUCUCUUUAUUUCCCUCUCAAAGUUUACAGCACAAAGCCUCUCUUUUUACUCCUCUAAGCGGCGAUAGCUGCCAUGUUUUUCUGCUUUCUUUCAGCCCUCUCUUUCUCCUUUGGCCGGCGGCUUCCUCUUUGCUCUCUCUCUCACACCUACUUCUUUUUUCCUUCUUCAACUUUCUAUUUCCACUCUUACAUCGACUUCUCUCUUUCUUUUUCAAAUAGUCCACCUUUUUCCUCACAACCGACUUUACCUUCAUCUUUAUCUUUUCUUUUAUAUGGCCUUUCAUAUCAAUGGCCGCCCCCCCCCCCUUUACUUUCACACAUGAUUUAAAAGAAUUAUACUAAUAGCUUUGACUCUCUCUUUUGUCUCCAUAACCGGUUAGUACUAAGAGAAUUUGAUAAAAUUUUGUUUGAUGUGGUUUGCAAGUGGGGUCGAAAAUGACAAGCUUUCUUGUCAAUUCUCCAUUUUUUUUUUACUUUUCUUACACUUUCCUUCAAGUAUUGAUUACAUGCCCAUUUAUCCUCAUUUUGCCGUUCAUUCCUUCUUCUUUGUUGUUUUCUUUGAUCGUCCAUGUGUUUAGAAUGCAAGUCAACAAUUGCUUGGAACCUUUAAAGCCACUUUACUUGACUUUUCCUCUCCAUUUCACUAUUGUCUUAUCUUUUCUCCUCAUUUUCUGUCUUUUCCUUUCUUUGUACAUAAGCCUUACAUUUCCAGCAAAUCUUACAUGGACGACUGUCCAUGAGGAACAAAAAGAAAAGUCAAAGCUUCCUUUGGAAGCCUUGACCAAGCUUUGUAACAAAAUUACUAUUUUACCUUUAAAGGUUCUCAUCUUUUUAAUUAAGUCCUACCAAAAUCUUUAAAUCUCCAAUUUCCUUCUAUUAUCUUCUUUUACAUAUGUACAAAUGAAAUAUAAAGUUUGUACCCCAACGCAGUGUUCUUAUAAUAUUUAAAAUAUUAUUUACCCCGCACUAUCUUUAUUUAAUAAAGACACGCGGCCCCAUUAUCGUCAUUUUUCUCCAAAAUUUCCUCAUUCUUCCUCUCCCCCACUUAGAUUGACCAUAUACUCCUUCUUCAUGAAAAAUUUCGACACUAAAUAAAAUAUUAACAUUUUAAUAUUAUUUUAUUCCAAAAAUUUGCUAUUGUCUCCUUUUGUCUCCUUGGUACCCAAAAUAGCUUAUUAUGCCUCAAUUAACUUUCGAAUCACUUUUUAUCUCAAAAAUUCUUCUCCAAUAAAAAUAUUAUUAUUUUAUUUAUUAUUUCUUCGCGUGCAAAAUAUUUUAUCCCAAACUAUUCCUUUCAUCUUUCAUCACUUUUAAAAAUUAUAAUUAACCUCAAUUGGCAUCCGAUAAAUCUUUAUUAGUCACCAUAUCAAAAUACGAGGUAUUAUAUGACAAGUGCAGCACCCCUCCCACAUCCAAGAGGAACGUUUCGGAUAGCAAAUACAUUCCUAUGACGAUAACCUCCUCUUGCAAUUGUCUCUUUCAUAUUUUCCUCAGACUUUUCCAACAAGAAAUUUUCUUUUACGCCUUCCCAAAUCUCAGUGCUAUCCUUGCUUUCAAGACUCUCACUACUUUCGAGACUUUCCCCACUACGAAACAUUAUUUCUAAUCCUAGUGGAAUCCAUCCAAUAGGAAUUCAGGAUUGGCCACUUUCCUGACUACCUAGAUUAGGGCACCAUUGGCUCCUAGCAGUGGAAUCUAAUGAUCCCUCGCUAUCACUGCGAGGGGCAUUUGGACUACCGUCGCCUCUAGACAUGGCGUGUGCAAUAGGCGCACUUUCAAACCUAUACGCAACCAAGCAUCAAUUACUUAGCCAUUUAUACACUAUAGGAAUAGGUAGGUUUCUAAUGAAUUAGGGGCCUAUGUAGCCUCUCGUCCUUGACUUGUGUUGCGCACCCACAAUCCAAGGACAAGACUCUAUAUGGACUCUAACAACUCUGCUGACAGACACAAGAAUCCCUAGGACUCAACUAAAUCUAGAGCUCUGAUACCAACUUUGUCACAGCCCAAAACCCGAGUCUUGACCGGCGCAUGGGCCUAAUAGGCAUAGCCCACCAGGCUCAAGCAAGCCUCUCGAUGCAAACCUGUCGGUAGUUCAUCUAUCACUUUUUUUUCUUUUACAUCUAAAACUCGUAAUUUCUAUUAACAAUAUCUUCAAAAUUUAAAUCGUGAAAACCAAGUACAAACAAGGUUCACAAGAAAUCUCACAAUUUACAUUAAGCCAUCAUAUAUAAACAUACAAUAGACCCUUGACAACCAGCGGAGUGACUCUAGGCGUGGGUUCUAUCAUUGAGAGUCGUAGUGAACCUACCGAAAGAUGAAUAGGAGUGAGCACCUCGACCUAGGAUCCAACUACCUUCGAUCCUGAAAACUAAAACAUGAAGUUGAAAAAAAUGAGUAUAAACUCAGAGAGUGAACAUAGGAAAGGAUCAAGCAAACGAUACAGAAGAUUUUUUAGAAAACACGAUGCACUUGUAUUGAAACCUUGCAAUUUGUAUAUCAUAAACAAAACUUGAUGCCAUGUUGUUUUUCAACUCAUUUUUAAAACAUUUAAGAAUAUCAACUUUCAAUAAACAAUUCAAUCACAUUACAUUUUCCAAAAAUCUCUACUUUACAAGAUAGGUGCACAUGCGUGUAAAAAUUCAUGUACACAUUAUCUAUAUAUAAAUAUAUAGAUAAUUCAAACAUACACCAAGGUCAUCCCCACACUAGUCACCAUGGCUCCGCACAUACACUCGCCAACCUCAUCUCAGCUCAUGUGCACUCCCACACCGCACAUAGCGAAUAUCCUCAUGUGCACUCCCACAACGCAUAUGGCAUAUAUCAUCAUAAUGUGCUCUCCCACACCACACAUGGCAUAUAUCAUCACCAUGUGCUCUCCCACACCACACACGACCGACACCGUCAUGUGCACUCCCACACUGCACACACACGGUUAUAAUUAUCAUUAAACAUUACAUUUCAAUGCAUGGCACACAUAACAACACGUAACAAGAAUCUUUGCAUAGCAAUACAUCACAUGGAACAAUUCAAUUGGCAAUUCAACAUAGUAUUUCAAAUACGUAACUCAUCACAUUAUACAUUUAAAAACGUAGAAGUAUCACUUGUGAAAAGCUUGUUCCUUUUCAUAAAUUUGAAAGGAGUCAACCAAGGAUAUUCUAGCAUUUCAUUCAACACAUAUGCAUUUGUUCAAAACCUUUUAAAUGCAAGUUCACUCACGUUAUGAUAACAAGAUACUACAUCGCUAUUAGUUCUGUCACGACCUAAAUUUUGAGCCAUGACUAGCGCAUGGGCCCAAUGGAGGUAGUCCACUAAGCCCAAGUAAGCCUAUUAAUCUGACGUGUUCAUCAUUCCAUCAUAAACUGCUAAGUCACAUUUCAUAACUUAGGGUCAAAAUAAUAUUAGACACUUGCCAACUCAUACUAGCAUACAAAACAAGUGUAUAUACAUUGUCGAUAACGUAUCUUAAUAAUUUACAUUAGGUUUGUCUAUACACAACAAAAGAAUACUCGACUUCCAGCGAAGAAACUCAGACGAAUGUACAACUACUGAAUGCCGAGACACCUACCAAAAGAUGGAUAGAAGUCUACGAGGACACCUUUUCCUAGUUACCAGCUGUCUCGUGAUCUGAAAACAUGAAGUUGAAAUUGGUGAGUAUCAACCCAGUGAGUGAACAAGGAAGAGAACAAGCAACAACAAGGGAGAAUUUAAAAUCAUGACGCACUUGUUUCAAAACAAUGCAAUUUAGUUCCAUUCAUUUUAAAAACCCCUCAUCAAGCCCUUAAAUGAUUAAUCAUUUGAAAAUCAUGAACCUAUACAUAACGAACCAUUUGAAGAAUGAAAGCUUCAAUGAUACUCAAGCAAGUCAAAUACGACAACGAAUCUUCGUUACAACGACGUUGGGAUUAAGUUAUUAGCCGAACGAGGGUUUCUCAACUGGCCGAGGGUUUCUCACUAAACCUCCUCAUUUUAAACUUAACUCAAUUAGUCCUUAAUAUUGGAUGUCCAUGCUCAGAUAUGGUAGCAAAGAAGUGGAAAAUAGGGCAGCAAUUGGACAAGAUAGGAGAUAAAAUAGAAAGUUUUUUGCUGCAGCGAGAUUCAGCGAAAUUGUGACCCAGAAACGAAAAGUUUCUAGCUACAGCAACAAUGAAUUUCGCUGCAACGAGAAGCUACAGUGUCAUUCUUGUUGUAGGGAAAAUGCAUUCUGGCUACAGCGAGUUUUUGGCCAAUCUACCCCUCCAAACUCGAGAGUUUCUCGCUAUAGUGAAAAUGAUUCUCACUGCAGCGAGAACUAAGGCACCAAUGAAAAUUUUGCCCUUGUUCCCAAAGAAAAACCACCCUGCUGAAAUGUCCAAACCAACAUGAAACGCAUGACAAUUUUCCAAAGUUUAACAUGUCAAGUUUCACAUGCAUUACAACAAUAUACCAUUACUCAUUAGUUUCCUAUAACACACAUAUUUACAUAUGUAUAUAUGUGUACGUAUACCCAUCAUCAUCAUGCACAUCAUCCCAUCAUCAUCAUACACACCAUCACAUCAUCAUCAUCACCAGCUCAUGUGCACUCCCUACUCGCACACAGCUGGGCCAUCACCGGGUUAUGCGUACUCCCUACUCGCACAUAAUCAGGUCAUCCUCGGCUUAUGCGCACUCCCUACUCGCACAUAGCCGAGUCAAUAUAAUUACACAACACUAUAUUCAAACAUAUAUGUAUAUCAACAUAAUGCUGCAGCAUAAAGAUCCAUGAUAACCACAUGUCAUAACAUAAAAUUGAUUUAUGAAAGGCUUGUUCCCAAGGUACUUGUUUUAACAAAAGUUGUAUAGAAUCAUUCAAUUACUUUGUACAAAACGGUCAUAUUCCCAAAACGAUUUUGAUAGGCAGUCCACUCACCGGUAUAUUAUUGAGCCUUUAGCUAACUCUAAUUCCCCUAAUGAUCUAAUUGGGAUGAUAAGGCUUUGUUAGAACCUAGAAUCACAUUAGCAGCAGCAAUAGGUCAAUUCACAUACUAUAAGCCCUAAAAGCUAUCCCUUAGCUAGCCACUUUAAAUGGCUAUCUAUGUUCACUAUCUUAAGCACUAUAAAGUGGAUGAACAUCCUCAACAAUAAAACAACUCAUAGUCCCAAUUACUAACCAUUAUCCACAGCUAAAAACCAAGCUUAGUUCAUCACUUACCCUAGGGUUCCUUUGUAGUCCAAUUUUUUUCCAAUAACUUUCAAACAAAUGGGGUAAUUCUCUCUUUCUCUCUCUAAAAUGCCCAACUAGUGAGAGAAAGUAUGGAAAUAAGAUUUUUCAAGGGUUUGAAGGAAAAAGAGUGGAAGAAUACAAGAGUUCUAGUCAAAAGGGCACAAAGGUAUGAAAACUAGAGCUAAAGAGAUAAUUAUGCAAGCUCCAUAUCAAGCUUCCAUGGAGGUUGGAAGCAACGUGAAAGAAAAGGAGGAAGAAGAAGAAGCUGCUGGAAAAUGGGAGAAGAAGCUGCUAGAAGAAAGAUAUUUAUCGCCAAUCUUAUCCAUUCCUUUGAAAUUACCAAAUUGCCCCUCCACCAAUUAACUUACUCUCCUCCAACUCUUUAUGAAAUCUUUUUACUCCUUUGACACUAGGAUAAGGUCCAUAAUGGUCUAGACAUACUCGGGUUCAUGAAAACUUAAAAUUUUAACCCGAGGUGAAAAAUGACCAUUUUGCCUUUAUCGUGAAAAUCAUCAAAAUUUUUGUUUCCUUUUCAUUCUACCCCCAAUUUCAUCAUCCAUUUAUGUCCUAGGCCUACUUAGGCCAUAAUAUUGUUUAAAAUCUUACUUUUAUGGGCUUACUAAGGAAAUGAUGAAAUUACCCCUGAUUAAGGAUAUUGCGUAUUUUACUAACUAUGAGUUUAUAAAGGUCAAGGUCUCACAAGUUCAGAGGCGUAUCUAGCUAUUUCUACUUGCCGGUUGCUCGUUAGUUUCCUCCAACGUGCCACCACAAUACACUAUCUUUACUUUUGCACUUCCUAGAAAUAAUCUAAAUUCACUAUCUUUAGGGUAUAUCAUUUCUGCAUCUCUUUUUCAUUCAAUCGUGAAUCCUUAUUCAACUAACUUAUAUCUUGACAUAUUUUUACCAAAGUUGCCUUUAUCCUUUGCUUACGUAAUUCUUUAGAUUAUAAAUACCGACAACUUAUUUAUGACUUUAGCACAUAUAUUAAUCUUUUCGAAGGAUAUUUAUCAAGUUCAACCAUCAUUUCCACACAUAUAACCUAACACAUGGCAGCAACUAUAAAUUUACUUCCAUCAAGAAUUUUCUAAGUCCACAUGCACCAUAAUUUACUUUUACAUGCUGCCACAAACACAAACAAUCAAUACAUAUCUCAUUUUUCCUUUCUACUUGUGAUUCAGAAGUUAGAACAAUUGCCCACCACUUAAUCUAGCUCAAAAUCACCACGCACUUCAAGAUUCUACCACAUGCAUGCCUCGGGUUCCUUGGAUCUUUAUUGAUCCUUGCUACCACAAACAAAACCUCACAUCAUAAUUGGUUCAAACUACAUGCUUUCAAACAAAACAUCAAUUUCUACCUUCCUUACCUUGAAAUCACAAGGCAAACCACUAAAAUCUUUUCAAACCUCAAUGAUGGUGUAUGGAUGGGGAGGAAAACCUCUCAAUUCUCUUUUCUCCUCCAAGGCGGAGCCUCCUCUAAGCUUUUCUCUUCUUUUUUCCUCUUUUUUCUUCCUUUCUUCUUUCUUCCUUUCUCUCUCCUAGGGUUUAGUUGGGUUAGCUAUGGAUAAGAAAGAAAAGAGUCAAGGCUUUAUUUGGAAGCUUUGACCAAGCUCAUGGAAAAAUUACCGUUUUGCCCUUCAAGUUUCUCUUUUUUUUAAUUUAGUCUUCCCAACAAUCUUUUUAUUCCAAUUUCCUUCUAUUUUUCUUCCUUUACAUGUGUGCAAACAAAAUAUAAAGUUUGCACUUCAACACGGUAUCACCAUAAUAUUUAAAUAUAUACUUAGCCGGGCUAGCUUUAUUUAAUAAAGACACUUGGGCCCCACUAACGUCAUUUGUAUCCGAAAUUCCCUCAUUCUUCUUCUCCCCCACUUAGAUUGACCAUAUACUCUUCCUUCAUGACUAAUUUCGAUAUCAAAUAAAAUAUUAAUAUUUUAAUAUUAUUUUAUUAAUAAAAUAUUAUUUUAUUUUAAGAUUUUUCACUUAUUUUCUUGAAACCCAAAAUGUCUUAUUAUGCCUCGAUUCACUUCUGAAUCACUUUUUAUCUCAUUAAUUCAUCCUCAGUAAAAAUAUUAUUAUUUAAUUAUUCUUUCAUCGCAUGCGAAAUAUUUUACUCUAGAAUAUUCCUUUCACCCAUCACCUCUCUUGAACACUUUAAAUCCACAUCAAUUAGCCCUUUGUCUUAUCAAUACGGUUAUGUUUACUAUUAAAUGGGGGUACAGGAUAUCACAUAAAUAGUUUAUAUAUACAAAACAUUUCUAAAAACAUGGUAGUCACAAGUGCCUAGCAUUCUACCAACUCAUGCUUUCCACAAUGAUAGUAUAAUUCGAUUACAAAUCCAUUUAAAAAUCGCCUAUCAUGGCUAACAACACAUGCUUUCCACAAUUGCAUUUAAAGAAAACCAGCACAUCUAUUAAACGUAUAUCGAUAUAUAGUUUAUGGAACUUUUGAAAUAGACACCCCUUACUCACCUCACAAUAGCAAGAAACUGUGUCGCUAUUGAUUCGAGUGCGUCUCUAGCUAAUUUAACUUGCUUGUGCCUGUUACCUCUUCCGAUACACCACCAUGACAAAGCCUUCACACUUGUGCACUUCCUAGUAGCAAAUGAAACUCAAUAUGUUUAGUGAAUGUCACCAUAAUUUCGCUCAUAUUUGUUGCUCUAUAUACCAUAUUCUUAGUUUUCUUUAUUUUCAUGGAUCCUUUACAAUAAUCUACUUCCAUAUUUACACUUGAUUGUACACACAUAUGGGCAACACCUUAAUCAAUGAAUCUUUAAUCUAAUUCCACAUUUUUCAUCCUUAUUAUUCAUAAUAAUCUAACAUGCAAUCUAUGAACUUUUCACCAAACAAAUCCAAUAUAACAUAAUGCACCCACGUUACAUGCUUACCUUUCGAUUUUUACCUUGAAUUCCUCCUAGAACUCACAAACUUCUCACAUCCUCGGUCACCAUUGCUGCCACAAGCACAAGUAAUCAAUACACAUUUUAUUUUUUUCCUUUCCACUCAUGAUCUUAAGGUUAAAAGCACUUACCUAUCAUUUGUCUUGCUUUAAAUAACCAUACUCUUAAGAUCAACCCACAUGCAUGCACCCCGUUCUUUGAAUCCUUGAAGAUUCUUGCUACCACAAGCACAUUCUAACAGUACAAUCGGUUCACAAGGCAUGCAUUCAAACAAAAUGAAAACUUUUGUCUUCCUUACUUGGAAAUCACUAAGCCGAACCACCACUUUCUCUUUCAAGCUCCAACAAUGGCGUAUGGGAGAAAACUUUUUGAUUUUCCUCUAAUUUCUCCAAAACCAAACCUCCCUCUAACUUUUCUUCUUUCUUUUUUCUCCUUUCUUCCUUCUUUUUUUACUUUCAAAAUCGAUUCUCUUUCUUUUCUUUAAAAGGUGUGGUUUUCCCAAGCCUUUCCUCACUUUUCUCUUAUUUAUUUAUUCCUUACUUCUCAUUGGACCAAUUCAUCCCCCACUAAAUUUUCAUGCACCAAUUUCCUCCUUUGCUCUUUGGCCCAAUAUCUAUCCUCAUUUAUCUUCUCCAUUCGCCACCUUCACUCCCUCAUUCUUUCUUUCUUCAUUCUUUAUUCCAUGCACCACCUUAUUACUCCAAUCAUAUUUCAUGCAUAACCUUUACUUUAUAUUUUAUUUGGUCAUUCAUUAAACCAUUCAAGUCACAUGCAUCCCAUAUUUUUCUUUCCUCAUUUGGCAACCUAAUGCACUAAUCUCAUUACAUGCAAUAGGAUUUAUUCUCAUUCUUCUUUUUACUUCACAUGGUGGGGGCCCCACAUGUUCCCCACUAACUUUCUCCUUUUCGCAUGCAACAAUUUGCAUGUAAUAAUGAGUCCACAUGCACAUCUUAUUAUCCCAAUAAAUUCUUCAUGUCUCCAUUCCUUCCAAACUCACAUGUACUAUUAUCAGUGCUUACAUCACUAAAAUUUUACUCAUUAAAAUAAUAUUCUAGCAUCAACAAAAUAAUACUUUAUCCAUCAAAUCAUCAAAAUUAUGUUAUAACUUCCCCACUUAAGUUCAACACAUAGAUUAUUUGAGUUUAUCCUCCAUUCACAAUAGGAAUAUUUUGAUAUUAUUUUAAUAAUAUUUUACUAAUAAAAUAUUAUUAAAUUCUAAAAUUUUCCAUUUAACUCUCGGGGUUCCAAAACAUUUUAAUCUAUCUCGAUUUAGCUCCAUUGGUCCUUUACUCCAUUACAACAACCUCAAUAAAUAUUAUUAUUUUAUUACAUACAGAAUAUUUUGUUCCAAAAUAUUCCUUUCCUCCUUCACUACUCCUAAACUUUUAAAUUGACCUCUAUUGGUCUUAAUCUUGUUCUUAAAGACAUGCUAACCAUCGUUUUAGGUCAUAGGGUGUUACAUGGGGGUCCAUGACUAGUACGCAUGAGCUUGGUAGGCACACCUGUAAGACUUGAGGAAGCCUUCAUAGGUAAAUCCUGAUAAACACAUAUAUCAUAAUCAUAAGGCCUUAUAGCCAACAUCAUUUCAUUAAGCUUGAAUCUUUUAUCAUUCAACAUUAGCCUCUCAACUCGUAAUAACGUUCAGGACUUAAACACAACAUACACAUUGCCAUUCGUUGGCUAAUUUACCAAGUCUUUAAACAUCCAUUACAUAACAUCCGGCAACUGCAUGAGGUCACAUUUCCUUCAUGACAUUUAUUUGCAUCAUGGAAGCAUAAAUAAACUAAGCCUCAGAUUGUGACAUAGCAGAGAUUCAUUGACAAUGAAUAACAUACCACUUUUCAAACUUGUGUGUCUAGCGUCGACAACAAUAAGUCACCUGAUCCUCGGUAUCCAUUUAUCUACACAUGUGUAAUUAAAGUGGUGAGUUACACUAGUACUCAAUCAGUAGGAGCAUAAAUAAUUGUAAAUGUCCAGGGAUAGUUGCUACACAUAUCCUCUAAACAUGCAUGAAUAUCAUAUAUCAUAGUACAUAUACAUAUAAGACAAGUCAAUCGUCACUUGUCGAACAUUAUCUGUCAUAUCAUGGAAGCCAUCCUACGUUGCAUAUCUCUAGCUAUUAACAUACUAAGGUGGUAUAAUCAUCCUCACCUUACUCAUUCAAAAUCAUUACUAACAUAACUAUUUAUCAAUAUAAUCUACCAUAUGAACCAGCCCACCAUAUGGCCAUCUGCAUACAUGGCUUAGCAUACAUACCCUAAAGCACUCACCUCGACGCUAAAUCAUAGCUCCUCAAGCAGACAACACAUCAUAAUCAUAUAUCAAUUACAUAUGGCUCUUACCUUAAGCCUUUGCAUUAAUCAUCAUAUCAUGACAUCAAAUAACAUAUUUCACAUUUCGAAGCCUAAGGCAUGUCACUACAUAGUCGUCAUAUCAUAUCAUAGAGUGGUCUUCCCAUGGACAUUAGCAAAUCACGCUUGGUGGCUAGUCGGAGAAGAAAAAAAUCACGCCCAGUUACAAGGAAAUUGCUGGAGUAUCAAAGUCAUCGUCCAAAGCAAUCUCUCCACGGAUGGCAUCGCAAUCCUUGUCUAGGGCAAUAUCCCAAUGGAUGGCAUCACCCGGAGUAUUCUCCAUAGGUGGCAUCACAAUCAUCAUCCAGAGUAAUCUCCCGAAGGAUGGCAUCGUGCACAGCAAGCAGGAAUCACAAGCGAGAUUCAACCAUUACCCCUAUUUACCACCGUCCCUAAGGCAUGAACAUAGUCAUCAUCGCACAGUAGGCGAGAAUCAUAGGUGGGACAAAACCAGCAUCCCUACUUACCCCAUCCUUGCCAACAUCAUAAUCAUCAUCAUACAAUAGGCAGGAAUCACAAGUGAGAGAAAACCACCAUCCCUGUCAGCAUCUUAAUCAUCAUUACAAAGUAGGCGGGAAUCACAAGUGAGACAAAACCACCAUCCCUACUUACCACUAUCCCUACUAACAUCAUACAUAGUCACAGGGAUAUGGAUACACUCAACCUCAUAAUACCCAUCUUUGGAAUUCUUCCAUGGAUGAAACAUACAUAUGUGACAUCGUAUCAUUGUCCAGAACCAUCCAUAGAUGGAACAUACAUAAUCAACAUCAUAACAUUGUCUGGAAUCAUCCAUGGAUAACUCUCAUUCAUCAAUCAUUACUUCGAUCAAAUACACUUAUUAUCAUCUCACUAGCCUAGGCAUAUUCCUUUUAGGCAUAUUAUACAAGUCUCAUAGCAUUCACUAGUCUAGACAUAACAGUUCUAGACAUAUUCAUCAUGUACACAUUUGUAUUAACAUCAUUGGCCUAGGCAUAAUCCUUCUGGGCAUAUUAAUAUCACAUCAUUCAUAAGCAAUUUCUAGUUUAGGAAUUCUAUCUAUAGACUUACUUACAGCUCAUAUAUAGCAUGUAUCAUUCAUUGCAUUUUCAUGAUCGAAGCAUACAUGCACCCUAGUCAUUAAUCUCCUAUGCACAAAAGUUUCCCACUCACCAUUACAAUUCAAGGAUUCUUAGUCAACAUUGGUACUUACAACUCACUUAUGCUUUAGCUUUAAUUCAUGCAACUUGGUACUUGAGCAUCAUUCUCAUUCCUAUAAUCAUCUAGCAUCAACAAUACAUGAGCACUACUAUUUAUGCCACAACUUUUCAUUUUAUAGCCAAAUCCUUACUUUCAUAUUAUUUCCAGCUUUUCCAAAAAUAGCCAAAUCCUUAGCAUAUGAACACAUAAGCUUAUAUCAUUCAACAAUGAGCUAAUCUAUCCCUCAGAAAUGGGAUUAUGCUAUUGUUUACCCUAAAUAUUUGGUCAACUCAAAAGGGUAAUUUUUAUUUAAAGUUGGUCCAAGAUUAAAUCUGAGUUAAUACCCAUUUAAAUUGAAAAUCAACUGACAAUAAUGCUCUAUCUGACCUCUAAUAGCAUUUCCCAAGCUUCACAUUUACUCCCCUUAACUCCAAGUGCUUCAAAAAUCAAUUUGAGAGUUACGGUUUUGAGUUAUAGAGAGAGAAAGUAAAAAUCUCCCACCAAGCUUUUAGGAGGCAAAAUACCUUUUUUUUAGUGCUUAGAAUCCAUGAUUUAUCAUUAGGAUUGAGUGGGCUUAAAGGGUGUGAAAGUUAAAAUAAAAUGGGUGGAGAAUGAAGGAGUAGAGAGAAAAUGAGUGAAUCAUUUUAGAGCUUUUAAGCUUGAAUUUAACUGAUCUAAUGGUGUAGGAUUGACUAUGGGAGGCCAGGAUUUGAUCUUGGACUAGAUUUUUACCCUUGCUCCCAUUUCUUGCCCUAAGAUCAACUAAAAGAGUUAUGUACUUGAUCCUAGGCUAGUGCUAUUAUUUACCACUAAACUUUACUUCACAAAUUCAAUCCUUCAUGCACUAAGAUUGACUUUUGAGGUACCAAUUCAUAAAAAUGUAUUCUUUUGAAGCCUAAACUCAUUCCAAAUCUCCUCGACAACCUCCAAUCAUUCAUAUUUCACUUAAAUCAACACACAAGUCCAUCAUACACACUAAUCACUCAUUCAUGCUUUAUGCCAUAAGUAUAUCAAUUAACAUGGCAUAAUUUGCAUACAUAUCAUACUCAAUUUAAUGCCAAUCAUAUGCAUUGUAUCAUUCAUAUGCCAAGCAUAUGCACAACAUCAUUUGAGCUUUUACACACUCAUACAUUUCUUGACCAUCUUUCUCUAUGGACAUAGGCAUUUCGCAAGUUCAUAAGCAUACACAUUGAGGUCCUCAUCAACUGUAAGUUAGUCCAACAUCAUGCAUAGCUAACAUCAAGACUGGGUGUGUAAUAGUAUAUCUAUGUACAAAUAUUGCUCAAAUAAAUAGUAAUCAUGAAUUUUCAAGACUGACUUUUAAUCACGUAGAUAUAAAUAUUCAACAUAAGAUCAUAGAUAUAAACAUUCAAAAAAAUAUCCUAAAAAUAUCCCUUAACACAUUGUUCAACUAAACCAGCAAUUUAGCAUAAAAACAUAAACGUUUAUCACUUAACCUAGCAACACAAAACAUAAGCAUUUAGUUCAACACAACACAAAAUGCAAAACAUAAACAUUGUUUAACCUAAUCCUAAUCUAUCCUUUUAUUUUCUCCCCCUUUUUGUCAUUAAUCAAAAAAGGGUCUUAAACUUGUAUUGCUACUAAUCAAUGUCUGAUGAAGACUCAUUUACGAAUGAUUCAUCAAUUCCUAGGUGAACAGAUAGAGGAUCAACAUGAAGGGAAUAAAGAGACUAAGGAUCGAUGUUGUCAACUUUUCACGCAAAUGCACGUUAUAGCGAACAAGUGAUAUAGUAGAAGUAGAGUAUCGUUCCCAUAGGGAUUUGUUUGUAAAUUUUCAGUAAGUACUGAAAUUUUAUAACAAAUCAAUCUUAUUUAAGUAACAAAAAAUUACAAAAAAACUAAUUAAAGGAAAUUAAAAUGUACACUAAAUUAACCAAAGGAAAUUAAAUAUUCUUGAGAAAGUUAAUAGAUUAAAGACCUAAGAUUAUGGGUUCUUCAACACUUCAACUUAUACCAAUUUCUCUUAUUAUUUAUCUUCCCUAUGUGGUUUUACUAACCUUAAAUCCAAAGUUAUGUACAAGUCUCCAUCGAGACGCUUACACAGAUACUUAACUUAAGUAGUUUACCAUAUAUGUCUAUAGGAAUCACUCAAAUUAAGUUCAUUAAGCUAGUGCCCUAAUUUUGCUAUGUAUGACAAUUGAAGCAUGUCUACCUGAGUCGAGAAUUAGAUCAGCUAAGUGACGUGAACAUACACUAUACAAAUCUUAGUCUAAUCUAAAAUCUCUCUGUCAAGUUUUAAUUAGGUUCACAAAUCAAUUAAUUGUUUAUCGAGCAAUUAAAGACAUUAUGAGUUGAUUUGAAUAAGCAAAACUAUACCCAUUCAUGAUAAAUAAAAGAGAAACUAAUAUUCAAACUACAUGUUGAAAAUCCACCAUAAUCCUAGAAAAACAAUUUAGUUCAUGAUAACUAAAUAAAACAAAUCUAAACAAAUUUAGCGAUGAAUUUGAACAAAGAAAAUAAGUAUAACACAAAAGAGAGAAAUAAAUUAAUGUUGAAGCUUUGUUUAUCUUGAAUCUCUCUCAAUUGCUCUUGUUCUUUAGCUUGAUUCUUAGCUCUAAUUCUCUAAGAAAGCUGUUACAGUUCUCUCUUUAAAAUCCUUUGAAAAAGACCUUUAAAUAUGCACAAGGUGCCCUAAUUUCCAAAUUUUUGUCAAAAAUUUUAUUUUUGGAAACUAGUGUAGCGCCACCGCAUGAUUCCUUUGCGCCAUAACAUAGCGGUUGACAUUGGUGGUGUCAUGGCGUUCUAGCUUUAGGCUAAUAUAUGAUGCCCUCAAUUGUCUAGCACCGUAGCCAUGAUCUUCCCAACACUAUGACCUUAACUCCCUCAGCACUGUGGCCAUGGGUAACUCAAGGCCAUGGCCUCCAAUCAACAUGCUGUGUAGAAUUACAACUGUCCAUCAUAUUCCAAUGCAAUUUUCACCUUGAUCAGAUCCGAAAUAGGCACAAUGGUAAAUAUAAAAGUUGUAGCUUGUUCCUUUAGCUUUCCAAUAGAACAAGAAUCUCAUCAAUUUGAUUUCUGUAGUUCAAGUUAUCCUUGAAAUACCAUAACAUAUAUGAACGAAGCCUUCACCAUGCUUGUGCGAUUUUAACUCAAAUAUCCCACACAAAACCAUGAGAGAAAUCAACAAUAACUAUUCUUGAAGUAAAUUAAAGAAAAAUAAAGUAAAAUUGAACUAAAAUAACUUAAAUUAAGUACUCAACAUAUAAUCUAACUUAACUAGAAAAACACUUAAAAUUCUAAAAUCUGAACCUAAAACCUUAAAAAUCUAGCUAUUUAAGCCCCCAAAAUUCGUCAAAAUAACUCUAUAUGAUAAAAUUACUAGUCAAAUGAUAAGGAAGAUUUAGAAAAUAUGAUUUUCGCAGAUGCAGGUUUAAGGGUUGGCUUGGUAGUGGACUCAGCUAUCUUGGCAAAUUUCUUUCUUUUAAAGAUUGUGCUAUUUGUUGCCAUUAUUUCCUACCUUUCCUAGAAGGUUUCUUAGAAACAGACCCAGUGACUGUUGCCUUGCCCUUGUCCUGAACUUGUUGUGUUGCAAUCUCCUCUUUAUAUUUUUGUGUUGAUUAGGCCUCUUGCUCCAUCCUUUCUCUUGCUUUUUGCUUGUCAGCUUUAUUUUCUUAGAGUAAUUCAAUAAUGAAUUUCGAAACCUUUAUCUCUAUAGACUCUUUAGGAGAUUUCUCAUUAGUUUUGGCUACCUUUAUUUCUAUUUUGUUUGGAUUUUUUUAUUUAACUUCAAUCUCUUAUUCUUUUUCUGAUUUCCUAUCAUUCUUCUCUAUCACUCCCUCACUUUCUUUUUCCUUCUCAAUUUCUAUAUCUGGUUCUAUUUCAUUGGCUAUAAAUUCAUCAUGACACUUGCCUUGUCAGUUUCACCUUCAGGAUAAAAUGCAUGUGUUGCAAUUUGCUCUAUGACAGUUUUUCACUUGAAGCACUCCCAACUCUUGUUUGAUUUGUAGGAAUCUCAACUUCUUUUUCUUUCAGAACUGAUUUGUCAAGUUUUUGUAAUCUUUCUUCAAUUUUCACAAUCUUCUCAACUUGUUCAGUCAACUUUCCAUUAAUUCUUGUUGGCAAGUUUAAGACCAUGUCAUUUUGAAUAAGGGGUUGACUGAUUCUAGAGAAGGAAGUGGAAAGAGGCUCGAUUCCUAAAAGAUCUAGGAUACCUUUGAGUGUUUUGAUCAACUCUUUUCUCUCAAGUUUAUAUCCCAUCUUUUGUAAGCUUCUGAGAAAAAUACCUUGAUCUUUGCUCUUGGUUCAGUUAGCCUGAUAUCUAACACUCUAAAUUCCUUUUUUCUUAACUAGAGUCGAAAUGAUGUUUCCAUAUGGCAAAUUGACUUUAUCUCGUAGACAGGGUCCUCUCAUUCUCUUUGUCAUGACCCAGUACUCUCCUCGAGCCCGUGACAACCGCCACAAUGUCCCGAUAGACAUUAAUCACCUAAAAUGCCAAUCGAAACCUCGCAAGGCUUUAAUAUCAGUUUUCUCACCUCCCCUAUGAGCGACAAUUGUUGAAUAUCAUGUUUUGAGAGAUUCUAAACUAUUUCCAAAUCAAAACAAGAAAAAAAAAAUUUUUUUCUCACAGGGGCAUUUUUGUCAUUUUUCCUCAAAAAUCUCGAAACCAUAUAAAAAUGUAGUAUGCAAGUGGAAAACACAUAUUUCAUAAUUAAAAAUAAGUUUAGAUGUCUAAAACAUUCAUUCAAAGUGAAACUAUAACUAUUUGAAUAUAAUAAAAAUAUUCUAUUUUCUUAUAAAACAAUAUUUAUAGAGUUACCGGUAAAUAAUUGUUUUAGCGUAAAAGCUAAAUAAAUUCAUACAUACUAUAAUACAGAUAACCAAAGUAUAAAAUUUAAUUUAUAAUGACACGUGGGCCCACGAACGACAAAAAAUUUCUAAAGAAAUGAACCUACAAUUUUUGAGAGUGUAAGUCCAACUGUAGUCCUUGAUGAUAUCAACUAUCUACAGUCUAUUCUGAGCUUGAAAUGGGUGGAAAGGAGAGUGGUGAGAUUAUAAAAUCCUAAUAAGUAAACAAACAUCAUUUAAAUAAGCUAAAGUCGAGUAAUAAGAGACAAUCAAAAUAUCCCAUGACAAUACGUAUUUCACAACUUGAAAAUUUAUCCCAACCUAGGCAAACGAUUGUAUUUCAUUUAAUUCCUCAAUAAGGCUUAUGACUUUCAUAACAUUUGGCUCAUGCCAUCAAAUAGUACUUGGUGACACCUUGAUCAGAGGCAUCCAACUGAGCCCGCCAAGGCUGUUAAAAAUUUCAUAUACACGUAAACAUAUUUUUAGUUUAAAGAAAACAUAACCGUUCCUUGACAUUAGCGGAGUUCAUCAUCACGAGGUGGUUCAGUGUAACGUGAACUCUAACGAUACCUUAAACGAUACCCUACGUGCCUCUCCGGCAAAGGUACAUAUAUAACCAAAUUCUGUGCCCCUUUAAUACGCUAGUCCGCAGAACCCGCCCACUGCAGCAAGCUAAACCCACCAUACAAUAAAAUUUGUAAUAGCAUGAUAUGGCAAUUAUUUCACAAUCCAGCCUCUCAAGGCUAAAUACACAGUUCAUAUAUUUCAACACAAAUACUAAUUCGGCCAUUCAUGCAAAUAUUGUCGUAAGCCAUUCGAUUCAAACCAUGAAUUUACAACACAUGAAAACAGUCUCCAAUUACUCUAUUUUCAAACCACCAUUCAAUUUCAAGACGAUGUUAUAAUAUCAUUUCAUUAAAUCACUUUUUAGUUAUAAAACCCAAAGAUUUACCAUUUAACUCAUUUUCCAUAAAAUUCACAAAAUCGAAUAAAAUGACCACUUUAGAUUAUUAAAAUGAUGAUAAGUUUACUCACUUCAAAAUAGCGGGAUUUCUAUGUCGCUAUUGAUUCGUACACGUAUAAUUAUUCCUAUUUGCCAGUCACAUACUUCGUUCGGCAUGCUUCCACAACAAACUUUCCUAGCAACAAUUUAAACCCAAUAUACUUACUGCAUCAAUUCCACUUCUCUUUCUCAUUCUAUCAUAAAUCCAUUCACCUAAUUCACUUCUUAAUAUAUUUUUACUAAAAUUAAUUACAUCCUUUGCUCACGUAAUUCUUUAGAUUAUUAACAUCGGUAACUUAUUUAUGGUAUUAAGUGCCUAUUUCAACCUUCUAAACAACUUAAAUUUACUUCAUAUCACCAAAUAACCAAUGUAUAAUUAAAUAAAAUGGGCUAGCCUCCAAACAGUCCAAUUUCACAAUAAGCCAUGGAGAAGAGUAAAGCAAUUUUACCAAAUUAGGCUAGGUUGGCCCAAGUCUCCACCUUCCUUCUCUUUUGGACUUUUCUUCCUUUGUUGUUUUUGGGCCCUUUUUCAUGGGCUCUUUCCAUUUCUUUCUAAUUGGGCCAUGCCCAUUCUUUUCUUAUUGGGCCAUGUCCAUUUAUAUGCAUAUAUAUAUAUAUUUUCUUUUCUUUUCUCUUCUUUUCUUUCCUUUUUUUUUUCUUUUGUUUCUCUCUUUCUCUUCCUCCUCUCUCCCGUCGAUCAGUAGCUCCUUGCUUGUCUUUCUUUUUCCUUUUUUAUGUACACAAGCUGUCCACAACUUCCUCCUCUCUCUCCCUCUCACCGCUGGCAAUAACUUCUUACUUCUUUCAACCAAAAAUUUUCAGCAACUAAAGCUGCUCAUAUCCACAUCAAAAUUAGCAGCCCAGCUGCUCUAUUUCUUCUCAAAAUUAGCAGCUAAACUGCUUUGUUCUCCCUCCAAAAAUUAAUAGCCAAAGCUAUAAAAAUUAGCAACCAAAAUCGCACCUUUCAGCCUUCAAAAUCAGCAACCAAAACUGCACCUUUUAGCCUUCAAAAUCAGCAAUUAAAGCUGCUCCUCUCACUCUUAAAUUGACAGAAAAUAGCGCUCAUUUGCUCUUUAAAUUGCAGCAAAACAGCCCCCUCAACUCAGCUCUUUCUCCUCUCCGUUUCUUUCUCACCGCUCGGCUUUCUCUUUUUUUCUUUUUGCUCUUUUUGCUUUCCUUAUGCUCGACGCCUUCUUCUUGUUUCUUUCUCUUCUCUUCCACUAACCAACUUCUCUCUUUCUUCCUCUUUACUUUACUUAUUUACUUAUUUAUAUAUAUUUUAUUUCCCAUUUGUUUUUCCAAUUUGGCCGACUCUUCCAUCUUUCUUUCCAUCAUCAUCUUCUUCCACAUGGCCGGCCCCCCUUUCCUUCAAAUCAAAUAAAGAGUUUUUGACUCUUUUUAUUGACCACAUGGGCGGCUGCCCAUGUUGAUCUUUCUUUAUCUAUUUAUUUUAUUAUAUAUAUAUAUAUAUAUAUACUUACAUUAUUAUUUCACUAUUUGUUUAUUUUAUUUCUUCCAUUUAAUUCCACUACAUAAUCCUUCAAUCUCUAUUUUUUAAAUUCGAUCCUUUUAGUACGUCUAAAAAUUUCAAUUUUCAUCUAUCUUCCUUCCUUUGUACGUGUACCACCCAAAAUAUCAGAAUUACACUUCAACGCGGUAUUACCAUUAUAUUUAAAUAUUUACUUAUCCGAGUUGGCUCGACUUAGCAAAACACGAAUAUUUCACUUUCGUCGCUCAUCUCCAAAAAUUUAUUUGUAUUCUUUCUCCCCCACUUGGAUAUCCCAUAGGAUCCUUCUUCAUGACUGAUUUCAACAUUUGGUUAAAUAUUAAUAUUUUAAUAUUAUUUUAUUAAUAAAGUAUUAUUUUAUUCCAAAAAUUUCCUCUUGUCUCCUUGGUACCCAAAAUACCUUAUUACGCCUCAAUUGACUUUCGAAUCCCCUUUUAUUUCACAAAUUCUCCUCUGUAAAAUAUUAUUAUUUUAUUAUUAUUUCUUCGCGUGCUAAAUUUUUGAUUCCAACUAUUCCUUUCAUCUUUCAUCACUUUUAAACAUUAUAAUUGACCUCAAUUUGCAUCCGAUCAGCUUUAUUAGUCACUGUAUCAAAAUAUGGGGUAUUACACUCUUAAUCAUGUAUUGUGCUAUAGUUAGAGGAAUUUCACUCAAAACAGUUCCAUCAGCCUUAAGUUUUGAGUGCAAACAUAACUGAAUCUUCUAUUUCUUCCAUGUAUGGUGAACGGCAAAAAGUAAUGAAAUGUCCUCAAUUGAGCAUUCUUUAUCUCACUUGCAUAGCUUUUUGAGGGAAAUUUUUCUUUUAUUCAUGUAAUCAUCUCUCACAUGGGUGAAAGGUCAUAGUUUGGGUGAAUUGAAGAUUCUACCACUUGAUACUCUGUUCUUAGUAGUUUACUAAUAUCAACAGCUAUGAUGUUAAAUUUUUUCCACACAGGAACAUAUUCAACCGAUCUACUACAAAAUCAUUUGAGUUUACAAGCUCACCCCUUUCUAAGGCAAUGCUAGAGAAAAACUCUCUUAGUAGAGUACGGCUAUAAUGUCUAUCUCCAAAUGUGCUUAAACCUUUAACUUUGAGUUCAUCAAAAAGUCUAGAUGAAUAUUUGUUAAUCGAAAGGGUUUAAUCAAAGUUUCCCCAAUCCAUAAAUUUUCCACACGAAAUUGUUGAAUUCUAUAUUUUCUUGUGUCUGUCAGCAUGAGCUUGAUUCUUACAACUAGAGGUUGAGGGAUUACCUUUCCUGAUGGAAAUCCUUGUUGCUAUACAUCUUUUUGUUUUUGUUGUCAUUUUCCUAUGACUUUCCUCUUUUGUUAAAGCUAAAGAACCUUAAAUUAUUUUACCUUUUUUCUUUGGUUGUAGAGCAAGUAAAUCCUUAGUUAAUUUCUCCUAUUUCCCUUUGUUUGUAACCUUGUAGGUGAGAGAAGUUCUAGCCAUUGAUUUUGCUGAUGGUGAGGACUUGAGUUUCUUAGGUUAACUAGGGAUUGAAGAGAGAACAAAUUAAUUUCAGAGGAUCUGGGUGUUUGGGGUUUAGAUUCUCUAGAUGUGUGUUUUUUAAGAAACUAAAGAGGUUAAGAGGGAGUUUUUAUAACCGUUAGCCAAUGUUUUGAGAAGGAGUUUUUCCCGUACCUCCUGAUCCUCAUUUUUUUAUUGAAAUUUCCUACACAUCAAUUGUCUCAUUAUCUAUGGUGCUUUAAUUGGUUAGAGUAAGCCUUAAUCGAUUAAAGUUUUUUUGACUUAGAACUUUUCUAAUGACCAGACCUGCAUUAACUAGUUAAGAGAAUUUUUAACUAAUUAAUACCUCACUUACUCAAGUUAACCGCCUUAACAUAGAAUUGCUUUAAUUGAUUAAAGAAGUCUUAAACUGAUUAAAGUAAACCUUAUCUUCCUUCAAGAUCUCUUUAACUAAUUAGAACAUUUUCUAAUCAAAUAAAACAAGAAAAAGCACAAUCAUCAUGCUAUAUAUAUCAUCAAAAACAUGUUUAACUCAACUCAGUUUGACUUCAUUAACAUCUAGCAUUCCUAAUUCUCUCCUAAUUCUACAAAAUUGAUCUUCACUUUAUAGUUUUAUGAAAAUAUCGGCUAAUUAAUGUAAGGUAUCUAUAAAUUCUAUUUCAACAUCUCCUUUAAACACAUGAUCUCUAAUAAAAUGAUGUCUAAAUUCAAUGUGAUUACUCCUAAAAUGUUGGAAGGAUUUUUGAAGAUAUUAUGGCACUCAUGUUACCACAAUAAAUAGAAACUUUAUGCAUAGACUAUCACAGCCCAAAUAUCGGGCCAUGAUAGAUGCAUGGGCCCAAUGGCACAACCCACUAUGCCGAAGCAAGCCUCUUUAUGUAGUCUUAUCCAUCAUUUCAUCCAUCAAUCCUAAAGUCACAUUUCGUAAAUUCUCAACUAUAAGUACUUCAAUAAUGUGCUAUAAUAAUCAAAUACUUGCAUUUGUAUAAACUUAAAAUAAUGUCACCCAUUGCCAACUCAUAGUGGCAUCAUCAAUCAAAAUGUAUACAUAUAGUUCAAGGCAUAGCAUACAUAUCAUCAUAAUACAGGAACACAUGAAUUCAUUACAUUUCACAUUUCACAACAUAAAAACGUUUCAUCAAGGGCUUAUUCCCAUGCAUAUUUUAAAGAAAAGACCAACAAAAUAUUGCAAGUGAUUCAAUAAAAAACUUACUCAUUUAUCCUAAAAUAUUUUAAUGCAAGUUCACUCACUUGGCUUUGUUGAUUCUUUAAUCAACUCCAACUUCCACUAAUGCUCCAAAUGGAGAUGUGGGGUCUCGUUAAAACCUAUCAUACACAAUAGCAUCACAACCAACUUAAUUUACAUGAAUAUUAUUCCAAAAGCUAUUUCCUAAAUCAAACUUUUCUAGUUAUUCCUAACUAGUUUCCAAUUACCUUUGGACUAGUCAUUUAUUUGUAUUAUUCUAGUCACAAUAGAAGUAAAUAAACAACCUUUAAUAGUAAGACAGCCCACAAUUCUAAUUAUUGCCCCUCAUCAACAACUUAGAAAUCAACCCUAACUCACUACUCACCUUGAUGGUUUUUGUAGUUGAAUUCCUUUUCACAAGUUUUUCAAGCUAUUAUGCAAAGUCUCUCUCUAUCUCUUAAACAUUUAGCUAGUGAGAGAAAGUGAUGAGGAAAGGUAAUUGAGGGCUCUUGAGGUGGAGUGAAAGAACACAAAAAGUCUUAUGAACAAGUGUAUUAAAACAUAAGGCUUGGAGUUUCUAUGAGAAAGUCAUGGAGAUUUCAAGGAUGGCUUUCAUGGAAGAUGAAAAGCUAGAAAUGGGGAGAAGAAAGACGAAGAAGAGGAAGAAGCUGUUGGAAGUGAGGACAAAGUGCUGAAGAAUUAGAUAUUUACUCCUAGGGUGGACUAAAGUUCCACCUAUUUACAAAAAUGCCAUUGCAUAGUUGACUUUGCCUUCUUCUUUCCUUUGGCUCAAACUUUUUACUCUUUUAACACUAAGACAAAGUCCAUAAUAGACUAGAAGUACUAGAGUUCACGAAAACUUAGAAAUUUAGACCUAAGAUCUAAAAUGACCGUUUUGCCCCUAUUGUGGAAAUUAUGUUUAUUUCUAUUUUUUCAUUUAUUUUAUUAUUAUAUACAUCAUUCAUUUAUUCCUUAGACCUACUUAGACCUUAAUAAUAUUAGAAAAACCCACUUCUAAGAGCACACCAAGAAAAUGACAAAACUACCCCUAGUCCAUGUCAUCAUGUUUACCUUCGCUACACAUCUAUGAAGGUUCAGGUUUCACAUUCUCCCCCACUAAAAGAAAUUCGGUCCCCAAAUUUAAAUCUAACUAUAGGGUAGCAUACCUCUACGUAUUAAAGAGGUAUGGAUAUUUUGUUCGCAUCUCUUUUUCAGCUUCCCAUGUUAUCUAUUCACUGGUAUGGUUUCGCCAUAACACUUUCACUGAGGAUACAUCCUUUGAAAGAAGCUUUUUGACUUGCCUAUCAAGGAUAGCCAUCGGUUGCUCUUCAUAAGUUAAGUCAUCUCUUAACUGAAUGGUUUCAUAUCGUAUUACAUGAGAUGUAUCCGAGUUAUACUUCCUAAGCAUUGACACAUGAAACAUUGGAUAAAUAUUCAAGAGGUCCGACGAUAGUGCCAAACGGUAUGCUACUGUUCCAACCUUGUCUAAGAUCUCGAAGGGUCCCAUAUAGCGAGGACUUAAUUUUCCCUUUUUACCGAACAUUAUUACCCCUUUUGUUGGUGAAACCUUAAAAAAAUACAUGAUCCCCCACUUGAAACUCUAAGUUUCUCCAUCUAUUAUCAGCAUAUGACUUUUGUCUACUUUGUGCUGAUAACAUCCUCUAUCGAAUCAUGAGUAUCUUCUCGAUGGCAUCCUACACCACUCUAGCCCCAAGAGUUUCCUUCCUUCCACCUCUAGCCACCCAAUGGGUGACCUGCACCUCCGUCCAUAUAAUGCCUCCAAUGGUGCCAUCUGGAUGCUAGCUUGGAAGCUAUUGUUGUAAGCAAACUCCACUAAGGCUAAAUACCAAUCCCAUCUAACCCUAAGGUUUAUUUCACAUGCCCUCAGCAUAUCUUUUAAUGUCUGUAUUGUUAGUUUAGAUUGCCCAUCAGUUUGAGGGUGGAAAGCCGUGAUAAAAUCCAACUUAGUGCCCAACACUUCUUGUAACUUUCCCCAAAAUCUACUGAUGAACUGUGUCCCUCUAUUAGAUACUAUAGAAAUGGGAAUACCAUGCAGUCAUACUAUCUCUUCUACAUAAACUCCAGUGUACUGGGUAGCCUCGUAAGUAGUUUUAACUAAAAGAAAAUGAGCUGACUUCGUUAACCGAUCUACUAUAAUCUAAAUCGAGUCAUAACCCCCAAUAGUUUGGGGCAAGCCCAUUACAAAGUCCAUUGCAACAUGCUCCCACUUCCAUUUGGGCACCGAUAAUGGUUGUAGUAGCCCUACGGGCCUUUGAUGCUCGGCCUUAACCUACUGACAAAUGAGGCAUUUAAAGACAAACUCAGGUACAUCUUUCUUAAGUCCUUCCCAUAAGUAUGCCUCCCUAAAAUCUUGAUACAUCUUUGUAGCUUCUAGAUGUACCACUUACGCUGCCAUAUCUCCUCCUCUAAUAUUUCUCUCCUCAAUCCAUCACCAUCAGGCACAUAAAGUCUGGUUCCAUACCUCAAUACUCCAUUUGUGGCUUUAGUAAACAUUUUUCCUUUCCUUCCUUGAAGGUCCUCCAAGGCCUUAGCUACAAACUCAUCUUUACUUUGUGCUUCCCUAAUCCGGUCUAUUAAGAUAAGUCUAACUCUAAAUAUGAUAACAAUGCAUUUGUCUCUGAAACUUUAAAAUGCAUAUCUAUAUCUCCUAAACCCUGCAUCUCUCGAAUCAAGGAUCUCUUAUCUACAGAUAUAUGUGCCAGACUCCCCAUCGACUUUCGACUUAAGGCAUCCGCCACUACAUUAGCCUUAUCGAGAUGAUAGAGAAUAGUACAGUCAUAAUCCUUAAGACAACUCCAUCCACCUACGUUGUCGCAAGUUAAGAUCCCUUUGCUGAAAUAUAUACUUUAAGCUCUUAUGGUCUGUAUAUAUUUUGCAAGUCUCACCAUACAAAUAAUGUCUCCAAAUCUUUAAGAAAAACACGAUUACUGCCAUCUCCAAAUCGUGCAUGGCGUAAUUUUACUCAUGCUUUUUAAGUUGUCUCGAUGCAUAUGCAAUCACCUUCCCAUGUUGCAUUAAUACACACCCUAAACCAACCCAUGAUGCAUCACAAAAUACAGUAUAACCCCUUGUGCCUUGUGGUAGGCUUAAUACUGGAGUUGUGGUGAGUCAAGCCUUAAGCUUCUCAAAGCUAUCCUCACAAGCAUCUGACCACUAGAAUUUUGUAUCGUUAUCUGUUAGCCUAGUCAGAGGAGCGGCUAUUUUGGAAAAAUCCUUCACAAAAUGAUUGUAAUAGCUGGCCAAACCUAAAAGCUUCUAAUCUCUGUAAUUGAGGUUAGCCUUGGCCACUUUUCUACUGCCUCAACUUUAUUUGGGCCGACUUGCACUCCAUCCUUAGAGACCACAUGUCCUAAGAAUGCAACACUUUCGAGCCAUAACUCACACUUGGAGAACUUGGCAUAAAAUUGAUGUUCUCUCAGAAUUUGGAGCACAAUCUUAAGGUUUUGCUCAUGCUCCCCUUGGCUUCUCGAGUAUAUCAAGAUGUCAUCAACAAAUACCACCACAAACUUAUCCAAAUAAGGCUUGAACACUCAAUCCAUCAAAUCCAUAAAUGCCGCAAGGGUAGUCGUAAGCCCAAAUGACAUCACUAAAAACUCAUAGUGCCUAUAUCAUGUUCGCAAUGCGAUUUUUGGUACGUCUUCAUUCCUGAUCCUUAGCUGAUGGUACCUAGACCACAGAUCUAUCUUAGAGAAACAUUGUGCUCCUUGGAGUUGGUCAAAUAAAUCAUCUAUUCUCGGAAGGGGUUAUUUAUUCUUUAUCGUCACUUUAUUAAGCUGUCGGUAGUCAAUACACAAUCUAAGUGAGCUAUCCUUCUUCUUUACAAAUAGCAUCGGUGCUGCCCAUGGCGAGACACUGGGCAGAUAAAGCCUUUAUCUAGCAAAUGUUCUAGUUGAUCUUUAAUUCCUUAAGCUCCGCAGGUGCCAUUCUAUAUGGGGGUAUGGAUAUGGGUCUAGUGUCCGGAAUCAAGUUUAUUCAAAAUUCAAUCUCCUGCUCGGGAGGCAACCUUGGUAGUUCAUCUAGAAAUACAUCUAUAAACUCAUUCAUUACCAACACUUGGUUUAUAUCCCCAACCUUCGCUUAGGUAUCUCUCACAAUGGCCAAGUAACCUAAACAACCCUAUCUUAAUAGACUCUAGUAGACAUGACUGAUAUCAAAUUAGUUGGAGCAUUGCUCCUAUCCCCCUGAAUACUAACUGAUGGCUCACUUGGAAAGUCAAAUCUAAUCAAUUUAUGGUAGCAGUCCAUGCUGGCAUGGUAAGGCGAUAGCCAAUCCAUUCCCAAGAUCACAUCAAAAUCUAAGGUGUCUAAUUGCACUAGAUUUACCAAAGUAUCUUUUUGCUUGACCCGAACUACACAGGACCUAUAUUCCCAUUUUGCCACAAAUACCUCCCUUAAAGGGGUAGACACCACUAAUUGUUAUUCUUUCAUAACGCGUUCUUUACCCAAUCGGGGUGCAAAACAUGAGAAACAAAAGAAUGCAUAAAACAAAGAUUAAACAAUACCAGAGCAUUCAUAUCACAAAUAGAAAGAGUACUUGAGACCACUGCAUUAAAUGUCUAGGCCUCUUGCGAUGUUAAAGCAAAUACCCUUGCGUGACCCUUACCAGUGAAACUCUGUCAUCCAAACCUAGAUGGCCUGCUCUGAGAAGAAGUAACAACACCUCUACCUCUCGAUCUGCUAGCAUCGCGAUCAAAUGAGGCGGUUACUAAAGGAGCAAACGAAGCUGGUUGGGUAGAGCCGAAAGCAGAUCCUUGUAAUUGAUGAGCCAUCGAGCAACUCUUCUUCAUGUGUAAAGCCCAGCUCUACAAUAUGUUUAUUACACCAUUCUUACAUAAGAAAGCAUGUUUGCUUACUUAGGUACCUCAAAAAUCGUUAAAUGAUGGCAAUGUACCAAAUGGUACAAUUAAGUUGAAUUAAGCCUCGAACUAAUCCAAAUAGAGAUUUUAAGAUGAAAUUGAGAAUUUUAAAACCCCAUAAUGACUUAAAAUGGUGAUUCGGAGUUCGAGGACCGAUUUGGAGUCAAAUUUGAAUUUUCAUUACUUAAGGGUAAAAUGGUCAUUUUGCCACCCGAGGUUAAAAUUGGAAUGUUUGAAGAAGUUUUUGAUCAAGAUUAACUUUUUAGAACAUAAUUUGAGUUUGAGAAGUGAAAAAUUUUAAUUUCGACAUUUUUUCAACCAUAGGGGCAAAAUAGUCAUUUUUCCACCCAAGGGGCAAAAUUGUAAUUUUACACCACCCAACAUUUGUCUAGCAUAUGAAUUUUACCCAAUAUUAUCAUGGAUAAUUGAGGAAAUUUAACUGGUAGAAAAGAUUACUUAAUGGGUAAGUAUGACACAUGGACCAAUGGAAUGGUGACAUGUGUCAAAUUUUCAUCCAUUUAUUAUUUGGCUUAAAAAUCAGCACAAAAUUAGCCUAUUUCUCUUCAUAUGGCCGGCCAAAGCAAGACAAAAGGAAGAAAAGAAAGAACAAGAACCCUAGGGUGAAAAUUCAAUAGAAAAUUGGUGGAUUUCAAGUAAUCAAGCAAUUAAAGGUAAAAUUUCUUGAUUUUGACUUGUGAUCUACCUUUCCCAUACAUUCUUUUGCAUUUUCCAUGGUUGAAUCACAUGAUAUCAUGAUGGGUAUCUUGCUGGCUGAACACUUAGAGAGAGGUUUUGAUGCUUGAUUUGGUUCGAUUUCAAUGUAUUUUGGUGUUUUUAGUUGAUUGGUGAUGUGUAGCAUGAAAAUCAAGCAAGAAAAAUUCAUGUUCUUCCAUCACCCAUCAUUGGCCGAAUUCUCCAUGUGGAAUAUUGAGGAUGAUUUUGAUUUUAUUUCAAGUGAUUUGGUUAGGAAUUAGUGAUUUAUGGUGUGAAAAUCAAGUAGGAAAAAUUAUAGUGUUGAUGCACCCACCAUGGCUGAAUUUUCCAAGAGAAAAUGUGAUGAUGAUUUUGCCAUAUUUCAAGUUAUUUAAUUUGUGUUUGAUGAUUUGGAGUAUUGGGAGAAAAAUGGAAUUAAAUAGAGUUAAAUUGGACAUAUUGGCCAAUUAAUCAGGUGAUAGAUCGAAUUAGGUCAAUACCCUUUUAUUUAGGUGCACAAUUGAAUUUGUGUAAACCACUGUGUUUAGACGAUAAUCCGAACAAUUUACAUCCCAUUUCAUGCAUUAGUAUAGAGCCCGAAUUGGUUUUAUAACAAUUUACAACAAAUGUAGUAAAUGGCUUAUUGUGCAUUAUGUCUAGGUGGUGAGCAUGCUGGCAAAAGUAAAGAGAUAGUACCCGAGGAUCAAGAAUCGGAGUACUCGAAAUUCGACUCCCGAAAUAGUGAGUAACCUUACUAUCAUCUUAAUUAUCUAAAGUGGUUUUUAUCCGAUUUUGUGAUUUUAUGAAAAAUGAGUUUAAAUGGUAAAUCUUUAUGUUUUAUAAACAAAAUGCGUUUAAAUGAAAUGAUUUUAUAAAUUGUCUUGAAAUUGAAUGAUGGCUUUGAAAAUAGAGUAAUUUGAGACCAUUUGAUGUAUUGUGAAUUUAUGGUUCUAAUUGAUUGGCUUAUGGCAAUAUUGGCAUGAAUGGCUGAAUUGGUAUUUGUGUUGAAAAUGUAUAAACUGCUGUUUGCCUUGAUAGGCUAGAUAAUGACAAAAUUGCCAUAUCAUGCUGUUAAAUUUUAUUGAAUUGGUGGGUUAUUGAUUAGUCGCUAUAGUGGCCGGGUUCCGUGGACCAACCUAUUAGAGGGGGCACGGUAACCCUAUUAUAUUCAUACCUCAGUAUGAGAGGCGCGGAUGGAUAACUCCUGAGGCUAACACUUUAGAGUUCACUUCACGCCAGACCACCACGUGAGGGUGAACUCAGCCAACGCCAAGGAACGGCUAUGUUUUUAAAAUAAAAACAUGAUUUAUGCGUACAUAACUUUUUAUCAGUCUUAGCAGACUAGGUUGGGAUAACCCUCGGCCAAGGUAUCCCUGAUAACUGAGUAUGAGAAUGAUUUUGGCACGAGCCAAAAUUUUAAGAAAUUCAUAAGUCAUGUUGAUUACUCAAUUUAUAUGAAUUGAUUUUAUUUGGUUGAAAUGAGUUGAAAGGUGAUGAAUUACAGUACGUUAAACUAUUUUAUCUGUCUCCAUUUACUCAUCUUUAGAUAUUUUAGAUGGUAUUUGUUUGCUCACUAGGAUUAUAUAAUCUCAUCACCCUCCUUUUCACCCAUUUCAGGCUCAGGAUAGUUGGUAGAUAGCUCACAUUGUUGAAGGCUACAGUUGGACUUGCAUCCUCAAAAACUGUAGGUUUAUGGCUUUUGAUACUUUUGGUCGUUCAUGGGCACACGUGUCACUGUAAAUUAAAUCUUAUACUUUGGUUAUCUGUAUUACAGUAUGUAUGAAUUUAUUUAGCUUUUAUGCUAUAAAAAUUAUUUACCGGUAACUCUAUAAAUAUUGUUUUAUAAGGAAAUAGAAUAUUUUAUUGAAUAUUUUUAUUAUAUUCAAAUAGUCAUAAUUUUACUUUAAAUGAAUGUUUUAGAUAUCUAAACUUAUUUUUUAUUAUGAAAUAUGUAUUUUUCACUUCCAUACUACAUUUUUAGCUGGUUUUGAGAUUUUUGAGAAAAAAUGACCAAAAUGCCCCUGUGAGACAAAAAUCUUUUUUUUUUAUUGAUAUAAGUUGGAAAUAGCUUAAAUUCUUUUAGAACAUGAUAUUUGGCAACAGUUACUCACAAGAGAAAUGAGAAACUGAUAUUAAAGCCUUGCAGGGUUUCGAUUGACAUUUCGGGUAAUGGUGUCAAUCGGGACACCGCGACGAUUGUCACAAGCUCGAUGGGAGUACCGGGUCAUGACAUCAUGUGUCUAGGUUGACCACACAAGAAACAAACUCUUGUAGCACGAAAGCAUCAUCCUCUAUGUCAUACCCAACAAGAACUGCAACGACUGAUAGCUUGACCACCUUGCCUUGAAUCUUGCUGCCCCCAACACUAAAGGUAUUUUGUCCUAAUCCAACACUGGUACUAGUCAAGUCACUCCCCUAUUGGGGUAACCGUGAGUCUCGUUCUGGGCCUUGACGACGAGAAGAUGAAAUACCACUACUGAAGUCUCUGCGACCUUGAUGGCUCUUUGUCUUGGCCCUCUUGACUCUAUCCUUAGCAGCCCUACUCUCAUUGCUCCUCAUCUCAAUCCCUUGAGAACAAUCUGUAGCUAUGGAGUAGGUAUCUAAAUCCUUGGAUGCUAUAGCCCUAAAUAAGGCCUCUACUAGCCCAUCCACAAACCUUCGAAUCUUCAUCUCUUCUGUAGAAACUAGAUAGGGUGCAUAUUGAGCCAACUAUGUGAAUUUGAUGUCGUAUUCUGACACCAUCAUACUUGGGAUCUGUACUAAUGCCUCAAACUCCCUAGCUCUUGUAUUUCAUACAUUGACUGGUAAGAAUUGAUUCAGGAACACGGCACUAAGCUCAUUCCAAGUCAACGGUGUUGCACCCGUCAACCUACCUCUACGUAAGGAGUUGCACCACUCUUGUGCCACAUCCCCUAAUCAAAAAGCGGUUAGCUCAACUAAUCUAGUACUAGAACUUCCAAGGGCAUCACAAAUUUUUUCCAUCCUGCCUAAGAAAACCUAGGGUCUCCUCGAUGCAUUAGACCUUGUAAACGACAGAGGCUUAAGUUUCAGAAAGUCAAAUGGUGAAACCUCUACAUGACCCCUCUCAACCAUGUCUUUGUGAACUAGGGGACACUUGUGUUCCAUGUCUCCCUUCUGCUAUUCUUUGUAUGUCAUCCAUACGGGUUGCCAUCAUCUCCACAACCCUAUUAACUCCCUGUAGACCUGCAGCCAAGUCCUCGAUGGUAAUGCCCUAGUUAGGUGUCUAUCCGCAUCAUUUAAAGACUAUUCCUCUUCAUGUCUACUCACAGACGUACCCACCCUCAUCGGCCUAGUGGCCCUGCCACAUCUACCUCACCCCCUAAGGGUGGGAGUCCGUGACUUACUCGUUCGUCUCAUUAAGAGCAUCUUUCUCCCUUGUUCGUCUCAAGCAGCUUGUGUCUUAGGUGCCAUUCUUACCUAGACAAUAGAAAACACUUGUUAUUAAACACAUUUUACAACCAUAGCUAAGGGAAAAGGUAGUUUCAAGAAUAGGGAAUCUAUACGGUUUCUUGGGUGUAGAAUGUGUCACGAUUCACAAUUCACAACCGAAGUUUCCACAUAAAGACCCAAUGCUCCGCUAGACCAAAUAAAAAAAUUCUAGGACCUAGACAAACCUAGGGCUUUAAUACCAACUUUGUCAUAACCCAAAUCUCGAGCAAUGGCUAGCGCAUCGGCCUAAUGGGCAUAGCCCACUAAGCCCAAGCAAGCCUCUUUAUGUAGUCUUGUCCAUCAUUUCAUCCAUCAAUCAUAAAGUCACAUUUUGUAAAUUCUUAACUAUAAGUUAUUCAAUAAUGUGCUAUAAUAAUCAAAUACUUGCAUUUGUAUAAACUCAAAAUAAUGCCACCCAUUCCCAACUCAUAGUGGCAUCAUCAAUCAAAAUGAAUCCAUAUUGUUUAUAACAUGAAUCUUAGUAAUUUACAUCACAUAUGCGUAUACACAGGCAAAAGACUCUGGACCACCAGUGCAGUGACUUUGGGUGAAGGUACAGGUACUGAAUGACAUGGUACCUACCAAAAGGUGAGUGUAAAUGGACGCCUCAAUCUAGGUCCCAACUACCUCUGAAUCUUAAAAACAUGAAGUGGAAAAGAGUGAGUAUAAACCUAGUGAGUUAACACAAGAAGGGAGCAAGCAAACGAUAGGGAAAGUUUUAGAUAACAUGAUGCACUUAUGUUAAAAACAAUAUAUUUUUAGCUAAAUUUCUUGUUAAAACCCCUUAAUUCAACCCUUAAUUACUUAAUCCCGUAGUGUUGAAAGGUCCAUAAUCAAUAAUGGAGUUAAAGAGUGAAAACUACAGUAAAUAUCCUAGCAAGGCAAAGAGUUUCUAGCUGUGGAGAGAAUACAAUUUCACUGUAGUGAAAUUCUGGGUAGGAACCACUCGAGAGUUUCUCGCUGUAGCGAGAAUGAAAUUUCGCUGCAGCGAGAAAAAGUGCAAUGAAGUUAAAAGGAUUCUUGUCACAACGAACCUCCAUUUUUGUUACAAUGAGAAUCAAUUUGAAAGCAUUUGUCAAGUUUUUAACAUUCAUUAUUCAAUGCAAUCAUAAUAUAUUUUCCAUAUCCUCUCUAUGGUAUGUGUAAACAUGUAUACAACCACUAGUUCACCAGCUCAUGUGCACUCCCACACCACGGACAACAAAUAUCAUCAUGGACACUCCCGCACCACAUCGUCACCGGCAUGUGCACUCCCACACCACACAUGCUCGGUUGUAAUUAACACACAACAUUAUCGUUCAAGGCAUAAUAUACAUAUCAUCAUAAUAUAGGAACACAUGAAUUCAUUACAUUUCCCAUUUCACAACAUAAAAGCGUUUCAUCAAGGGCUUGUUCCCAUGCAUAUUUUAAAGAAAAGACUAAUAAAAUAUUUCAAGUGAUUCAAUCAAACACUUACGCAUUUAUACUAAAACAUUUUAAAGCAAGUUCACUCACUUGUCUUUGUUGAUUCUUUAAUUGACUCCAACUUCCACUAAUGCUCCAAGUGGAGAUGUGGGGUCUUGUUGGAACCUAUCAUACACAAUAGCAUCACAACCAACUCAAUUUACAUGAAUAUUAUUCCAAAAGAUAUUUCCUAAAUCAGACUUUACUAGUUAUUCCUAAUUAGUUUCAAAUUACCUUUUGACUAAUCAUUUAUUUGUUCUAUUCUAGUCACACUAGGAAUAAAUAAACAACCCUUAACAAUAAGACAACCCACAAUUCUAAUUAUUGCCCUUCAUUAACAACUUAGAAAUCAACCCUAACUCACUACUCACCUUGGUGGUUUUUAUAGUUGAAUUCCUAUUCAUAAGUUUUUCAAGCUAUAAUGGAAAGUCUCUUUCUCUCUCUAAAAUGUUUAGCUAAUGAGAGAAAGUGUUGAGGAAAGGCAAUUGAGGGCACCUGAGGUGAUGUAGUGAAAGAACACGAAAAGUCUUAUGAACAAGUGCAUAAAAACAUGAGGUUUGGAGUUUCUAUGAGAAAGUCAUGGAAAUUUCAAGGAUGACUUUCAUGGAAAAUGGAAAGUUGGAAAUGGGGAGGAGAAAGGGGAAGAAGAGGAAGAAGCUGCUAGAAGUGAGGAAAAAGUGCUGGAGAAUUAGAUAUUUACUCUUGGGGUGGACUAAAGUUCCACCUAUUUACUAAAAUGCCAUUACAUAGUUGACUUUGCCUUUUCUUUCCUUUGGUUCAAACCUUUUACUCUUUUCACACUAAGACAGGGUCCAUAAUAGAAUAGAAGUACUCGAGUUCACGAAAACUUAAAAAUUUAGACUUGAGAUCCAAAUUGACCAUUUUACCUCUGUUGUGAAAAUUAUCAUUAUUUUUAUUUCUUCAUUUAUUUUAUUAUUAUAUCCAUCAUUCAUUUAUUCCUUAGGCCUACUUAGACCUUAAUAAUAUUAGAAAAACCCACUUCUAAGAGCUCACCAAGAAAAUGACAAAACUACCCCUAAUCCAUGUCAUCGUGUUUACCUCCGCUACACGUCUACGAAGGUCGAGGAUUUACAUAGACAUUCCAUAAUCAUUUAUUUGUUGCUUAAUCCAUGAUAUUUGUGCGCAACAACUACAUAGUGAAAUAUAUUCAACCUUAGUAGUUGAUAGAGCAACCGAAUUUUGUUUCUUGUGAGACCAAGACACAAACAUGUUUCCAAAGAAUUAACAAGUACUACUAGUGCUUUUCUGAUCAAUUUUGCUGCUAGUAAAAUUAGCAUCAAAUUAGCCAAGAAGAUAAAAUAUUAUCCUUUUAGAUACCAUAGGCCUAACCCUUGAGUAUCCUAGAGAUAUCUAAAAACAACCUUCAUUGCAGUCAAAUGUGAUUUCUUGGGACAUGAUUGGAAUCUUGCACAUAGGCAAACACUAAGAAAAAUAUCAGGUUUACUUGCAGUUAAAUAAAGAAGUGAGGCAAUCAUACCUCUAUAGAGUUUUUAGUCCACAUCUAUCUUUUAUCAUCUUUGUCAAGCUUUGUGGAAUGACUCAUAGGAGUUCCAAUUGAUUUCAUAUUCAUCAACCAAAUUUCAUCAACACUUCUUUGGUAUAUUUCCCUUGCUUGAUGAAUAUUCCAUCCUCACAUUGCUUUAUUUGUAGACCAAGGAAGAAUUUAAACUCUCCCAUCAUGCUCAUUUCAAAUUUACCAUGCAUUUCCUUAGUAAAAUUGUCACACAACCUUUCAUUAGUAGCUCACUUGCUCAUUUGGCUCAUUGGUUAGUGCAUUAUCCUCCUACCUAAAAAGUAGGGUUCGAAUCCCCCUUCCCCUAAUUAUAAAAAAAAAACCCUUUCAUUAGUAGCACUAAACACUAUAUUAUCAACAUAUAUUUGAACUGCAAUCUAAUUAGUUUCAUUUUUCUUAAUGAAAAGAGUAUUAUCCACACUCCCCCUAGAGUAUCCUUUUUCAAGUAAGAAUUGUGAAAGUCUUUUAUACCAAGCUCUAAGAGCUUGUUUAAAUCCAACAAGGCUUUAUGCAAUUUAUACACGUGAUCAAUUUUAUCAAAGACUUUAGGGAGUUGUUCAACAUACACUUCUUCUUGUAUAAACCUAUUAAGAGAUGCACUUUUGACAUCCAUUUCAAACAAUUUAAAAUUCAUGUAGCAUGCAUAAGCAAGUAAAAGUCUAAUUGCUUCUAAUUUAGCUACAGGAGAAAAGGUUUCAUCAUAAUCAAUACCUGUUUCUUGAUUGUAGCCUUGACCAAAUAACCUUUCUUUGUUCCUUACCACAUUUCCCAACUCAUCCAUCUUAUUUUUAGAUACCCAUUUUGUACCAACAAUUGGAUGGUUGGUUGGCCUUGGAACUAAGGUCCAAACCUUGUUCCUUUCAAAUUAGCCAAGUUUUUCUUACAUUCCAAUCAUCAAACUCUCUUCCUUCUCAGCUUCCUUAAAGUUCUUUGGUUCCACUUAUGAUAUAAAUGCAAGAUAUUCACAGGUUUCUUUUAAUCCUCUUCUAGUUUUAACAUACUUCGAGGGAUCGCCAAUGAUUUACUCUUAAAGAUGAUUUCUUACAAUUUUUCAACUUCUGGGAAGAUCAUUGUGUUGUUUUUCAAUUCUUUGCAAGUCCUCUAGUGGUGUUUCUCCUUAAUUUUCCUUUUCUGAGCUUUCUUCAUCAUCCUUUUUAUUGACUAAGCUCAUUUUCUCCAUUUUCGUCUAAAUAUCAAUUUCAACAUCAUCAUUAAACACUAUCUUUCUUUGUGUAGCAUUAGUCUCAUCAAAACGAAUAUGAAUUGACUUUUCUAUGACUAGAGAUUUUUUGUUACACUUUAUAUGCUUUAGAGUUCAAUGCAUAACCAAAACUCCUUGAGUGUGAACUGUUUCGUUUUCUCCUUUGUAAAGCUCAUAAUAGGUUUCAGAAAUCAUGGCUCUAAUGGAAACUAUAUUCAAAAUGUAAGUUGUAGUGUUCACAGUUUCAGUCUAAAAAUAUUUUGACAACUUGUUUUCACAAAGCAUUGUUCUUGCCAUUUCUUUUAAAGUCUUAUUUUUCUUUCAACGACUCCAUUUUGUUGUAGAGUUCUAGGAGUUGGAAAAUUAUGGUAAAAACCAUUUUAAUUACCAAAGAUUUCAAAAUCAUCACUUCAAACUCACCACCAUGGUCACUUUUAACACUAACAUGGGUAAGCCUUUUCUUAUUUUGCACAUUUUUACAAUGUUUAACAAAAAUAGAUGAUGCAUCAUUUUUCUGAGCAAGAAAAUAAACCCAUGUAUAUCUAAAGUAAUCAUCUACAAUAAUAAAGCCAUAUGACUUGCUUUCUAAAUUGGCAACAAUGAUUGGUUCAAACUUGUCAACAUGCAAUAGUUCAAGUGGUCUAGAAGUUGAUAAAAUUUUCUUAAAUUUAAAUGAAUUUUAACUCGUUUCCCAAAUUGACAUGCAACACAAACUUUGUGAUUUUCAAAGGAUAUCUUUGGAAGUCCAAUGACUAGGUCUUUUCUUAAGAGUAUUGAAUAGAGUGCAUGCUAGCAUGUCCUAAUCUUAUAUGCCACAAUCAACUAUCACAAACAUCAUUGGCCAUAAGACAUUAUUCAUUAUUAUGCUCAAUUUCACCAAGAAAGAUAACAUACAUGUUCUUAAUUCUUUUGCCAAUGAAUGCAACUUUCUUAGUGUCAAUAUUAAUUACUUGACAUCCAUGAGAAUCAAAACAAACUCUAAACCCCUUAUCAUAAAGUUGACUAAUGCUUAGUAUGUUAUGUCUUAGACCUUUAACAAAUAAAACAUGCUUGACUUGAGUUUAAAAAGUGUUACCAAUGGUUCCCAUUCCCAAGAUAAUACCUUUAGAGUCAUCACCAAAGGAAAUACUACCACUCUUCUUCCUAUAAAGCUUUAGAAAUAGUUUCUGAUUACUGGUCAUGUGUCUUAAGCAGCCACUGUCCAAAUACCAAGGUUGCGUUUCCUUUGGUUGAGCUUCAAAACAUUGAUCCUUUUGCCCUUUCUUUAAAGGUACUCAAACUUUGAUGGGUCCUUGGGGGUUAGCAAUCACAUGAGAUCCUUUAGACACCUAAACCAAUUUGGUUCUACGAAGGUUUUUACAAUCAUGAUAGCAAUCAUAAGACAAAUGACCUUUCUUGCCACACAAAUAACAAUGGCAUAAAAAUGCAUUUAUUUUCUUUGUAAAGUUUGCAUUUCUUUUAGGUUUCUCUUCAUUUUUUAAUUUUAGUCAUAAGCUUUCUUUCAUUAAAGCUUUAAAUGCAACAUUUUCAUCCACUACUCUUUGUAAUUCUAAACUUUUGCUUUCUAAUUCCAACUUCAAGAGUUCCAAAUCUAUUUUGGAGUGCUCAAGUUUAUUUGAAAAAUGUUUCAUUCAUUAAUAAUACAAUUAAGAUCAUGCUUUAUUUUUUCUAAUUCAUUAUCUAAUGCCACAGCUUCCUUUCUCAUAGCUUCAUAUUUCAAUGCAAGCUUUUCAAAUUCAGCAUAUAGACAAUCAUAUUCAUCUUUGAGUUCAUCAUAAGAAAUAUCAUAAGAAUUAGAUGUUACCUUAAAUUCCUCUUUUUUUUGCCAUUAAGCAAAAAUUUGAUCUUUCUUCCAUUUUUUUUCUUCUUCUAAGCUUGAAGAGUCAUUAUUAGACCAUGUUGUUGCCACCAUUGCUCUGUUUGGUUUCUUCCUCUUUUUUGAAGAUUUUUUCUUGAGUAGUGGACAUUUAGAUCUGAAAUGUCAAGGUUUUUUGCAUUCAAAACAAACCAUGUCAUCUUUUUUGUUCAAAUCACUCUUCAAUUUGUUUUUCCAAUAAGGACCUUGAUCCUUUUUCAAAUUCUUUCUUUCAAAUCUUCUACAUUUUAGCCCCAUCAGCUUCCUAUAUGUUUUAUCCAUCAUAGCCAACUCUUCAUUAUCGUUACUUUCAAAAUGUAAUUUUCUUGAGCUUUUUCAAACAAGGGCAACUAUAAACAAUUCAAGGUCAACUAUGGCUUUAUAAUCUUCAAGUUUUGCACUCUGUUAACCUUUUGAUUGACUCAAGCUUCUUUAGGAUCGACUUUUGACUUAUGUCUUAAGGUUUCCUUAGCUUUUCAAUGUUUCUCUCUCAUUAUUUCCUCCUUGCCUUGUUCUUACAUUCAAAUAACAUUUCAAGGCAUGUUUGCUCUUACAUUUUCUCUCUAGUUAUUUCCUCCUUGCCUUGUUCCUACAUUCAAAUAAUAUUUCAAGGCAUGUUUGCUUUUACAUUCUUAGUUGAAUAUACAUUGUUUGAAAGCUUAUGAGAUGUUUUUUUAAUGAAGUCUAGCUUUUCAAACAAAUACUUAGCAUUAGGGGAUUAAAAAUGUAUUUAAGAUAAUUUCAAAUGGUUGACAUUAAGUUUAAGAAAACAUGUAAUUUUUGUCAAAUCAAAACAUGAUGUAAUUUAAGGCUAACAAGGUGGAUUUUUCUAUUUUAGCUUUUUCUAAAAUAUUCUUCUCUUAUUUUCCUUUUUUUUUAUUCUUUUUCUCUUUCUUUUUUUCUCUUCUAAUGUCAUUUGCAUAGGUAUUUAUAAGAUUGAACCUUUUCUACUUGUUGGAAUGAGAUUUAAAACUUUUCUCUCCGUUUUAUGCUAACUAACUUUUCUCUAUUGUGCUUGUAGAAUCAACAUGUUGUACCUUUGGUGUCGAUUCUUCAUGAUUCUAGAAAUUCUAAGCCUUUUGUUUUUUUAGAGAAAUGACAUGUUCUUCAUUUGGUGUCGAUUCUUCAUGACAUGCUCUAAGUCUUCACCUUUCUAUCUUUUCCCAAAAUUGACAUGUUUUGCUCUUCAAGUGUGUUUGGUGCCAAUACAAAAAUUCAAACUUAAAAUUUUACGCUGUAUUCUUAUUCAUUUGUCAAUUCCUGCUACUUCUCCAAGUUCUUGACAUUUUCUCUGUAAAGCUUCGAGAAUCGACAUGUCAACUUCUUGGCGUCGGUUCUUGCUUUGGCUAGUGGCUUCAAUUUCUCUAGAAUCGACAUGUACUUAUUGGAGAAUCUAUUUUUCCUAUAAUAGAAAAAAAGAUUUCUCUUUUUGUACAAUGGAGAAUUGUUAUCAAUUUUGCACACGAAAGUGUACGUAUCGAACAAGUAAUAUAGAUAAUAAAUUUAGAAUUGUAUCCUAAAGAGAUAUGCUCCUAAUUUGUUUACUAAGUACUGAAAUUAUGACAAAUUAGUCUUAUUUAAGUAACUCAAAAUUGUAGAUAAUUAAGUAAAACAAAAUUCAAUCAAACACUAAAGUAAUUAACAAAAACUAAAAAUUCACUAGAAAAAGGCAAUAGAUUAAGGAUUAUGAGUUCAUUCAACACUCUAUUUAAUACCAACUUCUCUUAUUAUUUAUAUUUAUGGGUAGUUUUGCUAACCUAGAAUCCAAAGCAAUGUACAAGUCUUCGUCGAGAUGCUUGCAUGAAUACCUAACUUAAUUGGGUCACUAUAUGUCUAUAAUAAUCAAUUAAAUAAGGUUCAUUAAUCUAGAAUUCUAAUUUGGCUAUGUAUGGUAAUUGGUGUAUGCCUACUCUAAUUACAAAUCAAUCACCUAACUGACUUGAACAUAUUAUCAUGACUUGAGCCCAAGGUUUGUGACCGGUGCACCAGCCUGAAAGACAAAGCUUGUGAAACCCGAGCAAGCCUUAGUAUUUGUAAAGCCCAACCUUAUAAAUACUUGUCAUGACAUACAUGUGAUGGAUAACAUGUUUACAUACUAAGAGAGCCCCGAAAAAUUGACAAAAGUCGAUACUGUACCGAAAGGUAUAAUAAAGUUGAUCUAAGCCUCGAACUAGGUCAAAUAGGGAUUUUAAGGUGAAAUUCAAAAUUUUAUAGUUCAUGAAUGACUUAAAAUGGUGAUUCGGAGUUCUAGGAUCAAUUCAGAGUCAAACCGAAAUUUUCACUAUCCAGGGGCAAAAUGGUAAUUUUGCCACCUCGAGGGCAAAUAGGUAAAUUUUCACCAUCGACACUUGUCAAGACCAAGGGAUUUUAUUCAUCAUAGAAAUGGAUAAAUAUGAGAAAAUGUGUGGUGGAGAAUUAACGAAUUAAAAGAUAAAUAUUUAAAGUGUGGAAUAAUCACAAAGUGCCACGUGUCAAGCUUUAUUAUCUUAUUAUUAAGCUAUAAAAAUCAGCAUAGAAUCAGCCCAUUCUCACCAUAAGGGUCGGCCAAGCAAGAAAACAAGAGAGGAAAGAAAGAAAAUAAGGAAAACAAACCCUAGCCAAGGAAAAUUCAAGAGAAAGUGUGAAAAUCCAAGGAAUUAAGCAAGGUAAAGUGAAAAUUCUUUAUUUUUACUUGAGAUUUACAAUACCCAUGCUUUAUUUUCUUAUUUCUAUGGUUGUGAAGCAUGAUUUCAUAGUGAAUAAGGUGUAGGCCGAAUGGGUUUGGUGAGAGAAAAGAUGUUAGAAUAGCUUGAUUUUAAGUUAUGUUAGUGAUUAAGGUUAGUUUAGCAAAUUUAGAAGCCAAACAACAAGAAAAGAAUCCAUUUUCCCCAUGAAUCUUCAUUGGCCGAAUCUUCCUUGAUGUGUGUGGGUGAUGUAUUGUUAUUAUUUCGAGAGAAAUGGCUUAGAAAAUGAUGAAUAAUGAUGAGAAAAUUAAGUAGGAAAAAUCAUGGUGUUAGUGCACUAUAUGGCCGAAUUUUUCCAUGAAGAAAUUGAAGGAUUUUGAUGCUGAAAUUGGUGUUAUUUGAAUAAUGUUUGGUGAAUUGAGGUAUUAGAAAAGAAAUGGAGUAAUUUGGGAUUAAAUUGGAUGUAUUACUAAUUUAAUCGGGUGAUAGGCUGAAUUAGGUCAACAUCUCAUUUAAGUGGUUGACCGAGCAUUCCAUGCAUUCAUUUAGAUUUAGAGGGCCUAAAAUAGUUUAUGACAAAUUGACAUAAAUUAUUGAAUUUUGUGUCAUGUCUGAUGCAUAGGUGGUGAGCUAUUUGAUAAGGAUAAAGAGAUUACUCCGAAGACCGAGACUAGGAGUAUUUCUACUCCUGAUACUAUGAGUAACCUUACUAUCAUCUUAAUUAUCUAGAGUGGUUUUUAUCCGAUUUUGUGAUUUUAUGGAAAAUGAGUUAAAUGGUAAAUCCUUAUGUUUUAUAAGUAAAAUGUGUUUAAAUAAAAUGAGUUUAUAAAUUGUCUUGAAAUUGAAUUAUGGUUUUGAAAAUAGAGUAAUUGGAGACCACUUGAUGUGUUGUAAAUUUAUGGUUUUAAAUUGAAUGGCUUAUGACAAUAUAUGACCAUGAAUGGCUAAACUAAUUUUUGGUGUUAGAAUUAUUUGUAUUGUGUACUCAGCCUUGAGAGGCUAGGUUGCGAUAAAUUGCUUUGUUAUGCAGAUAAAGAUUCUAUAAAUCAGGUGAUGGAUAAAAUAAUCCAUAAUUCCUGCAGUAGAGGUUCUUGGACCAGCCUAAGAGAAGGGGCACAGAAUCAGAUAUACCUUACCUCGAUCGGAGAGCCGUGUGGAGGGUGUCUCUAGAGGUAAAGAUUUGAGUGCACUUCACGUGGACCAUCGCGUGAGAGUGAGACUCAGCCAACGCCAAGGCAUGGCUAGAUUUUCAAAUGUAAAAAUAUGUUCAUGUGUGUACUACACUGAACAGCCUUGGC
rnacentral:lncRNA from 1 species